GAGCAAAGACUACUGAUUCAUUGCUAGGAAGUUGUAAACAUGACAAUGCAAGAAAACACAAAGCAGAAUCUCUUAUUAUUUAAGCAGUAAUAAGAUAAGAGAGGAUAUUGCAUGUUCUAGGCAUGGUUGUUGUCCUCCACUGGAGGAUACUUCCCAUAAGGUGGUUUCUUGUAUGGUGGCUUUUCGUAUGGUGGCUUGUAGUAAGGUGGUUUUGGCUUGUAAAUAGGAGGCUUGUAAAUUGGAGGCUUGUAAAUUGGAGGCUUGUAAUAGAUGGGAGGCUUGUAAAUGGGAGGCUUCUUGAUUGGUUUGUAAUAAGUAGCAAAACCUUGAGGAAUGAGGAUUAGGGCAGCAAGAACAAACACCAGAAAGCUUGAAAAGGAAGCCAUGUUAAAGAUUGGUGUGCAUAACAGACUGAGUAAUGUGUUCAUAUAUAUAGUAGUUAGGAGGGGUCAUUGUAGGUGUAAGGUCUAAAUCUAGGUCAUUAAUGAUUUGCUUUGUCAUAUUAUGGUAUUUGCCAAAGUUCGGUGUGAUUAUUCAAAAUUGAUUUAGAAAUUAUACAUUGAUAUACACAAAUAUUUUACAUUCAUUUAAUACUUGUUAUUUUUUACUCAAUUGUGCUAAAAAAUAUUUUUUAUAGUAAUUAAAAUCCAUGAGAUAUAAAAAAUGAAGCAGUGACACUAUUAUAGAUAUGAAAAGUUUUUUUAUUUGGAUUGGACUUAGAACUGAUGUAAAAAGUGGCUCAGUAACAAAAUUGUAAUAAAUUACAAUUUUUUUAUACCAAUUACACUCAUAAUUGAAUAGAAAGUCGAUUUUCUAUACUAGUUAGACUUAGAACCGAUAUAGAAAGUGUGGUGGUAACAAAACUAUAAUAUUAAACAAACUUUUCUAUAUUCAUUGCAAUCAGAACAAAUAUAGAAAGUUGUUUUUCUAUCCUGGUUAGUCAAUAUAACCGGGAUAUAAUAUUUAAUAUUCAUCUCCUUCUUCUUUUUGCGCUUCAAUUUCGCAAAACUCUUUUUCUUGUUCUCUCUAUGCUUCACCUUCAUUACUUUUCGCUCUCUCUGUGCUUGGCUUCCAUUCAUUCUUGGUCUCUCUACGUUUCCAAUAGUUCACUAAAGUCGCUUGUGCUAUCGUUUGUGGUUGUUGUUUUUGUCAUCGCUGUGGUCGUUGUUUGUUGUCGAUUUUUUAGUCGCGGUGGUUGUUGAAGUUAUCACUGUUGUAGGUCAAGUUGUGGUUCAUCUUUGUCAUCAAUGGUUGGUAUUGCAGUGCCUAUUUUCAUGGAGGUUGGAGUCGUUGUUGUGGUGUCAUUGUUAUCACUGCAUUUUUUCUUCCUCUUGCGUUGAAGCUUUCUUGGUUGCGUUGUUGGUGUUGUAGUAGUGUGGUGAGUAACACUAAAGCUUCCUUGUGUGGUAUGGUAGGUCGUUGCACGUGGUGUUUUUUUGAUCGUUUUGUUGUGGUUCUUGGCAAAUUUUAAACCUUAAUUUACUAUUGUUGAGGAUGUUGUGUUUUGACGUAUUUAUUGUUACAUUGCAUUCGUUGGGAGGAAAAUUUAAUAUUGUGAGGUUUUCCAUUUUUUGGAGCUUUCCAUGUUUGUGUUAUUGCAUUCAAUUGGUGUGAUUACUCUUUUGUGUUAGAAUUUAUGAGAAAAAAGUGAGGUAUAAAAAUCAAUAGGUUUGAAUCUCUACAAAUGAUGAGGCUGCAAGUGAGUAGAUUUUUGGUGGUGAUCAAAAUCACCAAAUAAGUUGUAGGCAAAAGAAAAAUGGAGAUCAAUACGAGUCCUAAUUAGAAAGACUAUUUGGGAAUGAGAUAUCAAUCUCUUAAAUACGUUGAAGUGAAGCGUAUUGAACUAAAUCCAUUGAUUAAUUCUUUAUGUUGUGGUUUGGUAUGACUAAGUUCACAUAUUGGACUCAUGUUUAACUGUUUCUUAGAUCUACCUAAAAGUAGAGGUGUUGGUUUUUACAUAUAAUAAUGGAUAGGUGUUGAAUAAAUUUUAUACGCAUAACAAAUGAAUAUGGGAGCAGAGUAGAACAAUUUCUUGAGUUUGCAAAGACAAGUGUUCUAGACAAUAACAAAAGAUUUUAUUGCUCAUGUGUUAAUUGUUUGAAUGGAUGAAAACUAUCAACUGAAGUUCUUUGGGAGCAUGUUGUUCUCCUAAAGUUACACAAAAUGGACAUGACAUAGUGAAUUAAUAGACACACCUAGUGCAUCCAGAAUGCACUAAGUAUACUUUAUUGUCAAUGGUAUCAAAACACUUUGGAGUCAUAUUAUAUGCAUUUGGAGUCAUAUAAUAUGCAUUUGCAUUCUUAAGAGAAGAUUCUCGUGAUUCUUGGAUUAUAACACUGAUUCUUAUCAAAGAUUAACAUCUUUCUGGAGAACUUUCACUCGACUUAUUAAUCUGCUAGAUUGUGGCUUCCCUAUCCUUGUCUCAUUCUGCAUUCUUCUAUGAUUUAUUCAAGAGAUAGUCCUCUAUUAUACCUUUUUUUCUUAAAAAGAAUUUUUCCUCAAAUUUGUAUAACUUAAAUAUUCCUUAUCAUUUUAAGAAGUUAGAACAACUAGAAAAUGAGGUUGUGGUCAUAUUAUGCCUAUUAGAUAUGUACUUUACACACACGCAGACAAGGACACACACACACAGACUCACAAAUACACAGUCACACACACAAACACACACACACACACAUAAACACACACACACACACAUACAUAAAUGGACAUGCGCGCGCACACACAAAGACACACACACCCAGAAACACACAUACAUAGACACACACACACCCACAAACACACAUACAUAGACACACACACACACACAAACACAAACACACAUACACACAAACAUAGACACACACACCCACAAACACACAUACACACAAACAUAGACACACACUCCCACAAACACAAACAUAAACAUACACACAAACACACACACACACACACAAACAAAUUGACAUACAGAUAGACACAUACAGACACACAAGAAGUCAUCCCAAAAGAAGUCAUCCCCUUCUUAAGUGCUCAUAAAUAUAUUGUUAAAAGAAAGAAAUAAUCCACGAAUACUUCAGAAGUUGGUUAUUAAUGAGCACAACAAAACCUUUUUAAAGUGGUUCAAACAACAUGUUCAAGCUUACCAUACAACCUCUGACACAUUAAAUUGAAUACCAAGUGAACCAAACUUUGAUGUCAUAUGUUGGAGUGGGUAUGAUAUGAAAAAUUAUACAUUUCAUACAAAGAAAAUGAAAAAAAAAACACCACUCACAAUAAUGGAGUAAUAGUUGUGGUUGAGUCAAUGCAUUUCUUGAGUUCAAAGGAUAAAAAUCCUUUUAUGGCAUCAAUGUGCUACUUUCGUGUUAUGGAAGAUAUUUGGGUGAUAGAUUACACAAGUUUCAGAGUACUUAUUUUUAAAUGGGUUGAUUGUAAUAUUGGCAUAAGGACCAAUGAUCUAAGUUUUACAUUGUGCAGAUAUUACAAUUCUUGUUGCUUUCUUGAUGCCUUGGAGAUUUCUUGAGACCUUUGAAUGUUUCUUGUUGUGUACUUGUACUUAAACUCAAUGCUUUGUUAGAAUAUUGCAAAUGAAAUUCGUAAUGAGACAGGUUUCAAUAUAGAUAUAUAUAGGAUAUGACAUUCUGGUGUAGUUUAAUUGAUUAGAUAAAAACCUUAAUCGAUUAAGCCGAAGUUUAUGUUUCAAUGACAUUAUGGUGCAGUUUAAUCGAUUAGGUAAAACCUUAAUUGAUUAGGCCAAAGUUUCUGUUUUAAUCGAUUAGGUUAUUAAUGUUAUCAAUUAAAACAGACAAUUUUGUCAUUUUUUUCUUCUUAUGAGUUCUGACAUGCUUUAACUGAUUGCUAACUAACAUAAUGGAUUAAUAGCAUCAAAAUUGCAGAUUGUAAACUGUCUAACCCAGUUACAUUCAUCUAUACAUGAUAUAUGUAUCUAACAUGAUUUUCCUAUGAUUUUAAACAUUGAUCCAUCAAGAAAGAACAUAUGAUUAAUUCAUCAUCAAAAACAUUUUACCAAAUUUAGAAGGGAAAAGCUCCCCCUUUCAACACUAACCGGUAUAAAAAGUUACUUUUUAUAUACAAAUUUAUCUCUUUCCUAAUAAACUUUUUAUAUCGGUUUCAGAUUCAGUAUAAAAAGUCAAAUACUUUCUAUACCGAUUCAAAAACUGGUAUAAAUUUUUUUUAACUCAUAUAAAAAAGCUUUUCUGAUAUAGUGACUCUUCCUUUUCUUUUUAAAAUAUAAAAGUUUAUGUUUUUAAGACUAUUUUAAUCUUAUAAUAUGUGUCAAAUGAAUAUAAAUGUAUCUUAUCCUACUAUGACUUGAUUUAGACCCUUUAGUCUUGUGUGGCAUUGUUGCAAAUCAAGAAUCUCAACAAAAUCUAUAUAUUUAUCCAUAAAGAUCUCUAAAGAAAUAUAUAAAAAAGGAAAACCCAAAAAUUAAUUUUUUUAUAAAUUACAAUAAUUUAUACGAGUUAGAAAUAAAAAAAAAAAUUGGUAACAAAGUUUUUUCAAUCAGUUUAAUCACUAAUUUCAUUUUUCGUAUUUUUUGUUUUAAAAGUUCUUGAAGAAAGAACUCGUACAAGAUUAAAUAUAUUUUUAAAAUGUAAAUUAAUUUAUGUAUACUAUACACAUAUAUACAGACUAUAUUACAUUUUGAUUUAUAUUUUAAUGAUAAAUUAAAAGUAUUAUUUUAAUUUAUUUAAAUACGACUACUAAUUUAAAUUCAAACAGAAAAAAUUAAAUAUAGUGGUGUUCCUUUCAAAUUAAAUUGAAACAUUCGAAACUUUUAAAUAUUAUUAAAAAUAAAAUAAUAUAUACGUUAAAAGAAGUUCUAUGAAUGUUUCUAAUCCAUAGAAUUUUAUAUGGUUUAUGAGUUGUUUUUAUCUUGUGAAUUUUUUUAAUAAAGGAUUUAUUUCAGCUGUCAGUUUUUUUAAUCCAAAUUCAUAUGGUGAAAUCCUAUAAAAUAAUACUAUAAAAUGCACUAAGACGUAUCUAAUUAACCAUAAACAUAAAGGUCUUUUUAUUCAUAAUUUUGUAGUACAAUUAAGAAGCAUAUUUUUUAUUUGAUUUACAUUCACAUAGACAUAAGUCUGAUGGUCUUGUCUUGAACACAACAUCAUAACUUACACAAAGCAUUGAAGUGAGCAAAGAAUACUGAUUCAUUCAUUGCUAGGAAGUUGUAAACAUGACAAUGCAAGAAAACACAAAGCAGAUUCUCUUAUUAUUUAAGCAGUAGUAAGAUAAGAGAGGAUGUUGUUGCAUGUUCUAGGCAUGGUUGUUGUCUUCCACUGGAGGGUACUUUCCAUAAGGUGGUUUCUUCUUGUAUGGUGGCUUUUUGUAUGGUGGUUUGUAGAAAGGUGGUUUUGGCUUGUAAAUGGGAUGCUUAUAAAUAGGAGGCUUGUAAAUUGGAUGCUUCUUGAUUGGUUUGUAAUAAGUAGCAAAACCUUGAGGAAUGAGAAUUAGGGCAGCAAGAAGUAACACCAGAAAGCUUGAAAAGGAAGCCAUUUUUAGGGUUGGUGUGUUAGCAGACUGAGUAAUAUGUUAGUAUAUAUAGUAGUAAGGAAGUUCAAUGUAUUAUGUAGGUGUAAUGUCUCAAUCUAGGUCAUUAAUGAUUUGCUUUGUCACACUUUGAUAUUUGCCAAAGUUUGGUGUGAUUAUUCAUCAUUGAUUUAGACCCUUUGGUCCCAUGUGCCAUUCUAGCAAAUAAGAACCUGGACACAAACUCUAUAUUUAUGCAUAAAGAUCUCUAAAGAAAUAUAAAUAAAUAACAGAAAAUUAUAUAUUUUUUAUGAAUUAAAAAUAAGUUAGAAAUACAAAAUUUGAUAACAAAGUUUUUUUCAAAUUAGUUUAAUCAUUAGUUUCAUUUUUCAUAUUUAAAUAUAUUUUUAAAAUGUAAUUUAAUUUGUAUUAGAUUAGAUUUUUAUUUAUAUUUUAAUGAUAAAUUAAAAGUAUUAUUUUAAUAUAUUUAAAUACAAGUACUAUUUUAAAUUCAAAUCCGUUACAGGCAAGAUUAAGUAUAGUAUUGUUUCUUUCGAAUCCGAUUGGAAAAGGCAGAAACUUUGAAUUGGAAAAAAUCAAUUUGAGGGGACACUCCUUAUCUUGUGAGAAACUUCAUAACACUUAUGUAAUAAAUGCAAAACCCCACAAGCCUUUGCAAGUUGAAACAAUUAUAAAUGGUAAAGUUAAAAUGAGUUGUAUUUGAUUGCGUGUGGUGUGCAAUCGUAGCAUGUGUUCUGUCUCAAUCAAGAUGUUGAUGACCACGUUAUAUGAACAGUACACUGUUAUAUGAAGAGUACACUGUAAUUUUAAAAUGUUCAUUUUAUUUACUUCAACUUUUUUUCAAAACUAGAUUGUGAAAAUGGAUCAUCUAUCCGAUCCGAUUCGACUUACUACAGGUUAGUCAUUGAGUUAACUCAAUUCAGUUUAUUUAAUAGUGAGUUGGAAAAAUUUUAAUUUGGUCUUACUCACUACAAAUUAGUGAGUCAAAUGGAUUGGUUCACGCAUUCUCUUAAUUACAAUUUUUUUAAAUAAAAAAAAUUACAAACUUUUUUAAUUCAAAUCUAAAUAAAUUUCACUCCUAAAACAAUGUUAAACUCAAAAAAAUUCAAAAGAAUAAAAAAAACAAAAUAAUCUUUCUUGAUAUACUAAGGAGAGUAUUUUGUAAGGUUUCAUAAGAUAAUAAAUCAAUAACAAUAAAAUAAAAUUAGAUGUGUUGGUGAGCCAAUCCAACUCACCACAGGUUCAACUCAGAUAAGCCAAGUUGAAAAUUGACUCGCAUAAAAAAAAUACAUUUUUUUCCAAACCAAACCCAUGAUAAACAGAAUUUACUCGAAUCUAUUUUCACAUCUCUAUUCAAAACUAUCAUUAAGAAAUAUAGGUGCAAUAGGAAUUAUAUUACUGAACCCAUCUUAGAAUUCAAAGUUUUCUUAUGAAUUUCUGAUAAGUAUGUGAAAAAAAAAUUAGGGUUCUGGUUCUUAAUAAGAACGGAUAGGAGCAGUCUCAAUCCGAUUACGAGAUCUACAACUUUUAACGUUUCUUUCGUCGAAAAGAUACUGAAUUAGUGUUGUCAUUCAUUAAAAAAAGUAUCACGUGAAUGAUGAGAGUCCUGGAGUAUGAGCUCAACUUAUAAAUUAUAAAAUAUUACAAUAAAAAAAAAUGAAAAGACACGCAUGUAUGAAUAAUUGAGAUAAUUUAUGUUUCUAGUGAAAAAUAAAGGAUAAAAUUAGAUUAAGAACUUCUUCCAUUUCUUAACUAUUUAUGCACAUAGUGGAUUCAGUUUUAUCAUUGAUUUUAACUUUUAAGGUAUGUGUGAUUUUUUUUUCAAAUAUAGAAAUAGUUGAUAAAAUAAAAAAUAAGUAUAAGAAACAAAAACAUAACACUCUAACGCUUUGGUAACAAUUUAUUGAUAAAGAAUGGUUAAAUUAUAUUGCUAGUAUGUACUUACUGAAUUUUUUUAUUGUUGAUUUAUGUGAUUUUUUUUAUAAUUAAUAAAGAUAAAGAUAUUUCAAAUUGAUUCGGGAUAAUAUUGAUGUGAUAUCUUAAAACGUUAUAAAAAAGUUUUACUCUCAUAAUAUAAAUACUAGUAAAAAAAUAUUUAAUGCAUCUAUUACCUUUUGGUUUUCAUGAAACUUAAAAUAAAAAGUCACAGUGACAUUUUAAUAAUUUUUGCAAGUAUAUAGGAUUCGGUUAAAAAAAACUCAGGUCAUAAGCUUACUUUUGGCGUUGGUUGUUCUCACACUGUUGUUAUAGAGUCCAUUGAAGACUUUUCAAUUAAUAAACUUUUGAUACAAGACUUUUGACUUCGGUUCUCUACAGAACCACCAUCGUAGAGUUCUGGAAAAUUAACAAUUUAAUACUUUUUAACUGACAAACUUUCUGGACAAGUUUUUGGUCUCGGUUCUCUAUAGAAUUAUUGUCAUAGGAUCUUAUGAAACUGACAACUUUUCUAGACAGAACUUUUAGCCUCGAUUUUCUGCAGAACCGCUAUCAUAGGGUCAUGACGUUGUAGGUUGUCUUUUCAAUUGGUAAUCCUAUGGCCACGGUUGUUUUAAAACUUGUGUCAUAGAAUCUUUAUGCUUCAGUUAUAUCACAAACUGAGGCAUAAAGUUUGAAACAAAUUUCAAAAUUUUCAGUGAAAAUAUUAUUUUUUUAUUUUUUGGAAGGCUUUAAGUAACGAUUAUUUGUAGAACCAAAACCAUAGAGCCCUUAUUGCUUUGAUUAGUAGAAUAAUCGAGGUAAUAUGUGUUCCUAGGGUUAUAUUUCGUGAAAUAACAAAGCCUUCUCUUGCACAUCUUCACUUUCUCUUUGGUUAUUCUUCUUCUUCUCUGCUAUGAUGAUGCUUACAAUGACCAGCACAUGUAUUUUUUUUCUUUCAUUUUACACAUGCCUGUUGAUUAACUACUUUAGGGAUAAUUUUAUUUCUUUUUGACCGAUUGGUUUCGUGUACAGGUACUUUUUUGUUUUCACCAAUUACUCUUUUUUCGUCACGACGUAGCAAUUUAUUUCGGCACUGAACCCACCUUCAUUCAUGGUUAGUUUCGUUUUGGGCUUUGAUUAACUUUCGUUUUCGUUUUUUGAACUGGUUUGUUGUUCAUACACCAUAGGGUAAAAAUAAAAAUAUAUCCAAAUGAAUUGAAAAAUUUUCCAAAGUACCAAAAUACCAUGAAAAGCUCCCAAAAAAAAAUGUGUCAAAAUUCAAACUGUAAAUAUGUGAAAUAUUUUUGCAAAGUUUGAAAAAAAUAAAAUAAAUUGACGAAAAAUAGAAAACGACUUUUUUUAAAACAAAAAAUCUAAAAGGAACAGUCAUCUGCUCUGGUUGCCAUGGUGUUGGAAAUUUAUUUCAUAAUAUGACCAAAUCGACUAACCGGAACAAAUGUUAUGAUAGUUUAAAAGAUCUAUGACUAUUUUUAUUUUUAUUUUUUUAUUUUAAGGGUCUAUAUUAGCGGUUUCUAACAGAACCAUUGCCAAAAACCCAAUUUAUUUUUAACUUUUUUGGGUUAAUGUUUCGGUUCUUUUGAACCAAGGUAAAAUCAUGACCCUUUUUGCUUCGGUUGUUGACUGAGGCCAAAAACUCCUCUUUUUUAUUUAGUCUGAAUAUACCUAGGUUCGAAAAUCAUUGUCAAAUGUCGAAAAUAACCGUUGUCGUAACCCUUUGCUACAUUAGUGAGAAUGUAUGGAUUUAGGGAACUCGAUUUGGUUUAAUGUUGUGUCAUCAAUUAAAAUUUUGGUUCUUUGGAAGCUUUUGUGCGGGUGUUUUUUGAGGUUCAAAAAAGGAAUGUGGUUUUAUACUCUAUAUGUUCUUUAUGUGGGAAUAAUUUUAAGUUUUUCUCUCAUUUGUUCUUUCAUUGUUCUAUUGUUAUGCGAUUAUCGGAACGAUUGAUGAGAGUUCAUCAAUUGUAGCAAUUUUUCUCUUUGAAUUUGAUUGUUUAAUUUAUGAAGUCUUCUUAUAGUCCUUUAUUUAAACUUAUUAAAGUGAUUGUCAUUAUUGUAGUUAUCUAAAAGAUGUAGAGAAUAUUAUAAUAAAUCUCAGGUUCUAAUUCUUUUUGUCCUUAUUCUUCAAAUUAAGGAAUUUGUGUUUAUAACUAGAAACAAAUGUAAUAAGCAUAUGAGUAAUAAUUUCUUUGAUAUUUUGGUAUUGAAAUUUUUUAAUAUUCCAACCAAGGAGGCUAGAAUGGUUUCAUUUUUGAAUGUUAUAUGGCAAGUUUCACUUGUUAAAUAAUUUAAGGUUUAUAAUGAUAUGUUAAGAAAAAAUUGUCUAAAGAGACUAGAUUGUUUAGCAACUCAUGUUUUGAAGUUUAACAUACAAUAAUUAACGAAAUAUCAUUUAGUGAGUAAAGCGUUUAAACAAUGUGCUUACUAAAAACAACGUUGAAUGAAAUGAGUGUUUUAUAAACUGACCAUCAAACAACGUUGGACGAAAUAAGCAUAUAUAACAUUUUAUGAAAAUAUUGUUUUCUUGCCUAUAUCGUCUAAUAGACAAUGUUUGAUAAACAACGUCUAACAAAAGAAAACGUCUAAGUGUAUGCUUAACGAAACACUAAAGCUUGAAAUUUUAUAUAUAAACAGUGUUGAAUAGAUAAAGUGUCUCAAGAAAAAGAAUCGUCUAGGAAAAACCCACUAAACAUCGUAAUGAAACUUAAGCAGCUUUAUGAAAUAAGCAUUUAACAUUCAUAUCGACUAAAAGAUCAUAUAUUAAACACUAUUUGAAUUUUGUGACUCAAACAGACGUGGUUGAAAGAGUUAAAGCUGUUAAAUAAAAAUAUAUUCAUAUUCUAUUUUUUAGGAGGAUUUUAGGCAUUAUUUAAUUAAUUAUUUUAGCAUAUAUUUUUAAAAGUCAGUUACAAAUUAUGUAGUAUAAAUAUUUACUGUUUAUGCUCAAUAAAAGAUAUCAGUUUCCCUUUUAUUAUUUUGUCACUUAUACGCUAAAACUCAACAAUUGGUAUCAAGAGCAAAAAGGAUCUUACGGGAUCUGUGAUAUAACCCAUAAACACCUACAACCACAAAAUAGCCACCACACACAUAAAAUGAAAUCUCAAACCUCAUUUACUACGGUUUCUAUACCUGUAUUUGAUGGACAAAACUAUCAAAUGUGGGUUGUCAAAAUGGAAGUAUCUAGAUGCUAACGAUGUAUGGGAAGAGGUAGAACAAGACUACGAAGUGGCUCCCUUGCCAGAUAAUCCUACAAUUGCUCAAAUGAAAAAUCACAAAGAAAGCAGGCUUCGAAACUCUAAAGCCAAAUCAAUUUUGUUCACAGUUGUAUCUCCAGUCAUUUUCAACAAAAUAAUGACGUUGAAAACGGCAUAUGAAAUCUAGAACUUUUUGAAGGAAGAGUAUGAAGGCAAUGAGAGAGUCAAAGGAAUGCAAGCUUUGAAUCUGGUUCGAGAACUUGAGAUGCAGAGGAUGAAAGAUUCAGAGACAACCAAAGAUUAUGCGGACAAGCGUCUCGGCAUUGCAAACAAAAUACGUCUUCUAGGCAUUCAGAUUCCUGAUUCUCGAAUUGUUCAAAAAAUACUUGUAACAAUUCCAGAAAGAUAUGAAGCCACAUUGACUUCCUUAGAGAAGUCAAAAGAUCUUUCUACUAUUACCUUGGUAGAACUUUUGGCAGCACUUCAGGCUCUAUAACAAAGAAGACUCAUGAGAGAAGAAGGUGAUAUUGAAGGGGCUUUGGCAGCUAAAUUGCUAAAAAAAGGGUCAGGAAGUUUCAACCACAAAAAUGAUAACAAAUCCUCUAAUGUUUUUCCAUCAUGUCCUUUUUGUAAGAAAAACAAUCAUCCACAUACAAAGUGUUGGUGGAGGCCAGAUGUGAAAUGCCAUAAAUGUGGACAAUUAGGGCAUGUGGAGAAAAUAUGCAAGUCAUCAGAAAAACAAGAGAAUGUACAAGCCGUGGUUGAAGAUGAUGAAGAAGAACUUUUUGUUGUUUCUUGCUUUGCUACUGCAAGAUCAACAGAAAGUUGGCUAAUUGAUAGUGGUUGCACGAACCACAUGACUUACGAUCAAGAAUUAUUCAAAGAUCUUGAUACAACCUACAACACAAAUGUCAGAAUUGGAAACGGAGUAAAAAUAGAAGUUAAAGACAAAGGAACCAUCGCAAUCAAAGGUUGCACAGGUUUGAAAUUAAUUAUUGUUGUUCUAUACGUUCCUGAAAUUGACCAAAAUUUGUUGAGUGUUGGCCAACUUCUAAAGAAAGGCUAUAAAGUUCUAUUUAAAGACAAAUCAUGCAUGAUUAAAGACUUAGAUAAUAAAAAAUUAUUCAGAGUUCAAAUGAAAGGCAAGAGCUUUGCCUUAAAUUUGAUUGAUAAAGAGCAAUUUGUUAUGCCCAAGGUUGAAGACAACAUGCAGGUACAAGGGUUGCCUGAAUUGGAAGAGAAAUCACCUAUAUCCACAACUUUGCAAUAUGGAAAACAAACGAGGUUGCUUUUUCCAAAAGACAAAUCUUGGAGAGCAACAAACAAGUUGCAGUUAGUACAAACAAAUGUUGCAAGACCUACAAGAACCUCAUCUCUUAAUGACAAGAAAGUAAAGCUAGUGGGUGUUAAAGUUGGUUAAAGUAAAAUUAAACCAGAAAAAUUACAGGAAGAAAAGCAUCCUAAGACAAUUCUUCCCAAAGCAAAAGCUGAAAACGCAGAGCAACAAAGCAAUACUGAAAAGGUGAAAGACACAGACAACUCAAAGUUAGACGCAGUUCUUGAAAAGAUAAAGAAACCAGGAGUGGUCGAGAAUUCCAAAGUGGAGGAAAUUUAGAUGAUACGGUCAAGGAUGAAAAGACUUAAAGUAUGCUGACUUUGAGUCAAGGAGGAGUAUUGGAAUUUUGUGACUCAAACAGCAUGUGGUUGAAAGAGUCAAAGUUGUUAAAUAAAGAUAUAUUCCUAUUCUAUUUUUUAGGAGGAUUUUAGGCAUUAUUUAAUUAAUUAGUUUAGCAUAUAUUUUUAAAAGUCAGUUACAAAAUAUUUAGUAUAAAUAUUUACUGUUUAUGUUCAAUAAAAGAUAUCAGUUUCCCUUUUAUUAUUUUGUCUCUUAUACGUUAAAACCCAACAAACACUCUACUUCCUAAACGAUGUUUUUAUCAAACGAGAUUACAUGUGUAAAUAUGUUUUAAAUACGCAAUGUGCAUAAAUGAUUACAAACAUUUAAAACAUUUAUUGCAUGUAUGAAAAGUACAUUUUUGCUUGUAUGUCUUGCUCUCUUUAUCUCUAUAGAUAAUGACACUACCAAGCUUUACUCAAAAACUCUACACAAUGAUCAAAAAGACGUUAAGAGAUAGGAAGCACAAUAGCUCUGCAACGUAGACCUGAGUCUGACUACUUACCUAAAAAGGUUAUGAAGUUUACAUAGAAGUCAAUUUUCUGUCUAACGGAUCUUUCUCAAAGAUAUAUAUAUAUAUAUAUAUAUAUAUAUAUAUAUAUAUAUAUAUAUAUAUAUAUAUAUAUAUAUAUAUAUAUAUAUAUAUAUAUAUAUAUNAUAUAUAUAUAUAUAUAUAUAUAUAUAUAUAUAUAUAUGAUUGCAUAAAGAGAAGGCAAGAAGAAUACAUGUAUAAGCUUAUUGUUGCAUUGUCUCUACACAUCGUCUCACACUUUCAUUAAAAGAGAAAAUAUUUUCAAGUUUUUAUAUUUCAUUGCGUUGAAUCUAUCCUCUCUUUGAGACUUGCUUGAAUUUGUACUUGUAUCCAAACACACAUUAAUUAUGUUUAUAAAUUCAUAAGUAAAUUAAAUCACUUGUUUAACUCAUUUAAGUUAAAUGAUCUAGUCAAAUUGACUAGUUUGAAACCAAGAAAGGGUAAACUCAUUGGUCCAGUUUGGAUUAUGGUAAACCAUGAGUGGUUGAUAAUACUUAUUGAAACCAAGAGUUUUUUAUAAUACUCGUUAUAAAUCAGGUUUGUCAUUAUAAACUAGGAAUGUCGUUGAUAUGUAUACCAUUAUAGUCCAAAUUUAACCAUAUAUUGGGUGAUAGUAAAAUUAUCAAUGCCAAAAAAACUUCUACAUCGCAUGAUUGUCACACUCACGGACAACCACCCAUUAGCUCUCACAAAUAAGAAAAAAAAAAUUAGCAUAACACACUCAAAAGCUACUACCAUAUGAACUAUCACAUAUCUUUGUUUUAUUUAUAUUUUUGUAUAGGAUUUAAUACUACUCUCACAUUUUUACAAAAAUAAAUCAAAACAUCAUAAAUAAGACUCAAACUCAAGACUUUACCCAUCAACACAAAACUUCUAACCAAACAAAUUAUCACAAUAUUUUAAAAUAAUGAUAGCAAUUUAAAAACAUAUUAUUAUCUAUUAUCUAUUUUGUCUCAUGUAAAUAUUUUUCUUCAGUCUUACAUAAUGCAAUUUGUCACACAAAAUAAAUUUUAAUGUCAUUUAAAAAUAAAUACCAAAACCAAUACUUUUAAAAAUAACCAAACAAAAACAAAGUUUGGACUAAACACCAUUUCCAAUUUUACUUAAUGGACAAAAACAUAUUUUUCCUUUUCAAGCUCAAACUCAUAUUCAUGUAAGUAACAAUUUGUUAGUGAAGUAACUCGAAUUUUGGGCAAAGUGCCAAAUAUUCGUUGCCUUCACCGACAGCCAAAAUUGGUGAAGUUUGAUAUUACGUUCUCAGCGCUAUGUCUCACACAUACUUCCAAAUAUGGAAGAGGUUUCUUCUUCAAGACUUGCCACCAUAAGAUAUUAUUACAUGAUUACAAAUUUUCCACGGUCCCAAAUUAAAAUCAUUAGUGUGAUGAUAAAUAAAUUGAUAUCAUAAGAUCUGUUCAGUUGUUUUAAUGUUGAUGGAGAAUAUAUAUAUAUAUAUAUAUAUAUAUAUAUAUAUAUAUAUAUAUAUAUAUAUAUAUAUAUAUAUAUAUAUAUUCGCAUAACAUGAGUAUAAAUAUGAUUUGAAACUCGAUUUUUUAAAUUAAAUACGAAAAUGAGAAAAGAUGCAUACAUAUUUACAUAAAUUUUUAAAAUAAUUUUAUUUAUUUGAUAUUUUACUUUAAAAUUUAUAUAAGUAUAAUUUAUUCAUUAUCAUUUUGUCAAAAAAUAUUUAAUAAAUAUUUAGAUAAGUACAGGUACAAAUAGGACUAUAUCAUAUUUGACCAAAAUAGAAAUAAAACACAAAAUUUUAUAUUUAUCAAGUAUUAAAGAUAUGUAUAAGUUUUUUCUUUUAGGACAAAAAUAAAUAUAUUAAACUCGUAUAUCUCCAUAGAGGUGAGUCCUCCGUAACCAGUUGUUAAAAUGCUAAAAUAUUUAUUUAGCUCGUAUAAAUAUUAAACAAAAAGAUAUACGAAAAAAUAAUAUAAAAUGAUAGAAUAAUCCCUCGUAAUUAGUUGACUAUGAGUAUCACAAGUUCAAUGAAUAUAUGUAGCCGUUAGGUUCAUAAAUUAAUUGUUUUUAUAUAUAUACUAGUGGAAACUUUUUUUUAGAUGAUUAAUUUAAUUUUAAAAACUAAAUAAAUUUAAAUAAAUAGUGAUUUAAAAGAAUAAAAUAAUAAAAUUAAAAAAUGAUGAAAUUUAAAUUAACUACUUUUUUUUGUUAACGAUUCUAAAAAAAAAUAUUUUUAUGGGUUAUAAGUAUCAUUUUAACUAUUAUUUUUAUUCUCAAAUAAUAUUAGAAGGUUUUGGUAUCAUUGUAGAUAUUUUAUUUUCUCUACAAUUAUUUAACUCUUUCUUAAGGAAUUAGGAGUGGUAAAAUCUUCUACAAAUCAAUUCAUUCGAUUUUUCCUUUUUUUUGAAAGAUAAAUUAAUAUAUUUAAAUCAUAUCUCAUAUAUAUAAAUAUCAUAUUCUAUCAAUCUCGAAAUCUUGAUUCAAAUUCUUCCAUAUUUAAUAAAAGAUGUAUCUUUCUUUAAUUGGAAUAGUCUUUUUUCUUAAAAAAAUGAAUUUUUACUUUUUUUUUCACACAGGAAUUGAAGAAUUUUAUUUUUCUACAUAAUUUAUAUGUAUGAAAAUAUGAAUUUAUUUUUCUUUUUCUAGAUAACAAAUCCUCUCAGUUACAAUUAAAACAUUUUCACGUUUUUUUGAGCAAAUUUUUUUCUAUAAAACAAUAAAACAUCUUAUAAAAGUAUUUAUUAAAAAUUGUUCAUAUACUUUUUUUUGUAUGUUAUUGUGUACGUAUCCUAUGCAAUGUUUUAUAACAUCAUAUUUAGCUAUCUCAAUAUGUAAUCUUAAAUCAUAACUGCAUCGUAACAAAAUAAAAGAUGAAUCAUGACUAAUUGCUAAAAGUGAUAAAAAUCAUACUUCAUCUCAAUACUAAAACACUCCUAAGUUAUGUAUUAUACAGCUAUGUAUGGUACGCUUACAUAUUUUAUAUAUACGUAGUGUUCGUGUACUUACAUAGUGAACAUCUACGUAUUUUACGUCUACAAAUUUUACGUCUACAAAUUAUACGUUUACAAAUUGUAUUUUACAUAUUGUACGUCUAUAUAUUCUGUGCCUACAAAUUGUAAUAAUGAAAUCUAAUGCGAUAACUAAAUUUGAUCCAGGAUUUUUGUACCAUCAAUUUUUUUUUCUUUACCUUUAUUCAUUCUUCUAUCUACUAUUAUCUAUUGUAUGGUAACUAGAAAUUAUAUAGAUAAACAUUCCUAAUUAUCCACAAAAUAAAUGGAAGUAAACAUAUCUAUCAAGCAAAUCGACUAAAAACUCUAGAUAACACAAAAAAUGAACAGAAACCCUUUUGCUAAUGUAUCUUGAAUUUUCUACUCACUAAUAAUUACAUAAUUACCUCCCCAUAACGAAAUAAAUAUAAGCAUAAAUACAUAUGAUAUGACAUUUGCCGAGGCCAAGGAUGGAGAAUAACAUUGUAUUUUUCAAUAACCAAAACGAUCGAUUUAAAUUCAAACUAUUGACUCCAAACGGUCAACAUUACAUCAAAUAGACUGGACUCAAUCCUCUACAAAAGAAUACGCAAGACUCUUCCAGUAUUUCAUUAAUCACUGGCAAACAGGAGUGACACUGUGAAGAGCUCCAUGAUAUAUUUUACAAAAAGAAUGGUUUCAACGCUUUUGAAUGCAUGAGCCAUAUUUCAUUAGAUGAGCAUUUCUAAGACUAUAUCCAGAAAGUGAAACCAUAUUCAGGGCAAAUGUCCACAAUACCUGCUCUACGUAAAUUAGUUAGAACUUGCUUGAUGUUGAUCGAUCAAAACACCUACAGUAGAAACAAAAAAUAUAUAUCAUCAUAAGGGCGUAACUUAAAUAUAUUGUUAGAAACCAUGCGACAAUUCAUAUUGGAAGACAGAGCAACUCAAUACAUUCUAAUUAAAUCUUUAUACAAAAAUAAUAAAGUUAGUAGAAAAAAAAAGAGAAGAUUUCAUUUAAAUCCAAAGUACAUAUCUUAAAUCCAGUUAAAAAACCGUACAAUUUGGUGAGGGUAAGUUUAGAGAACAGAGGUUAUCUAUAGGUCAGAGCAUGCUGUAAGUUUCAAGAUGGUGCUUAUAGAACUCGGACAUACAAUAUUUCAUUGAACUUACUAAGUAUAUUUGGACAAGCUGAUCCAGAAUGACUUCUACCAAGAAAAAAAAAUGACUUAUGCAAGUUAAAAACAAAAACUUAUAAAAAUUAUACGAAAGAUUCUCCGAAUUAGUUAAUACAUAAGAUAAUUUUAAUUUAUAGAAAAGUUUUUCUUUUUUUUCUUUAUACUUUUCUCUUCUAAAAGUCCUAAUCUACACUGGGCGAGAAAUGCAAGUAGCAUUUGAUUCUUCCAGUCUAACUUGUAACCUUAUAAACUUUCAUGGACCAAAUUAAGGUAUUUGGUAAACAAGUUUCCUACAAAAGCUUAUAGCUACCCUAAACUAUUUCAAAUAGCUUAUAAUUUACAUAAGCCUGUAGCUAUUUUUUCCUUCCACUAAUAUUCUUUCUAGUUUAAUAUACUUAUUUUUUACCCAAGGUCUCUUAAUUGUUCACAUGUAACAACUUUUUUAGUUAUUAUUUUAAUUAUUACAUGUUCUCUUUUUAUUAAUUCUUGGGUAUUACACUAUUAACUUUAAAAAUAUAUUUUAUCUUAAAAACCAACAACAAAAAUUUUAUCCUACUCUAUUGUUAAGACAUGCUAAAUGAAUAACAUGACGCCAUUGGGCUAAUCUAAGAUGAUAAUAAUAACCUAACAUGUUUGUCUAUAAAACAAAAAUAGAACACACGAAAAAUUCAUCAUAUAACUCAUGUUACCUUACAUUUACUAGUACUUCAAUAAUUAAUUUUACUAAACAUUUCUUAGUUUUUCCGAACAUAGUCAUAACCCUUUCACCUUUUGUUUCCUGUCAAAAUUUCAAACAAAGAGUUAAGGAACAGAAGUCAAAAUGCAAUAUCACUCAUCUUUCUGCUGAAUCCAUAUUUCCUAACAGAUAUGGGGAAAACACUAUGAACAAACCUUCUGGACAUUCUGAAUUAGUAUACACAGAUCUUAGUUUCAAUAGAUAACUGCUUUCUGCAAAAUCAUGCAAUGAUUUAUAUCCUCGUCCCCCGCCAUCAUCCUCAGAUUCCGCAACAUCCUUAAUUGGCGAUCUUCUACAUUUAUCAGCUUCCUAGUUAAACAUCAACAAAUUGAAACAUAAAUAAUAAUUGCUGAAGAUAUGAUUUAAUUACAUUAAAUUGGAAAACAUGAUAUGAUAUGAUAUGAUCACAUAAAAUAUGGAAAUAUCUGAGAAAAUGUUUUGCAACACUGGUUAUCAAUUUUGUUCCUAAUUAUUGUAUCUCUUCUUCAUUAUAAAUAAGAGUACAAACACGAGUACAAGAUACACAACAAUAAGCAAUCUUUCCAAUAUAGUAUCAUCCAUGACCAUUUUAGUCACUGAUCCCUUGAUAAGCCAUGACUUUUUCCCUAGAGGCAAUGACGCUGUCUUUGCCACUGAGACUUUCUCUUUCAGGUAAACAAUACCCGCUGCAACAUUUUUACUUUCCAGCAACCACCGAGCAUAUUUUGCUCUCUGGCAGCCACCACAUGCUCUGACCAUUUUUGCUACACAGUAGUCACGCCUUCCAAGCACUUUUGCUCUCCGACAACCAUCACAUCCUCAUAUACCAUUUUUGGUCUUCUGCAGUCACCAUAUCCUCCUAGCAACUUUUUCUCUCCAACAGCCACCACGUCCUAUGAAUAUUUCUGCUCUUUAACAGCCACCAUGCCCUCUAAGCAUUUUUGCUCUUCAACAGCUGUUGUGUCCCCUGACCUUUAACACAACCCUGUCAUCAAAGUCGACCCUUCUCUGACAACCACUAUGCUGCUCAACACAUGGCCAACAGCUGCCAUGUGCCACCAGCUCCUUAGCAUAUGACCUUCACACCUGCUCCAAACUGAUGCAUGAAGCUUGACUUUGUCAGCUCCAGCAACAAACUGGCUUAUCUGCUUGCUAAGUCUCUCAAGGAGUCUCAUGUUGAUGAUAUUUAUCACAAGCUUGUCUCAUAUGAAACAUAUGUUCCAACUUGAAGGAGAGUAUUAAAAAUAUGAUUUGAUUACAUUAAAUAAGGAAAUAUGAUUUGAUCGCAUCAAAUAGGGAAAUAACUUAGAAAAUACUUCUCAUUAGUAGUUCUUGAAUUUGUUCGUCACUACUAUAUAUUCUCCAUUAUAAAUAAGAGUAUACUCAUGUGUACAAGAUACACAAUGACAAGCAAUCCUUUCAAUAAUAAUAAAAUCUAAACAAAAGCAACUGAGGAGAAUAUUUUCAGCAACAUAUAUGAAGGACAACAUAAACAAACAACGCAUUCAGAAAGACCUAUCAUCUAAGGUUAAGGUAUUACGCUCAAAUCAAAUGGCGCCAAGUACAAUUUAUAGAGAUUCACCUGUAAAAAGCCUAGCAUUUGCUCUUCAAUUGUACCAUGCAUAGCUAGUGUUUCAACGUGAAUAGGACGAGAAGCACCCAUUCGAUGAGCACGACUAAUUACUUGCUCCUCCAUACUGACAAGAUUUCAAGUCAGAAGAUAAUGAAAUUGGAUAAACAUUCCAAUUUGAGUCAAAGUAGAAAAAUCCAACAAAUUGGUAAACCAAAAGAUUCACUGCCAAUCACUUUAUGCAUCUGCAUGGCUACAGUUGGCAAGUUGAAUUCCAAAACAGAAAAUUCAGUAUUGACAGAUAAUGUAAAUUAACCACACCCUGGACCACAAUUUUAAAUGACUAAACCAUUUAUGGCAAAAAAGUUCACAAAAUUUUAACAUGCUCAUGACUUUAGAAUAUCAAUUUAUUCCUCAGCCAAUAAAAAAUUAUAUCCUUGUUUGUAAAUUAGAAUAGUCAGAUGUAUUAACCUUCUGUCCCAAAUUGGCUCCAUUAGAAAUACAUGCGUAACAAAACUCAAGUCCAGACCCAAUGCAGCACUUCCAUCCAUUAGAAGCGCCAUACAACUUGAAUCAUGCUGGAACGUGGCUAAAGACUUCUUCUGAAAAAGGAAAAGGUAAAUUAACCAAAGGUCAGACACCAAAAGUAAAUUAAAAUUUUCAGAAACAACCAAGAAUUCCAACAUUAUACCUUGUUACUGGAAUGCAUUGGGCUAUACAUUCCAGCAUAUUUGAUACCAGCAAUAGCUAACUGCCAAAGAGAAACAAGUCCAAUUUAAUAGUUAGAUCAUUUGCAAAAGCAUCCACAAAUGCCAAAAAAGUAAAAUAGAAACACUUCACAAAAGACCAUACACAUAAAUGCACCUGCUGUUCAAUGACAUGUAUAUGCUCAAGAAAUUGAGAAAAUAUAAGAACUUUCUCAAGGUUAGAAUUGGUCUUUGUGCUGCUCUUCAAACAUUUUUGAAAUGCUGAUUUAUCAUCACUUCUAUGCAGAGAGAAACUAUUCUCAAUAGGCAUCUCAUCAUUGUUAUUGUCUGUACAGAAGCUAGUCUCUUCGUUGGUUCCUUGCAAGGCUUUCAACUUCUGGACAAGAUAUGAGACUUUAGUACUAGAUGUAGAUUGCCAAUCUGGAUCCCAAUUAUCCUGGGUUCAACAAUCAACAUUGCAUAUUAGCUUUGUAAAACAGAAAAAUGGAAGGAAAAGAUAAAUGUGAAUGCCAACUGAGCUCUUCAUAAACCAUGCCUGCUUAUAUGACGGUUGUAGCUCAAUAAGAUCUUUGGGUACAGGCCACUUUGGAUUAGGAUUUUCAGGUCGGGGAAGUCUACUUUGCAUCUCAUACAAUUUACUGCAGCCAGGAUAAGAACACUUCGUAUGGUCAAUAGAAACACAAUCAAGGCACAACAAAUGCCGACAUGGUGUAAUGACCGGAAGGCGGCACCAUUCCUUGCACCUUCACAAUUUAUUUAGAAUGAUAAGAUUAAUAAGCAGCAACAAGACAAAAAAAAAGAUACAAGAAAAUACAAAACCUAGGUACUACCUGACACAGUGACCACCAUACAAGAGAUUACAUCUUAUGGAGGUAUACUCUCCAGAAGUAGGAUCCAGACCACUUUGUACUAACAUAUCCAUUGUUUCUUGAAUAUCUUCACCAGCAUGUGUAACCUUAAUAUGUCCAGCAACACAGCACGAAAGCCUGACAUUUUUUAUAGUUGCCCUACGAAACUUCCACUGCUUUGGAUUCAGUAGACUCUCAACAUGUGAGGGAUCAUUCCAAUCAGCCAUCAAUAUAUUACGCCUUACAGUGAUUACCAAUUCAUUGUAACUUCUAGCAUGCUCCUCAUUAAAAUCCAGAUAAACAACUUUCUUGAUGCAUGGUGGGAUGCUUUGUAAUUCUGUCUUUCUAGCACUAAUCAUGCAUUUGUGAAGCAGAUCUAACAGACGAGACCUCCCUUCCUCCAUUUCUGCUUCAAAUGGCCUGAGCACACCAGCUUCCCAUGACUUUUGAUUCAGUCCAUAAGAUUCUUCAUGAAGGAACCUUAGCAAUGUUUGCAGAUGUGGAAGUUGGCUGUUAGGAGUGUUAGGUGUAGGAGUUCCUGUUAGUAUCCAUCGAUUAGAAGCUAUCAAUGAAAUGGCCAUUUGCAACUUGUUUGUUAAGUUCAGGCUAGACCCAAGAGUGUGCCCCUCAUCUAAAAUUACCCGAAACCAAUGUACUUGCAUCAAAACACUCCUCUUACGAGGGCCCCACUCUGCACUCAGACGACUAAAAGUGGUUAUGACAAUGUCGUAAUCCCAUGCAAGACAAUGCACAGAUGGCUUCCGGUGAUCAGUCCAAACAUAAAUCCGCAAUUGACCGGGCCUCACAUGCUUUUCUAUUUGUGUUUUCCAAUGAUCAACCAAGUUUGCUGGAACAACUACCAGGGUAGCCCUUGACAAGUAUAACCUGACAAAAUCUAUAGGCUCACGGAGUGCCAUGCCAAGGGCAGCCACAUCAAAAGUCAAAUUGUUAAGAUGUUGAGGAUAGAACCACUUGCACACACCUUUGUCUACUCUCUUUAAGAGGCCAAAUGCUUGAAAUACUUUGUGGAAGGCAUUAAAAUGUCUGCCAGAUGCAGUACACGUGUUUAAAAUAGGACCUCUUAUUCCAUUUGUUUCCAUAGCUGCAAGCUUGUCUGUUGAAAUUUUAGCCAACCAGGCCAGGGCUUUUUUUGUCUGAGAAUUUAUCAGUGAGUAGUGCUCCUUAAGCACGCUGGUGAAAAAAGAAACAUUUUGUCUGUCACCACCAUGAGUCCCUUUUAAGUGAAACCCUGGCAAGUAUGUUAUCCUAGAUGUAGAACGAAAAUGUUGUUCAGGGACACUACAACUUUGAUAAAGAGGGUCAGGGUUCAUACUACAAAACCAUGCUGCACUAGAACUAGCCAUACUAUUGUCUGCCAGCUUUCGCCACUUGUGACAAGCAUCACACUGAAUCCAUGUAUCACUGUACUCAAAAGGAUCACCUUGAGGCUUCCCAGGCAGCUUCUUUUGAGAUAAAUGAGGUGUAACAUCUGAUGCAUGUUUUGCUUUAAUUAAUCCUUCAACUUCUCUUUCCUUGGAUAUCAUAGCUUCCUCUUCAUUUGUGAAGCAUAGGUUUUUCUUUAUGCGGCUCAAACUCCUAGUGUACUGAUUUGAAUGCACAGAUUCCUUAAAGCGUGCCUCCACAGGUGAUUUGUUUACUUCCAUGGAACAUGAACUCUGAAGUUUAAUCAUUUGCUGGUCAGGAUUUGACAUUCUGGCUCUUUUGGAGGAGUAUUCAUGGUUAUCAUUAGUUCUACUGAUAUAUUGGCUCCCGUUCCUUUUACCCAAUGCAGAACAACCAGUUAUGUUAUUACCACAGAUCUCAUAAUAACCACAUUUCUGAUUACCAUUAUGUUGACACCAGACAACUUGUGCCUCUACUGGUGGAUCUGCCAAUGUACCUCGUGUCUUCAUAAUAAGAGAGAGUGCCGUUACAGUCUUACCCAAACCAGGCUCAUCACAAAACAUUCCUCCUCGAAAAUCCCUGAUGGUGGGAGCUUCCCCAGUGACAAUUUCACCAGAAACGGUAUUUACAUGGAAACUAAAACCAUCUUCAGUUGAGAGAAAUGCAUAUAAAGGGUGUGGCAAAAGCUCAGCAUUUCGCUCACGAUGCAACAUCCACUCAACUGCUGCCUGCUGAUGAGGAAACAGAUUUAACUUUGUACAAGGCAUUACAGAAGCAGCCAAUGAUCUUAGAUGACGACACGUUUCAGAAACCCUAGUGAGGUCCAUUGGGUCAAGGGAAGAUAAAAUUUUUGUUAAAAUAUCAUCAGAUAACUCCCAAAUGCCUGCUCUGCAUGAGUGAUCCAUAGGAAUUAUUUUGGAGCUAUUAAACAUCCGCUGUUUUCCUAUGCCAGGUAGUGUCUUGAAAAGUUCAUGAAGUUCAAAUAGGCUUUUCCUUGAAGAACUGCUAACAUGGGGAUGGAGCUUGCAACAAAGUACAUGACAAUCAGAAAGGUUCCAAAAGCUCUCGUUUGCUCCAUGAGUCUUUCUACAAUAGUCUGGAUAUGAAAGCAUUGAACUUCGCUCAUCCCAAUCACAGCUGCAAACAUUUCUAACUGUUAGCAAACUAAAAAGUCAACGACAUGUGUAAAGUAUAUUACACAGGAAAAUGAAGGCAAUAGAUUAGUCAAUUUAAAUUAUUAUUACAAAAUUAUGAGAAUAUAACUGGUGAGUUUAAUAGAGAAGGUAUUAAGUUUGACAAAGGUUAGAAUUUAUGUAAACUCGUGAGAGCUCCAUAAGAGCUUCAUAAACUCAUAAUAAGUUACUUUACAUGAAAAAGAAAAGUAAUAUCCAUAGAUAGCAAAUUAAUGCAACAGUUCAACACGAUAAUUAAGCAAAAUAGUUAAAAAAAUAAUUCCACAAUAGUAAAACAACUACAUUCAAUAGCACAUGACUACUAUAUAAGUAUAAAGCACACCAAAUAAAUAAGUUCAUACAAUGACAAAGCAUAAAUUGUUAAAGUCACAUACCAAUUAAAUAACUAGACAGAGACAUCAUCUAAUGUCAAAUUUCAAUGUCCAAUCCUCUAAUGACAUCAUCAUCUUCAUCAGAAUGUCAUCACCAUCAAACUCUUUCUCACAAGAAAAUUGUGUAUCAAUAUUGGCAUCAAAAGUCCUAUUAUCAAGAUCAAGUGCAUCUAGAAUUGGAUCUCUUGUUGCUCUAUCUAAGUUAGCAUUUCCACGUUCAUCAUCACAUUGAACUUGCUCAAUCUCAACAACAUUAUAUCCCUUUGUAGUUAUCAAUUCAUCAUCAGACAAAAUAUCAUCAAACAAAAGAGCAUCAAUUUUUCUAAUUAGUUUAUUUUUCAAUUUCAAGUUAUACAUCACAUAAACCAAACCAUUCAUCUUUUUCUGAUAGAAACAAUUACUUCUCUUUCUAUGAAUGUAUAAUAAAUAUCAAAUUCGGUAAAUAUAUAAACCAAAUGUAGAAAACUAUAAAUUAUAAAUAACUUCAAUUACUAUUUCAAAUAAGCUCCAAUUAUGCUCACACCCAAAAGAGCUACAAGUCAAACUCAACUCAAAUAGCAAACCACUAUAACUUUGGAGUUCUAUCCCAAGACAUCUCCCACCAUUUUCCAAGAGGCAACACUUUCCUACAAUCCCUCGCAUGUUCCAUGAAAGAAAGUCCUCUAACAUAAUGAAAAUCAGCGAGUUGCAAACUAAUUUCUUUUUCUUUAUGCAACAUCCUUAAACCAAUAUUUUCAUGCAUAUAUACAAAUCCUCUUUCACCUUGGAAUCAUCAUGCCAGGUUCAUAUUCGAAAUACUGAGGUAAUUGGGAAAAAAAGAAUCCAUAUAUGAAACAGAAGGAUCUAGAAUACAACCCGUCUUCGAUUUGAUACCCUUUUUGGUAUUGCUUUUUUCAAUCUUCUUUAUUUAGACUAUUGUCUAAAUCAAAUACCAAUACGUUUAACCUUCCUUUUUGCGGUAGUAGUUGCAUGCAGAGGCUUGUGAAGUUGAUCUUUCCACCUUUCAUCAAUGAUUUUCCAAACAGCUUCAUAACUACUUUCAAUACCAACUAUCCUGUACUAGAAAUAAUUUCACAAAUAAGUAAUUAAAUUUCAAAGAAUUUUUACCUUUUCAUAGUAUUAUUAAAGUAGCACUUAAUCUUCUCUUUUGCACAAUUUAUCUCCUCAUAUUUGAAACCCAUUGUGGGUUUUAUACAUCCACCAAUAUUAGGGUCACCAUAAGAGGGGUAGCAACUUUGAGGUAUGUGGUUACAUUCUUCCAAAACCAACUAUCCAAUACUAUAUUUUCAACUUUUCUCCCCUCAAAGUUCCAAAUUUGCUUGUUUUCCACUCUUCAAAGCUAAACAUGGUCCACCAUGGUAUUUUCAAUUCAGGAAGACAGGCUAGAGUCAUGAGUCGUUACAAAUCUAGUCAUACCCAAUCUUAUCAAGUCUCUUCCUUUUGUGAACUACUUCAACAAGCUAAUUAACAUUGUUUUACAUAAAUGUAGGUGUUGAUCAUUCUUCCCUUUUUGAUAGUAACUUGAUGAACUUUCAAAUUCUUUCCAAAAAUCAAAUCAAUGCUAUGGGGAGCACAUGGGGUCCAACACAAAUGCUGCUUUUUUUCAGCAACAAAUCUCGAACUGCCUUAAAAUUUGAAGCAUUACCAUUUACCUGCACUACAUUUUCCUCUCUCACAAAGUCCACAACAUUAUCUAACAUCUUAAAAAAUUUUCUCUUGCUUGUGAUAGUUUGCAGUAUCCCGUGAACAAAGAAACAUAGUUCCUUUAGGACUACUCACCAAAAAGUUACAAACAAAAACACUUUUUCCUCUCUAACAAAUUGAACUGCUUGCACUACAUUUUCCUCUCUAACAAAGUCCACAACAUCUUAAAAACUUUAUCUUUUGUUUUUUAGAUGCUUGAAGUAUCAAAUGAAUAAAGAAACACGGUCUCUUUAGGACUAUCCACCAAAAAGUUACAAAUAGAACACAUUUUUCAUCCAUCCACCCAUUAGACAUAAUUAUGCAAUUUGUUCUCUUCCACUUGCCAAAAAUUCUUAAAGGACUAAGUCAGUUUUUAACACUGCUUGUUUCAAAAGCUUCUCUAACAUAAUAAUGAGAUGGAGGUUUAUGGCAAACCCCAUAUUUACCAAUCAUUCCAAUUUUUUGGCAAAAGUUGGAUUUUAAUUACGUUGAAUGGAAUGACACUCAGGUAAAAAAAAAAAAAAAGCAGAACCUUGAGCAUCAACUUCUUCUUUACAAGCUUAUAAUCAUUUAAUUUAUAGUUGCUUGAACUCUCGUCUACUACUACUAACUCUUUCUUUUCCUUUAAAACCCAACAUUUGUUGUCUUUCUACAAACCCCCUACUUGCUUCCUAGUCUUCAUUAAUUACAUUCAACCUUCUUUUCUUCAAUAAAGCUUCCUUGGUUUUUGCAACAGCUUCUAUAAUCAAAAUAUUUAUUUCUUCUGAAAAAAAAAACAGCACAAUGUUCAAAAUCCUCUCUGGUUUCCAAUUGAUGUGGAAUCUCCAUUAUAGGGUGCUUGGCUGUUGGGGAGUUUUGGGGCACUCUUGGGUUGUUCUAUCUUCUCUAUGCAUUGGUGCUCGCCAAAGGGGUGCUUCAAAUGUUCCCUGUCAUUAUGAAAUGGCUUUAAAUACAAUAUCAGUGGCAACAAACCCAAAAAGUUUAUCCAAGUGGUGGAAGCAAACCCCCAAAUCUAGUAAUGGAGUGAAGAUUGAUGUGGCAUGGAAGCAUUGUGUUUCAAUUAUUCAGAAUGCAAGAAAAAUAAAGUGUAAAUACUAUGACAAGGUGCUUAAAAGGAGAACUAUUGAUUGAAGAUCAUUGACAAGAACUUUGAAGGAUGUUGGAGAAUGUAGAGUCGUUCCUACAAAGUUAAGAAACUAAUAGGGGAGAGUUCCUCAGUUACAGCAAAAUCUGAAUAAAAUGUCACAGUUCAAUAAAUAAGGAGGUUGUAGCAUUGCUAAAAAAUCUCCUUAUUUUUCAUCUUUUAGGGAAACUUCUUCAAUCUUUUCCUCCCCAACCAAUUGCUUCUUCCUCACUACACAAUAUUGAUCAAAAAGUUGACCUAAUCUUCUUCCUCCCCAAAUGCAAAGAAUUUUUUGACAAACACCCCAAGGAAGGUCCUAAUACACAUUUUCUUGAUACACAUUAAUACACAUUUUCCUAAUAAUAUUUUAAAAAGAAAAAAUAGUGAAUGAUGAAAAAACUUUCUCAUCUUCCGUUACAUUUUUUCCCUGUACAAAUUCUCCAUUGUGCAAUUUUUCCAGAAAAGCAGGGUUUUCCAAGAAAACAGAGCACUCUCAGUGUGACAAUAAUGUUGCUACAGUAACGGAAAUACGAUGAGGAGAAGUUGAGUGGAAUGGAUGAUACAAGCAUCUUCUCUUCCACUAGGGAGGAUUUUGCAGGCUCUUGAUUAAGGCAACACAUGCCAUUGAACUUGUGAUAAACUUCUCCCUAAUUUGUCAGUUUCAACAUCUGAUUCAUUUUUUAUUUAUAUUUAUUUGUCACACCCAAUCUCAUAAUAGUUUCAGCCUAUAAUUUGACUUCAACCUAACUCAACCUCAAAAGUUGAGUUAUAAAAUAAGGUUUAUCUUCACUUGUAUACUAUAAUUUGAUCAUAUCUCUAACCAUUACGUAUGCAUAGCCAACCAAAAUUGUUCAUGUAUCUUUCUAACAAUCUAAAGUUAUUAACAACCAAAUUGCACUAAACCAGUAACAAUUUCCGGAACACAACACAAAGGAAUGCCGAAGCGAGAAGAUGAGAACCUCAAAUGGCGAAAAACCGCGGCGGCAACUGCCCCCGACCGCGGGAACUGCCAGCCACUCCACACUUGAAUAGGAAGAUACACGUCAACCAGCAGCACAACCCUAGGCGACUCGACGCACACCACGCGUGCGUCAACUUUGGCGCACUUGCGAGUGACCAUAGCGUGGAGCUGGUGAACCACGCUCAUGCUCCCAUUCACCAUCCCAACGCUGUGCGUCCUCUUGGUUUUCGAUCCUCCGCCGCCGCCGCCGCCGCCGCAUUGAGACGAAUUCAGCACCGUAGACAAAACGACGCCGGUUUGGGAGCGGAACCCAACCUCGCCCCCGUCGCUUAAGAUUUCGCAGCGCUCAGCGAAGGCUGGAUCGGAGUCCCGCUCAGUGGCUGUGAGAACCGCAAAGAGGAAACCGCAGAGCUUGUGGUCCGCGAAGGAGGUGUCGCUGGACAUUGUGGGAAGGAACCGGAGAGCGUAAACUAGAGCAUAGAAUGCGGUGAUUCAAGAUUUGCACCGAAGACCAGAAAAUAAAAAUGAAGAGAAGAAGAAAAAAUUUGAGGAAGGAAAGAUUAAAGAAUCGUCCACAGUUUUUGAAACGAAGGAAAUAAGAAAAGAUAACAUUGAAUAAAAUGACAAAACGACGUUGUUUCAGUGGGUGAUGAUGACGUUGCUUCAGUGGGUGAUGAUGACGUUGUUUCAGAGUUUUAAAUUACCCUUUUGUCCUUUCUAAAUCCAUUAGAAUGGAAUUUUUUUAAUAUUAAUUCCACUUUUGGUUCUAAUAUAAAAUUCAAUUAAAAAUGUAAUUCUUAUAUGGCUAAUUAACUUCUUUAACUUCUAAAAAUAUUCAACUAAUUCAUUUUCACUAAAUUCGUAUUAAUAUUGUAUACAUACACAUCUUACACGGUUUUCAAAAUUUUUUAUUUUUAACUUGUUUAUCAUAUGUCAGACUGUAUGUAUUGUUGUGUCACCUGACACAUGAUAUGUGACGAUGACAAUUUAAAUUUAUUAUACAUCAACUUAAAAUAUAUAAUAUAUUUGGGAUACUAAAUUUAUAAAUAAGCUAACCAAGUAAAAUACAUUUUUUUUAAUUAUUUUAAAUAUUAAACUUUAAAAAUUAUAAGUCUUAUUUUAUAUUUACAUUUUUAUAUAUUAAAAAAAUAUAAGUUUAAAAUAGAAAUUUCCUUAUUAAAAUUAAAAAUGUAUAAAACUAAAUUAAUUUUAAUGUUUAGAGGAAUAAUUUGAUGUAGAAAUCUUAAAAGCAUUAUUUUAAUAUAUAAAUAUAUAUAUAUAUAUAUAUAUAUAUAUAAUAUUAAGUUUAAUUACUAAUUUUUCUUAUUUUAGUAAAUAAACUUGUUCUAUUAAAAAUUAGUAUUAAAUUGUAUUAAAAUUUUAAAUGUAGAAAAUAAAUUGAAUAGAAGUUAAUUUUAUGACACGACAAUAACUUAAUACGUAACGCAAUUUAACACUUGACAAAAUAAAUUCAAAAAAUAUUAAAACAAAAUUUAAAAUUAAAAAUAUUACAAGAUGUCAUGUAACGAAAAUGACUUAAUUGGAUAUUUUUUAAAAAUUAACAACUUAAUUGCAUUAAAUAAGAAUUACGAGCCUGUUUGGAAUUUUCAAAUAAAUAGGACUAAAUAAGCCAACUUGUGCUAUACAAUAGACUUGCUGAAUAGUGAGUGAAUACCCAACUAUGUGGAUUUCAGGACAAUUCCAGGAGUCAAACAAAUAUAGCAAGUUUAUUAUUAGUAUUUUGAUUUCUGCUUAUUAUUAUUAAUUGAAAUUAUUAUUAUUAUUAUAUUUAAUAUAUAAAUUAAUUUUAAUCUAUAAUAGUAAAUUAGUUUUAAUCCACUUUUAAUUGAAUGGAAUUAUUAUUAAAUAUAUAUCUAUUAUUUCUAAUUUCAUUACUUUUUUAUAAAAUUAAAUUAAAAUUAUUAUUACAAUUUAUUUUAUUACUUAAUUAAUUUUUUUCUAGUUGAGAAUAUUAAUUAUAUUUUCCGUUUUUAUUUUACUUCUUGCUUAAAUUAUUAAUUUUUAAUUAAAAUUAUUAUUACUAGUAAUGUUUAGUAAUAUAUAAAUCAAUUUUAAUCUAUAAAAGUAAAUUACUUUUAAUUCAAUUUUAUUUAAAUGGAAUUAUUAUUAAAUACAUACCUAUGAUUUUCAAUUUUAUUAUAUUCUUUUUUAAAGUAUCUAUUAUUUCCAAUUCACGUAAUUUUAUGAAAUAUUUUUAUUAAAUGGUUUAAAGUAUAUUAUUUAUAGAUAAAUUAUUAUUAUAUUUAUUAUUAUUUAUAGCAUAUCUAUAAAAAUAACACAGUGUGUUAAAAUUGUUUCUUUAAUUAAUUUUGAUAGUUUUGUUUAUUAUAUUUUGUUUGAAGUUUGAACAUUUCAUGUUUAAAAUUGUUCAAAAUUCUACAAAACCUAAUGCUACGUGUCAUCUUUAAAUAUUGUCAAAUGUCAAUAUACCAUCCAACCACUUAUUAAUAUUUUAAGUAUGUUAAAAUUCAUUUUUUAAAUAAUUUUGGUAUUUUUUAUUAUUGUGUUUGUUUUAAAUUUAAAAAAUUACAUUUUGUGAUAGUUUGAAGUGUAUUAUAUAUAGAUAAAUAAAUAAAUAGACAGGUAGAAUCAUCGACAUUAAUCAUUAUUCUUAAAAUUAACAAAGAAUAUCAUAAAAAUAAUCAAAUUGAAUUAUUUUUAAAACUUAAAGAAUUAAUGUCGAAGAAAAUAAAAGAUUAAACUAAACGAAAUCCAAGCUUUCGUUUGGAAUGGAAGGAUCGAAAUAAAAAUAGCAACAUAUAUUAAAAAUCAAAAUUAUAUAAAGACAUUCCAUUUUACUUUAUUAAAAUAAAAUAAUACAGCAAAAAAUACGAAUACAAUAACGUUGAUUUGGACUUGUAUUUUUUUAAUCUAUAAUUAUACAAAAAUAAUCAAAAUGAUUGUAUUUUUUUUAUGCAUAUUUCACUUUUGUAACAGUUUAUUUAAAUUUAAUUAUUACUUUUUAAAUAUUUAUUUAUUUAAAUUUAACUAAUUAAUUUUUUCAAACUAUUAAAUAAUAAACUACCUGAAAAAAAGGGACACACAUUCCCGACGGUUUUUUUUUUUUUUUUUAUCUCAGAUCAAAAGGAAUAUUAAAGUUAAUAAAACCAAAUUCUGAUUACAGAGAAAAAUCCAAGUUGAAGAAGUAAGUUAAGCGAAAAAUAAACAAGGAAUGGCUAGAGACAGCGUCCUCACUCGCGUGGCGACCGGAGCUGCCGUGGGCGGUGCUAUUGGCGGCGCAGUCGGUAAGAUUGUACCUCUUAUCCUCUGUUUGGUUACCUCCUUCUCACUAAGCCAAACACCGCACAUCUUUCGCUAUCUUCUUCGGUUAAUCUUGUCGAUAUUGAAAUUGGGUGUGUUGCAUACAGGUGCCGUUUAUGGGACUUACGAUGCAAUUAGGUAUAAGGUAUGUGAUUCAAUUCCUCUAUUUAUCUAAUGAUUAAUUGCAAAAGGCAAUUUGCCUCUUUUAUAAUUAGAUUGGGGGCGGUUAUGUCUCAAAAGACAAUGUUGAUGUUUUAAUCAAUGAAGAAUUGGGGGAAAAAAGGUUUGUUUGUUUUGCAUGAAGGAAAUCAUAUUGAAGCCAGAAGCUAUUGCAAUGGGACAUCAAGUUUGCUUCUGAUAUUUUUUUUUAACUUAUCUUAAACCCUAACUAAGUGUAAAAUUAAUGUAAUAUGAAGCUGCUAAUCUAGGGCCUUUGCAACUUCUUUAACUAAUUGUCAUUAUUAAGAGAACAGUUCUGAUGAGGAAUUUAACUGUUGAUUUUUUUUUCUUCUAGUAGAACUGAAUCAGAAUGUGGGCAAAAUGGAAGACUUAUUGAGUAAAUCCUUCUCUCUCUUGACUUGUGUCUCUAAAACACUUCCCCAUCCCAAAGUUUCACUUUGCAAUCAAGAUGAAAUUUAGUAUGUGAGAAUAUCAUUUCUUAGUCUACUGAAGUUAGUUUAUCACCAGUUCAUUACCUGUAGUUCAGUUACCUGAUGGUAAAUAAUUUCUCAAAUCCCCAUUAACCGUUUUAAAUGGAGUUAGAUUGCAGUUAGUUAGGCUUCAUGUACUAUAAAUAUAUGCUGUAAGCACAAACUCGGUACCAAUUUUACUACUUUCCUCAUUUUUCAAUCAACAGAAAGUUGUCUAAAAUUCUGUGUUUUCUCUAAACUCAACAUGACCAGUUAUUGUCAUGGCUUCAAUCUACCUGUUGCAAGCACAAGCUCGGUACCAAUUGUUUAUUUUUCAUAUUUUUAAUGCACAGAAAGUCCUCUAAAACUCUCUCUAUGUCUUCUUUGAACUCAAAAUAAGAGCCAUAUCAUCUACUCCUUAUAGAUCUUCCUUCAGUAAUUUUUUGACAGAAAUGAUUCAAGCUAUAUUUUAUCAUCCUUUACAUCAAAGCUCUUUCUUAUUGAGUUCAUUUUGUAUUUCUGCAUCAACGUAUCUCUCCAACUCCUCAUUGGCUUUCCAAAGUACCUUUGGUUCUGGCUAUUGCAGAUUCUAUCCCUGAACCUUCUGUUUGGGUUUAUUUCUCCCAGUUUCCUAGAGCGCAACCUAUAUAUUGUUGUUUUGGAUGAUUGAUAACUUCUAAAUGCAACCCUUUCUAAAUGCAAUCUAUAUAUCCAGUUCUUAUUAUCUUUUCACAUAGCGUAAUUCGUCGUCUUUGGUAAAGAAUCUACCCAGCACCUCUAAAUGUAGUCCUGACCUCUUCAAUCCAUUAAGAAAAACACUCCCACGAGUUAUUCAGGAUCGGUACUUUGCGAGGGUCUUGUGUAGUGUUGCUCAUGGGAUCCUUGGCAAGUGUUGUGAGGCCCAUUGUCAUAGGGAAAAUCUGAAGAUGAUAAGGUGAUAUACCUUUCCUGAAUGAUAAAAUUCACCUUGUACUGGGAUUUCCUUAUAAAAAAAAAAGAAACAAAUUUCUUACAUUGUAAAAUUAUGCCUAUUAGUAUUAUUUUAUAGUGUGUUUGGAUAGGGAAUUUAAAAAGGGAAAUUAAUCUUUAUAGAGAAUUUGAAAUGUUUUAUAACAAGACAGUGUUUCUCAUCUUGAUUUACAAUGUCGAAGAAAAGACAAGGAUAAUAAUAUACUCAUCAUUUUCAGGUUGUGGGUAGUUGAGUGUAUGCAAUUAUGAUGUUAGGAAGUAUCUUACGAAUUAACUAUUUUAGGGGCUCCUCAGUCCUUGUUGCAUAUGUAUCUAAUAUUCAAAUUUGGAUUACCUGUCAGUCAUAUGCAUGCGCAGCCGCGAGGCAUUUAAAGGAUUUAUCUAUUUAGUCUCUGUUGGCAUAUAUAUGUACACAUAUAUUCAACUGUUUGUCUGGUUUAUCUUGAGAGUGCAAUUGCUUGUAUUUAUGAGUUGAUGUAGCUUCCGUUGUUUAGUUUCUCAUAUUUGAUGUUGAAACCUUGCAGGUUCCUGGAUUCCUCAAGAUAAGGCAUAUUGGACAGACAACUCUAGGGAGUGCAGCUGUAUUUAGCCUGUUCCUUGCAGCAGGAACCUUGAUACGAUCGCACUAGUUUGUGCAGUCAUGGUGACGUGUUUUCUUACAAUUUUAGCCAACAAAAAAAUGUCAUGUAACCUCACAUUCUGUAAUCUUUUGAGUGUUGGAAUUAAAUAAAGAAUUUUUUAAUAUUAUAUACAUAUAAGAAACAUAUAAUUAAUUGAUUUCAUAUUUUAUUAUCUAUGCUAAUGUCAAGAAACUUUCUCUAUGUUGUGUUUCACUAGGUUAUCUAUUGUUAAUCUUGAUAUCUAGAAUCUACUAAUUCCUAAUUAUGAAAUUUUGUAUUUGAAAUUAUGGUUUAUCUGUUUAAACCUCACCUUUUUUAGUCUUCAUACUUUAAAAUGUGCCUAUACAGCUUAAAGUUCUGUUCUAGGGUUUUAAUGUAUUCACUGCUAAUGUAGGAUUUUUGAAAUGUGGGUCAGAGGCGUUAUGAUCCCUUAUUGUUAACUACACAAAUUUCCCUAGAGUAUCUAAUCAUGUCUUAUUGUUUAUAGAGUCUCGUAUCUUUAAUACUCUUUCUUAUAUAAAGCAUGUAUAUCACAAGAAUCAAAUGUGUUACGGAUAGAGAAAAAUUCAUUAUAGCUCAAGUUAUUUUGAUUAAAUGUUUACGUAAUAAAUUAUAAUAUAUGAAGGCAAUUUGUAUUUUAGCAUUAGAUCAUGACAGAUAAAAGUACUUUUUAGUGACAUCUUAAGCAUUUCACGGUAUAAUUCAAAUAUUAUAUUUAUUUUAUAUUGAAUAAUGUUUGUUCUAAUUGGCCUUACAAAAUUAGAUAUCUGAUUUUUAAGUAUUUCAUGGUAUAAUUCAAAUAUAGGUUGAAGUUUCUCAAGGAACUUAUUUAAACAAAAUAUCCAACUUAAAAAAUUGUUCACUUAAGCGUUUACCAAUCAAAAAAGAGAUGCUACAAAUAUCAAUAUAUUAUUUUUCACUUAAGGGUUUCCAAAUCAAAGAAGAGAAAUGCUAACAAAUAUCAAAACAUUCUUUGCUACUUUCUUUGAAGGCUUAUAGAAUUUCUACUCUCUAUUAAUAAUCAUGUCCAUUCUACUGUAAAGAAAAGCAUAAAAUUCACUGUUUUAAAUUGCGAUGGCAUUUCAUUGAUACAGUUUUGUUGAGAUCUUACCAUUGCAGAACACUAUCAGAUAUGGACAGAGAGCACAAAAACUUUGACAUUGUGACCUUUUCUUUAAAUAUUUGCACUAUAUACUUAAAAGAAUUCGAUUUAUACAUUAUUGACCGAUUAAAAAUUAAAAAUCCUGUAAGUUCAAUUUCAAAAUAAUUAUGGUAAAAGUCAAGUAAAUUAUAAUGCAUAAUAUGAUUGAAUGACGGUAUAUGGAAUGACCACCCUUUACAAAUCUAUUUACUCUACUAAAAAUACAUGUUUUUCUUUAUCAUAUUUAACAGUUUUACAUCACUUAAAAAUCGAAAUUUAAAAUAGUUUAAAUAUUCUUUUCUACUUUUUGAUACUUUUUUAAAGAUAAAAGUGUAAGAAGAAUUAUUUGUGUGUAUUUUGUAUGAUUUGAUUUCAGUGAUGUAAACUAUUCUUUUCUUUGUUUGGUUUGAUUGUGAAUGCAUGGAUUAAUAUAGGGAUGUGAUGUUUGAAUAAUGACCAAUGGAUUGGUAAUAACCUUCCUUUUUAAAAUAUUAUUAUUGGGUGAUACGAUACAUGUUUCUUUGCAUGUUAUGUUUUUAUUUACAAUGUUGAACCAACCUUGUUUUGAUGAAUAGACUUACUCACUAAAACAAGACUUGUCUCUUCAUCAAAAUCGAACGUACUAAAGUAUUAAAAUUAAAAAAUUUAUAAAAUAUAUCUUAUAUAAAAGAGAUUUAAAGGUUGAGAAAAGAAAUAAUAAAAUUUUUAAAUUUAUAAUUAAAUUUGAAUGUAAUGUUUAUAUAUUUAAAAAGUUUUUAAAGUAUACAAAGGUUUAGUAGACAAAAAAAUUCUUACUCAUAAGAAAUGACAUACUUUAAACACAGUGAUAUUUUAAUAAUUUUUAUUUUUAAUUAAAAUAUCAGCAUCACUCACUCCACUUCCCUCGUUUAUCCAAUUUGUUUCUCUCUCAUCUUUAUUCUUUUUCUCACUCACACACAACAACACGUCACACUCCAAUUCGUUUAACUAAUUGGAGUGUCACUUUAAUAACCAAAUAAUCUAUGAUGUUGAUUUUUUAUUGAAGGGUUGUGUUAUAUCUUUUUCCUUUUCAUUGCCAUAACCAAAUAGUUUAUGAGGUUUGAUACUUUGACUAUUAUUUGGCCUCCUUUGUUUGGUCGCUUCCUUUAUUUGUUUUGCAAAACAUUUAAUAACGAAAUAAAUGAUAUGCUUUAAAAGUUAAAAUCAUGUUGAUUUGCAAGGUGGAAAAUCAUGUUGAUUUGCAAGGUGGAAAAUCAUUACUGAUGUGAAAAAUCAUUACUUAUGUUUAUUUUAUUUUAGUAUAUUUUUAGGUUGGACUUUUCUCUAAAUUUUCAUAAGCAUAAUAACAUCCGAAGGAAUUGGUAAUUGGCCUGGAGUGCUUUUUAGAGAUGAUGAUUCAACAUCCGAAGAUGAUAAGAUUGGAGAGGAGAGGUUCGUAAAGACGAUGAAAUUGAAGAGGUCUUGAAUGAACCUUUGCCUAAAAGGGAAAAUGUCAAUGAACUCUUUACAAAGGUGAAUGGUUUAACAGCAACGCAAAUGCUUACAAUUUGUAUUGUUUAUUUGCAAAGACUUGUGGUUUUUCAGUUAGACGUGGUCAUAAUUACAAACGAAACAAGAAUAACAUUAAAGAUAUAUAGAAGAGAGUUUAUUUGUCACCGAAACAAGUGUUGUUAAACAAAAAAAAAAUACUGUUACAUCUUGAACUUGAACUUUUUCGCUUCCUUUGUUUUUCUACUUUCAGUAAUUUCUUUUUGUUUAAAGACACUUGUUAGAUGACAAGUAAACUCUCUUUUGUAUAUAUCUUCAAUGUUAUUUUAGUUUCGUUUAUAACUAUGAUCACAUCUAAGUGAAAACCACAAGUCUUUACAAAUAAAAAAUGGAAAUUGCAAGCAUAUAUGUUGUUGUUAAACCAUUUGCCUUUGUAAAGAGUUGAGUCAUUGACAUUUUCACCUUCAAGCAAAAGUUCAUUCAAUAUCUCUUCAAUUUCAUCAUCUUCACGAACCUCUCUAUAUCAUCUUUGAAUGUUGAAUCAUCAUCUCUAAAAAAUACUACAGGCUCAUUACCAAUUUGUUCGGAUGUCAUUAUGCUUAUGAAAAUUCAGAGAAAAGUACAACCUAAAAAUAUAGUAAUAUAAAAUAAACAUGAGUAAUGAUUUUUCACACCCCUAUUCAUUCUUCACCUUGCAAAUCAACAUGAUUUUAACUAAAAGCAUAUAAAUUAUUUCGUUAUUCAAAUGUUAAGCAAAGCAAAUAAAGGAAGUCGGAGGCCACAUAAUACUCAAAGUAUCAAACCUAAGAUAAACUGUUUCGAUUGAAAAGGUUCGAGGGUCGAUCGCCCUUCCUUGCGCUGCUGUACUCUGAUCGUCAAAUCCUUUUCAAGAACGCAAUCCACACCAACCGGUUAUUAACAUGCAAAAGACACUCUCAAACUCACAGAGGUCUCUAGUUUAUUAGAAUAAAAAAAAGGUGGCUUUACCUAGACAUAAAUAGUAUAUUUAUAAAGCUUAUAGCAAUCAAGCCUAUUAAUUAAUCAUUAAUGUCAGAUAUUCAUAUUGUAUAUGGCAGUCAAACCACUAAUGUCGUAUAUUCAUAUUUGAUACAACAAUCAAAUCAUUAAUAUCAUAUAUUCAUAUAUUAAUGUUGUAUAUUCAUAUUUGAUAUGGUAGUCCAACCAUUAAUGUCUUACCUGCUAACUGUCCAUAAAUGACCAUUGCGCUCUUAAUUAAAAUUUAAUUACCUAAAACGGUUGCCUCAACUGAUUGGCUACCCUAUGGUAACUUGAUUCCCACGGGUAUAUUUCAUAUAGUACAUAAAUUAUUCAUUCUAAAAUUUAAUAAAAAUGAAAAGGAAAAAGAUAUAACAUAGCCCUGCCAUCAACAUCAACACCAUCCUUUAUUUUAUUAUUAAAGUGGUAAACACAGAGCAUGAACAAUAAAUUGCAAAACUCCUAUGUGUGGGUGAGAGAGGAGAUAGAGAUGAGAGAGAAACAAAUUAAAUAAGUGAAGAAUGUAAAUUAGGAUUAAGUGAGUAUUUCUAAUUUUAUUUUUUUAUUUUAAAUUAAAAAUAAAAAUUAUUAAAAUAUCUAUGUCUAUAUGAAUGGUAAUUCUUUUGUUUAUAUAUAUAUAUAUAUAUAUAUAUAUAUAUAUAUAUAUAUAUAUAUAUAUAUAUUAUUUGUAUUAAUUAAAAACAGUAUUAACCCAUGAUUAAUGUAAUUACCCAUUUACAAAAUAAAAACAGUUGAUUCAACAAAAUCUUAUUAUCAAAUUAAUUUGAUAGAGAUUUAGUAUAUUUGAUAAUGAUAAAAUAUGUAUUGAAUUAGAAAAUUGUCAUACACCGGUGUUUUUUAUAUUUAAAUUUAAAAAUAAUUUCCGUAUAAAACUUGAAUGGGUAUAUCAUAGUUACUUUUAAUCUAAAUAAAGUAUAUGAAUAUAAAAUCAAGUAGAAUAGUAAAUAUUCAUUGUUAAAAAAAAUAUUCUAGCAUAUUGGAUAAAAAUAAAUUAAAAAUGAGACUUAAUCGAUUAGAGAGAAGGUAGAGACUUGGUGAGCAUGUUUAUCAUGUUUCUCGCUCUAGUGCUUGUUCUCACCUUUUUUUUAAGUAUUCUUUGAUAAAUUUGUUAUGAUUUUUAAUAUAUUCAGGUAAAUUUAUUUUAAAAACUGAAAGAAAAAAAAUAAUAGUUUUCUGUUUGGUGAAGAAAACAACUUGAGUUGUUUCUCUCAUAUAAAAUAAAUGCUCCAAAAAAAAACUAUUUUUCUUUACCGUAAAUAAAUACAUUUAGUUUGUAUUAUAUAAAAACAAUUUUCAGUCAUCAUUUUUUGCUAGUAUUAGCAAAACAACAUUUCUUAUUGUACUUAUUUAUUUAUAUUAUACUUUUAAAAAUUAUCUGAAAUAAAAAAUAUAUUUUAAUUUAUUUUAUCUUUUUAGACACACAUUGCAGUCGCAGUCACAUGCUAGUACUUACUGAUGAUGACAAGACAAGGGGUUGGGUAUGAAUAAUGUUUACUCGCAACUCGACUCAUCGAAUUAAAUUGUACCUGUUACUCGUAUUCGUUGAGUAUCCGUUUAGAAAAUAUCCGUAGGUAUUUUAAAACCCACGAGUACUCACGAAUAUCCACAAAAAAAAUAUUUUAUAUAUUUUAAAAUAAAAUUUAAAUAAAAUUACAAAUAUAUAUAUAUAUAUAUAUAUAUAUAUAUUUAUUAUAAAUUAAAGCUUAAUUUUGAUUAAAUUUAACCUAAUAAAAUAUAAUUUAAUUUUAUUUUUAAUUAAACUUAAUUAAAAAAUAUAUAAAUUAAUUUUUUUAUUAUUUUUUUUGGAUAACGGAUACUCGUAAAUCAGAUAGUAUAAUAGCACCCGACCUGCUUAGAAGCAUAUAUUAAAAUACCCAAUAAUAACUACCUGAUAGAUUUUAUCCGGAGAUAACCGUAUCUGGAGAAUUUUUUUGCCAUCCUACUAGUAGCUCUCUGAUCCCAUCAUUUAAAAGUAUGUAGAUGGACCGGUGAGAGAUAUUUUUCUGAUCCUAGAUAUAUGAUUAUCUUUUUCCACCUUAGUUUUCACGUAGAGAAAAUUUUAAAAAAUCAAUUACUAGGAAAUAUCUUUUGACUAAUACAGUGAAUCGGAAUUUAAAAUAUGAAAAAUAAAUUCAAAUUCAAAUUAAAAAUAUUGCCUACCACAUUCAAAGUAAUUUCAUAUUAACUUAUGAAUUGGUUACCGUAAGUAUUGUUUCUAACAAAUCAGUUAUAUAAUUAUUGAUAUAAAAUCUAAUAUAUCAAUUAUUAUAUCUUAAUACUAUUAUAUAUAUAUAUAUAUAUAUAUAUAUAUAUAUAUAUAAUUUGUUAUUAUUGAUUAUGGUAGUGUGAAAUUCGGUGUAUUAGUAUUUUAUAUUCGAUAAUAACAAAAAAAUCUAGAUUACAAUAAUUUAAAAAUUCAAUUUCUUAAAAAAAAAAUUCAAAUUGAUAGAAUAUAUCGAUAUUUAAAAUAUAAAUCAAACUUGAUUAAAAACUAUAUUUGUUAUACAUUAUACUCCAAUAUGAAAAUCCAAGUUUGUAAUAUAAGAAUUAUUUUUCUAAUUUCUGUUUUCAAUGAAAGAUCUAUCUAUCCAGUUAUAUGGUUUUCGUUCACAAAAUUUAAAUCCAACAAUUUACUUUUUAUAUCAUUAAUGAAAUACAUUGGAUCAAUAGAACUAUUCGUUUAUUUAAAAUUAAAAAAAUUGAAUAAUUUUGUUAAUUUUGGAGUGCUUUUAUGAAUAAAGAUAUUGCAUUGAAUUAGAGAUUAUAUAUAUUGAAAUAAAAACAACCAUGGAAAAAAAAGAUAAAAUAAUAGUAAAUAGUAGUAUUUAAGUAAAUGCAAACACUAAUUAAACACAACCCUCUAAUUUUUCUCUCUCACUUUCUUUAUUUUGUAGUAUUUGAAGAGAGUGAUGGCAAUGGCGAUGAGAUCAACUUUGGCUCUUAAAUUUGCAUUCAAAUGUUGGAAGGCAUUAAAAAAAUGGGUUAUUUCCUGUUAUUUAAUGGCACGAGGCAUUGCUCGUUAUGUCUAUCAUAUGAAUUAGCUAACCCUAGAAUCAUCAUCUUCAUCAGAUGAAUAUUAAAGUUUAUUUUGUAAGUAUUCUUUUUUUUAUUUUUUUAUUAUACGAUAUAGGAUGUUUUGAUAUAUAACCAUUGAUGUUUAAUUUUGAUACUUGAGUGAUUAUCUAACGUGAUAGUGAUUUGUUUUUGUUAUUUAUGGUUUUAUUUUGGAUAUACAGUAAAUGUUAAGAAAAAUUCUAUUUUAAUUUGCAUGUUGAAAAUUUUAUAUUGAUUAAAAAGUUAAAUAUGUUUUUUUUUCAUAAAUUAUUAUAAAAAAUUGUAUUUUUCUCUUUAAAUUAUACUCACUCAAACAGCGUACGUACAAUGGAAUUUUGUUUUUAACGUUUUUGGAUAUCAUUUAAUAAUUUUAGGUUUAAUCAUUCUAAUAGUCCUGGUGAUUUUUUUAAUUAGGUUAAAUUACUAGCUGAUAUGUGUCACCCUUCUUAACGUGACUUAAUUACUUCAAUUUUUCAAAAAGAAAAAAAGAAACUUAAUUGAAAAAAAUCACAGAAUAAUUAUACCAAUAAUUUUAUUUAUUUAAAAAAUUACCACCAAUCGUAUUUAAUGUUGUCUAUGAAAUUUUAGACAUGAUGUUAUAUGCUGAUUUUGUAUUAGGAACAUAAAAUAUUUAAUCUCAUCUUAAAUAGUGUAAAACCUCUUACAAAUAAUGAAAGUUAUGUAUUGCCUCUUGAGAAUUUAGGAAUAAAAAAUACAUUUAAUUCGAAAAUGUAUAAAUUAUAUAAUUAAAAGUAAAUUUUAAUUUACAAAUUAGAUUCAAAAUUACUUGUAAAAUUAAAUUAUAUUUAAAAUUGAUUAUAUCUGUAUUGAAUUAACGUGUUGAUUCUCUUAUUUAAAAAUGUAUUUAUUAUAUUUCAUUUUGAUAUCUAAAAAUUUAAGAGAUCAGCUAUUUAUUCUACGUUUCACAUUUUAUUUUUAAUCUUUGAUGGAAUUUACAGUAUUAGAUUUGUUUUUAUUUAUAAAUUUAUUUUAAAAUUCCUCAUACAUAACGAAAAUCAUCGUACCAUUUAUUUACUAUCCUUUUUGGUAUCAAGAAUGACUUUUCGAAUUUCCAUGACUUGCAAAUAAUUCAACACUUCCGAUGUUUAUCACUAAUAACCUUAUAUUUAUAAGUAACGCACGUUCUUUAACUUUUUUUUUAUUCAUUUUCUUUUUUGAAAGAAAAAUAUCUAUCAAAUUAGAGAAAACUCUCAAAUUACAUAAAUUUGCUUUUAUAUAAAAAAAAUAACUCUAAUCAAGGGUUUGGUAGAAAAUAAAAUUUCUAUUUUAUAAAACUUUGAAAAUGGAAAAUUAUAUUUAUCACCAUUGCAAAAACGAUUUUUAAACCGUUAAAACGACAUUUUUACUAUAGUCUAUGAAUUGUUGAUUUAUUAUUUUUAAAAGUAUGCUAAAAACAACACCAUGAUCCAAUAUUGUUAUAUUUUCAAACUACGAUGAUUUUUAAACCAUCAUUAUAAAUUGAAUUAAGAAAAAUAAAAUUUAAAAAUUUGCAAUUUCAUGGUAACAAGAUUCUUAUUAUAAGAUGUUCAAAAAUAUAAUAAAAUAAAUGUUAAAAACAAAACAUGACAACGAUUGGUACUAAAAUCUUCAUUAAUAAAGUAAUAUGACGUCGACUAGUACCAAAAUCAUUAUUAAAAACGAUUUUUUUUAACAUGGAAUUUAAAAUCUUGUUCUAUCACACUAUCAUAAUUUUUCACAAAAGCAACCGUUUCAAAUAGUUCAAAUCAUAUAAACAUAAAAAAAGUAUAUAUAUAUAUAUAUAUAUAUAUAUAUAUAUAUAUAUAUAUAUAUAUUUUUAUAUAUAUAUAUAUAUAUAUAUAUAUAUAUAUAUAUAUAUAUAUAUAUAUAUAAUUUUCUAAAUAAAGACUAAUAAUUUUUAUUUCAAUUGAUAAUCAUUAAAAUUCUAUAAAAGAAAUAAAUUAAAGUUAAAAUUAUUAUAUAAGAAAACUAAAAUAAAUCGAAGAAGUUAGGGAAGAAGAAACAAAAAGGUUUUAGUUAUAGUAAAAACAAAAAUAAAAGACAGUCGUAUUGUAAAAUAUUAUUUUUUAUUUAAUUAUAUAAGCAAUCCUUUAUAAAAUUUGAAAGAUACAUCAAAAUAAAAAUAUGUGGGCAUAUAUAUACAUUACGCUAAUCACAUUAAAUUUUUGUAUUGUUUAUCUCUUUUCUUUUAUUGUAUUAUUUAUAACAAGUGGUAUUAAGAGCUAAUUUUUUAAUAUGUUUUAUGGUUGUAGUUUUGUUUGAUCUUCAACAUAAAAAAAAGGUUUUCUUCUUUGAAAUAUUGGUUUAGAAAAGUUCUCGGAGGAACAAUGGCAUUGGAAGAAAGGAAGGUGAAGAUUGUGAAAUUCUAUGGCAACGACUUUGGGUUCUAGAAGAUGCAAAUAGAGGGCUAUCUAUAUUAGAAGAAGUUGUAUCUAUCCUUAAGAGGUCAGAAGUUAGAUGACAUGGAGCAUUUAGAAUGGGAGUUGUUAGAUCGACAAACACUUGGUGUGAUCUGGUUGACAUUAGACAAGAAUGUUGCAUUCAACAUGAUGAACGAGAAAACAACUACAUAUUUGAUGCAGGCGUUGUCAAAUAUGUAUGAGAAGUCAUCUACAGUCAAUAAAGUGUAUUUGAUUCGCAUACUUGUUAACCUAAAAAUGUGUGAAUGUAACUCAAUGGGUGAAGUUAACUCGGUUACUCGUCAUAUUAGUGAAUUUAGUACAAUUAGGGCACAAUUGACAUAAAUGUAGAUAAAUUUUGAUGAUGAAAUAAAAGCAUUAGGUUUAUUAUUGUCCCUUAUAGAAUGUUGGGGUGCAAUUGUUACUACAGUUAGUAAUUAUGGGGGCCAAAAACAAGUUGAAGUUUGAUAACAUCCAUGACUUAAUCUUAGGUGAAGAUCUUCGCAGGAGAAAUUUACUGGAAUCUUCCAAUUCUAAUUCUGGUUCAACAUUGAGUGCUAAAAAUAAAGGAAGAAAUAGCUAGAAAGGUCAUAAUUAAGGUCACGGUAGAUCAAAGUCUAAAGGGAGGCCACAAACAAAAGUACAAAAUAUUGGGCUUUAAGGAAGAACAACAACAAAAAGAAGCAAAUGGAGAAAACCUAAUAUAAAAGAUUCUUAAUCUUAGUGCAAUGUCUGUUUUACCAGGACUUAGAGAAUUCACCAUGAGUUGAAAUGCUUUUAGGUCCUAGGUUAUAAACAUGAGUCUAGGAUCACAUUAGUGUACUUUCAGGAACAAUUGUAACAUCCUAAUUUUUGUCUCGAUUACAAGUGAAAUUUAAAAUUUUUAAAAUCAUAAUACCAUCGUGGAAAUCUACUUAUAUAAUACCAAAAUUAGUAAAAUAAAAACGAAAUAAUAUAAACCCGAUUACAUUGUAUCUAACCUUUAUAGUAUAAAAACUUUAAAUAACACAAGUCUUUUUUUCCCACUCUCGCGUCUUUAUCAUGCAUCCAGAGCAUCUGCAAAAUUUGCUCCUAUAUAACCAAAAGUUAUAUAAGAAGUAAGCACAACUUAAUAAGAAAUCAAUCAUCUACAGGGCUAUCCUACUAAAAUAAUCAUUUUUACACCCUUACCAUCACCAGUGUUUUCAUUAACCCUAUCACGACUAUACCAUUAAGGUUAUCCUAUCAAUAACGUCUUCAACACAUCUGUUUUUUUUAUCACACAAAAAGUCAACAAACCCUAGUCCCUACUAAUGUAGUAUAGGGCAACCAGGGGAUCAAUCCGAGGAUUCAACUAAAAUUAAUUUUCAAAAAUAUUUGGUUAAAGUCUUGUGUUAUUUUCUAAUUUACUAAUUAACAGACAAGGUGGGGAAAAGAAAUUAAAUAAAACAAAGAAAUUUGAAAAUAAAAUAAUUAAGAAAAGGAAACUGUUUGAAAAAAAGAAAACAAGGAAAUAAAAUGUAAGAAAUAAAACAUAAGCUAACUAUAUAAUCUAUGUAUACAAAUCUAAACAGCAACUAAACUAACCUAUAAAUGCUAUGAAACAAUGACAAAAAAAGACUAGAAAUAAACUAGAUAUGAAAUCAAAUGGUGUAUGAAAUCAAUUUAGUGAAAAUGAAAAAUAUAUACACAUAACAGAGCCAAAUGAAAGAAUAGAAAAUCUCAUUAUCUAAGCUAAUGUAUCUAACCAAUAUUCACAGGAAACCAGAAAUCAAAGAAACAAAGCAAGAAACACUAGUUAGAACAGAAAUUAAAAUCAAAUCCAUGUGAAUCAGUUCAGAGAAUGUGUGAUCACUCUUCAGGAAGACAUCCUGGGAAGUUAAGCCCAUCACAGGGUCUUAAAGUUUAUUUGAUGAACUCAAACUGUGUGAUCUUCCAAUCAAUUCACUAAACCACAAUAAAUCCAAUUCUAACUCUUGUUUCUAACCAAGAUCAGAUUAAGAAACCUAUCCUACAAUUAUCUCAAUCAACCUAUUAACAUGAAUUUUAUCAAACAAAAACUAACUAAAAUAUGCAAGAAGAGUACCUAAAAUCUAAUCAUGGAAGUCAGAUUUAAAAACAUAACCUAAAACACUGUACAGAACAAAGUCAUUGGAUAAAAAUCAUAAACCUGAACUGAAAUGCUUGAAAUGGUGUAUCAAUUGAUUUGUCAUUAUACAGGAAGACAUCUCGUUCAUAAUAUGCCCACCUUGGGGACUCAAGUUCUAAUAUAGAACUUAAAAUGAAUAACAGUCAAUUGACUUACUAAAACAAAACAUAUUCCAUUCAACUUUAUCAUUUUUCUAAGUCUACAAACAACAUCUAGUAGAAACUAAAAAAACAUGAUUAAUAAUAAUUUUUUAUUUAUUGAACUUCUAUCUAAUUCGAAAAGACCUCUCGUGAAUUCACGUCCACUUCAAGAAUCUUUUAACUCCAAAAAAAAAUUAUAAAAAUGUAGAUUUACAAUUUCAAUUGAUUUCCAAAUCACAAUAUUCACCUACACACAAAAAUACGAAAACAUUGAAAAGAAUUUAAACAACAUAAUUAAAACAAGGAUAAUGAUAUUUAGACAACAUUUUUUUGACAACAUUUGAACAUUGAUUACGUGUCAAUCUGUGACUGGUCAAAAAUUACUCCACGGAACACGUAAUCAAUGUUCAAAUGUUGUCAAAAAAAUGUUGUCUAAAUAUCAUUAUCCUUAAAACAAAUAAACUAGAGACUAUUAAGAAAGGAAUUUGAAGGAAAUUGAAGAGAAGAGAGACAAGAAGACAUAGUGAAAAUAAUAAUAGUAAAAAAAAAGCACAGCCUCUAGGGUUUAUAUAGCACGAAACAGACAAGCGGCGAGAGGUUCGGAGCGGAGAAGCAAAACAAGCGGAAACUGAAUUAACAGUUUCGUUCAACGCACAGUGUUUUCCACUGAAGAACACGCCACAGUUCGUGAUGCAUUAUAAGGUUCUGAAAUCGAACGCCAAAACCCUUCCAAGGUCAAAACGCCGCCGUCAACGACCCAAAUCAUGGCCUAUUACAUUCUCCCCUUUCGCUCGCUCUCUCGCUCGCAUGCAUUCUCUACCUGCGCCUAAGCGUCGCUCUCAAAACCCUAACCCCACUCGCCCUGUUAUGAAACCCCAAUCGUCACAGUCUUCUCACCACCAUCUGGAUGUAAGACUUCUCAUCCUAAUCCUCACGUGUUUCUUAUGGAUAUAAUGUUUCUAAUUCAACAUUGAACUGGUAAGAUUAAUCGGAACAAUGUGCGUGUUGUUUAAGGGAGUUGUGGGAGAAGAUUUUUCCAAACCAGAACAUUCCGAGUCUUCAGACGAGGAUUCUGAUGUAAGGCCUUUUACCUAAAGCUAUUUUUUUUUUCAUUAAAAGCUGUUUCAAAUUCAACAUUGGAUUACUGAGAUCAAGGUUUGCAGUGGCGGACACUCCAAACACUUUGAAGUUGUGGCUGAAAAAAAAUGGUCACGGAGCAUUUUUUAAAACCUGGACUGAGUUUAAUUGAAAUAGUUGUGUUGUUAUAGGGAGUUGUCCAAGCCGAUUUUUCAUUUUUCGAUCCCAAACCUGAUGAUUUUCAUGGAGUGAAGACCUUGUUGCAAAACUAUCUUUACAAUGAAGAAUGGGAUUUGAGUGACUUUGUAGAGUUGAUUUUGGAGCAGACCACCGUGGGAACUGUUGUUAAGAUAGAGGAUGAUGAGGAUGAAGGAAUCUUUGCUCUUGUUACUGCCCUUAAUUUCUAUAGAUACAGGGUAACUGGCCUUCUCUUAUGCCUCAAACUUGCUAUGCUUUGUGACUGGUUUAGCAAAGAGCAUCAACUUUCUAACUGGUUGUAAAUACUUUUGCUAGGAGCAUAGGUGCAUUGUGACACUCAAGGAUUUUCUUCUCCAUAAAGCUCACCAAGAGAAGGGUGUCGCUGACAAGUUGAGAUUGCUUUUGGUGGAGCAAGAACGCGAUGUAGCUCUCUUGGUAUCUCAGCGCAUGGUGAACCUUCCUCCCCAGCUUUUGCCACCACUUUAUGAUGCCCUUUUUGAUGAAGUUUUGUGGGCCACAGAAGAUGAGGUUAGAUGUCAGUAGUAUCACAUUGGUGAGGUGUUACUGCGUGUUUCUUUUUUACAGUAGAGAUGGUUUUCCUGCUUAGAACUUAAAUUGUCGUGUUUUGUAUUUAACAGCCAACUGAGGAGCUCCGAAAUUCCUUCAAGUUUAAGCAUUACAUAAUACUUAGCAAAGUUUACGUGGUAUGUAUGAUGCUGUAGAAUCACCCUUUUUCGUGUGUGGCUUAUGUUAAGAUGUUUUCUUAUUCUCCUACUUCAUUAUUCCCUAACAUUUUACUUAUCUUUGGGUGUCAAACUAUAGCUCAAGAAGGCAGCAGAAAAUGAUAGUGAGGAGAGAAUAAUUUAUUUAAAUAUUGAGGAUGAAAUAUUGCAUAAGGUAUUGAUAUUUUUGGGCAUCAUUUUGUGUUAUUUUGUUUCUGAUUGAUUACUGAUUAUUUUCCUGAUAAUAUCCAGUUAAGCUCGUGGUCCUUCUACUUUCCAUUGCAAAGUCAGCAGCUUGCACCUCAUGAGGCAAGUUUUAUGUUUCUUUAAUCUUAAUUAUCAUUUUUAUGUUCAUAGUUCUUAUUAAUAUGCUGAAAGUUACUUAUUUUUUUAACUUUUUAAUGUGACCUAUAAUACAUCUACACUUUAUUUGGCAAGGUGGUAUUUUUUCGUGGUUGUGAUUUUUACAUAAAUGGAGUAACAUGCACAAUACUGAUUAGUGAAAUUAAGUUAUAUUUUUGUUAUUGAGGUAGUAUACUUUGCCUAAUUACAGCCUCACAUAAGUAGUUUAGUAAGGUGAGGUCCACCAUACGCUGAGGAAGGGACAUCUCGAGCAUGCGACUUGGAGAACCGAUGGUGACACUGUAGACCCAACAAACUUGAUUAGGAUAGAUUUUGAAAGACUUUGAAACCAUUGAGGAAGUAAAUUUAAGCCUAACUUAGCAUCACACAAUCGGCUUAUUAAGAAAUUUGUAUUCACUUAUAUAUUACAUGUAUUUCUGAUAGAGUUUCCUAGUUAUUGAUUUCUUAAUAAGUACUCCAUGGGUAUGGUUUAUAGCACUUAUUAGCAAGACCGACCCACCUAUACCUGGGAAAGUUCCAAUUGGUGUCAGGCCUUAUAGAUAUCCUCACACCCACAAUUGAAAAAUUGAGAAUGCAGUGAAGGAGAUGCUAAAUUUGGGGAUUAUAUGGUACAUUGACUGGGUUUAUGACAUUCCUGUAAUUCCAGUGAGGAAAAGGACUCCGUAUGACAAAUGUGUAUUGAUUAUUGUACUCUUGAUAUGAUAUUAUGUGGUGGACGAAUUACUUGAUGAAUUGCACAGGGCUAGCUUCUUUUCUAAGCUUGUUCCGAUGAGUUGCUAAUGGUGUAUGUAUGUGAAUAAAAUUUCCAAAUAUUGUGAAUGAAAAAACUUGCAAGGAAUUGUAAUGGAUAACAAUGAGAAAAGUAAAGAAAAAUGGUGAGGAGUCAAAAGUUGAUAACUAAGGAUGAGGAUCUAGGUAUAUCGAAUAACUUUUUCAAAGAGCUAUAGGCCAAUCCAAACUUUCAUGAUUAGAAUUCGUUAUAUGGAUGAAUGAUGGAGUAGAUCAUAAGUGACUUGGUUCUUCAUGUGAUUGAAAAUCAAUCUUUUGUGACUUUCAUUGAUAUGUAAUGAAAGGAGGAGGAGAUGGUUAUGUUAAUUUUUCAGUUGGAAUGAUAUGCUUAGUUUUUUUAUCGGAUGACUCCAUAACAAACAUGGGUGAGUUGGAGGAUGGAAUUAGGUAAGACUUGGGAUCAAAGAAUGUGACAUCAACAAACGUGUAGUGUAUCAUCUAAUAUUCAGAGAAGAACAUCAAUACCCCUUUUUAAGAUGUGAGUAUUCAAGGAAAACAUAUUUGAUGACCCUGGAAGAAAGUUUGUCCACACUAAGAGAAGCACGAAUAACAAAAUAAGUUCAGCCAAAGACGCAACUUAGAUGUGACACAACUUAGAUUCCAAAUGUCCCAAUGAAUGAUGCGACACAACUUUACUAUGGACAAGAGGAUUGAGCUUUGUUUUCUUAAUUGACAUGACUUGAUCAAUCUAAUACUUGUAAGUUGUUGAGUCGAAGACCAUUUUUUAAAGCUUUAACCCAAUUGGAUAACCUAAGAAUCAUGAAGAAGCUUAGGAGAUGAUGUUGCAAAACAAGAAACAAAAGAAUUUUUUUCUAAAGAAUGGAGGCCACAUGACUCAUGUCCUAUGCCAAUCAGACAGCUCUAACAACGUUUUUUUAUAACAAAAAGAAUUAGAAUCAAAUGUGACAAAACAAGUUAAUGGUUUAGUCAAUUAAGAGACAAGAUUGGAAGGACAAAUAGAAAUAAAGGCAACAGACUUCCAAGUUUAGGGAAGGAGAUGGAAAGACUUGGCCAACUCCUUUGUUGGAGGCAAUCUCAGAUCCGUUUGCUAAGGUAAUUAGGAAAUGUAGGCUGUUGAAAGAUCACGGGUUGAAGAUGUCUGGGCUUAGAUUGGGAAACGCAUGCCUAUUCUAAUAACACAUACUGGCACAUUGAAUAUCUCGCCGUGUCUAAAAGUUUGUUUCAUGUCUGUUUUUCUUUGAUUGUUAUGAGGAUCCUAGUUCUUAGACAGCAAGAUUGGAUGUUAAGAAAAAGACUACUGUUAUAAGUUAUCAUCUAAAGUGUAGUUACCUUUAUUUAACAGCCAAAGUAAUCAUGUCAAAUUGAAUUUUCUUUUCAAUACCAUUGGAUAUGAUUGAUUGCCUCAUUUCUCUUCGCUGCUACAUUAUUAGCACGGGAUUAAGUGGGCUAUAAAAUAAAACUUUUGCAUUUUAAUUUGCUCACUUUUAAUUUUGAAUAAUUACAUUCAAGGUUAGAUGGGACUAAAAAUUUAAAACUAUUAAAGGGGAAGGCACGCAACUGUGUUUAAUUCACUUUAAGGUGUAACUCAAUAAUUCUGAGUUUUGUCGGUGUCUUGCUAAAUUUUGAUAUAGUCGAAGUGAAUAGCAGUUUCUCAUAUCAACUAUAUUCUGAACGAUAAAUUCUUUCUGCUUGCUACAGCUUAGGAAUUACAGGUCAAUGGGAUUAAUCAUGGCUGUUGAAGCAGACAAAAUCCCAAAAUUUCGUCAAGAAUUAGCUUCUCUAAUAAAUGAAACAUGAAGCCAUGUAGAAGCUUCCUGAAGAAUUAGCUUUCCUGAACAUGCAUUUCAACUUAUAUAUUGCAAGGGUUUGAGCUGCCAAAUUUUGAAAUUUGCUUUUCAUUAUUAAUUACCCUUUUCUUCUGGAAUGAUUGUCGUCUAGAUACUGAAGACAACUUCCCCCCCGCUGUUAUGCUUAAGCGAAGCAGCCAAAUAGUGUGUUCUCCAUUGCAAUGACUAUGAACACCAUUUAGAAUCAGUACGAAGCUGACUGUGAGUGUUGGUGACAAUUUUGUUUAAAAGAAAAGAAAAAAAUGGUUGAAAGCAACUUAAACUCUCGAAUACUAUUCUAUAGAAACUUAUAUAGGCACACGCACACAAUUUUGUUUACGUCCUAGUCAACAUGAAACUGGUUUCUAGUUGUGGUAAAAUAGUACAACAUGAAUGCUAUAAUAAGUUGAACUCUAACACUGAAAUCCUUAUAAAUUUAUACUUAUUAUUAAGCUAUAAAUUUUAGUUAUUCUAACAUCGACAAAAUGCUAAUAUAAUAGCAUUUAUUUAGAGUAUAAUAUAUAAUUAAAAUAAAAUUAAUAAUUAAAAAUGAUCUACUUAGUUUACAAUGUUUCAGUUGUUUUAAAUAAUUUCCUGUGUUAGAGGAUUGCUAAUUGAAAGAUUCUAUAGAAAGAGGAGAUUUUAACGAUCUUACUAUUAUAUAAAAUAAAAUAUUAUAAAUUACUAAAAUAUUAAAAUAAACUGUCGUAGAUGAUAUUAUAAAAAGAUUUUCUUUUACAAAGCAUUUUUCUAUUACUGUUCAAAAAGACAGUUAUGUAAGUGUACUUUAAUUUGCUUUAAAAUUUAGUUAUAUAGUUAUAAAAUAAAACACAAAAAAUAACUAUUUGAAAAUAAACCAAUCUCAUUAUAUAAUUUCUAUUAAAUUUACAAAGCAUGGUAUCAUUCUCAUCCAUACAUGGAUUAAGAAAGAUCACUAAUCAUUCAAUCCAAAUUCUAUCAUUAGAUAACUUUUUUUGGAAGAUUUUUAUUGAUUAUGAGUGUACGAGACCAACACACUUAUACACUACAAAUGGUUAUAAUAAAAGAAAAUCAUACAUAAAGUCAUCAUUUAAUGACAUUUGUGUUGAAGUGAAAGAAACAUUAUUUUUUGUGGUCACUAAAAACUUCGUCGAAGACAUUCAAUCCGCAAAGAGCACACAGAAACAGUGAAGCAAAUGUUUUUUAUUAAGCUAUUUUUUUCGUGAUUAAAGAGUUUAUAGACACUGAUCAACAAAUGUCUAAUGAGUAUUUUAAAAUACCUUUGCACUCAGUUUUUUAUUAAUUUGAACACCUAUAAAAGUAUAUUCCUUGACCAAUAGACAUAAAAAAGACAAUUAACAUGUUCCUCCAACCAUCAAACAUCCAAUGGAUUUCUUAAAGUACAUUCACGCUCAAUUUUUUAUUUAUUAAUUUGAAUACUAAUAAACGUUGUUCCUUGACCAAAAUAUAUCAAAAAGCAAUUAACAUUUGUUCAUUGACCAACAAAUGUAUAUGUCGUAAUUUUACUUAUAAAAAUAUCAUCGAUUAUUUUUGUUGACUGCUUGAUAAUUAGACAUUAAAUGAUAGAUGUUGUACGUACAAUUUGCACUAAUGAAAUUUUAUGAGAAUCAUUGUUAGAAUUUAUUACACAUAUUAUUUCACCAAUAUAUAAUUUAAACUAUUCAGUAAUAUCUAAUUUUAUUCGUAAGAUGUAUUUGAGAAAAAUGUAGUAAAAGUAAUACACGAAUUAAAAGAUAAUGUCAAUUUGAAAAUAGCACCUUAGAAAUCAAUUUAAAAUUGAAUUAGAUAUAAACCACUUUUUGAAGCACCUAAAUUAAAUACAUCUUUUUCUCGUAAUUAUCAGACACACAAGCUUCUCAAUUGUACUUAAUUAUAAAAUUGAUUUACAAUUUUCUUCCUAAGACACACAUCCUUCAAUGUAGUACAUACACUCGUUUGUGUUUUAGUGUAUCCUCGUCCGAGAAUAAGUGACAACAAUUGUAAUUGAAUUUUCACUCGUAACCAGGGAUGAUAAAAUAUUCAUGCCAAUGUACUAUUUAUUUGUUAACUAUUUUUGUCAAACAAAUUGUAUUUUGUUACUUAUCAUAUAUUCGUGGAAAAAUACUUGUAAAGUUUUCUUUUAUACAUGCGAUAUCUAUCCAUGAAUAUGUAUUUUUUAUUUUAAAUAAAUUUAUUUUAAAAAACUCAAUUAUUAAUUUAGAUAAAAUUACACAAUAAAAUAUGAAUACAAAUAAAUUUAGUUUUUCUAAGAAGUAAAUUUAAAUAAGUAUCAUAAAAUAUAUAAGUUUUAAAAAAUAAAUCUUUUAAAAACCUACAUAAAUUUAAUAAGUCCAAAUAAAAAAAUAUAAAUAUACAAAAGUGAUUCUAAAAAAUAUAGUUGAUAUUUUUCUCACUCGUUUGAUCUUUUUAGCCUAUUCAAAUAAUAUUCGCUUUCAUACUGAUUUUUUAACCAAUAGAUAAUUACAAUAUUUUAAAAAUAAUACUCGUAAUUAUUAUUUGCUGGUAUAAAUUAUAAAUAUAAUUUAAUAUGUAUUACAUAUUUUACACAUUCAUAAGAAUUGUUUUCCUAUCCUUACUUUUUCUUCUGAUACAUUAAUCUAUAUGUUAUCUAAAUUAUUCGUAAGAAUUAGGAUAUCCUAAACUUUUUAUUCUUUUACUUAAAACCCUAAUUGCUUACCCUCUGACUGCGGCACACACAGACUUCUCUCUCCUUCAUUUCUUCUCUUCUCCAUUUCCGUUUUCUCUCUUCUCUUCCUCCAUUGGUUCCGUUUUCUUUCCUUCCAUUGUUCGUGCUGUGGAGGACCGUGGGUGCUUGGUUGGUGCUUUAUUCGCGGUUGAUUUUCUCCGAUCCAGGUUAAUUUCUCUCUUUUUUUGAUUUAUAUGUUUGUUUGAUUUAGUUUGAUUUGUAUUUAUAUUUAGGUAGGUUUCUGUGAACAUGUUUUGUUAAAUAUGUAUAUAUAUAUAUAUAUAUAUAUAUAUAUAUAUAUAUAUAUAUAUAUAUAUAUAUAUAUAUAUGUAAUCUGUAUGAGGCUCUGAAAAAACGAAGAAGACAACUGCAAAAAGGCCAAAACGGAUAUCGUGUAUUGUCUUCUUUUUAUUUUUUAUUUUUUAGUUUAUUAAUUUAUUUUUUUCGUAGAUUUAUUUAUUUAAAUUUAUUUAAAUUUAAGUAUUAUUAAUUUAAUUAUAGUUAAUUGAAAUUGUUUUGAAUUGGGGUGGAGAGGUCAGGAAAAACGCAUAUCCACAUCAAUGCUUUAGAUUUCUAGGUUGAAAUACGACACUAAUAGGAAUGCGUAUCUAGGUUGAUUGUAUAUUGAUCCGUACUAAGUUUUUAUAUUGAUUUUGGGUUCUCAUGACCACCAUUUCUUGGGUAUUUUUCAUUGAUGAGCAUGCUGGGGUUAUCAUCAACGUUCAUUUGAAAGAUGGUUUGGCAAAGAUGCCCAUUUACAUUAUGUUUUUGCCUACUUUAGUUGUUUGCACCCACACAUUUUAUCAUCGUUUUGAAUGAGACUGUUUACUAAUAACAUGGAUCAGGCUGCUGUUUAUUUUGCACGAGUAAGCGUGGAAAGCCAGUACUAAACACCAUGUAAUUUUACCCAGAAUUUGACAUUGCAUUCUGAGGUUGAAGCAGUGCAUCAGAGACUAAGAAUUAUAGAGUCUCAAUGGCAGCUUCAGAGAAAACUCUAACAAUUAACAAUUGCACAACAAAUGAAGGUUGGACAGUCGUUUUGCCCCGUCGCAGCAGACAAAGAAGAAAAGCUACCAAAUCUAGAGUUUUGGAGGAAAAAAAAGAGCCAUGGACUCCAUCAGAUUCUCUGACUGAUCCAAGCAAAGAAGCAACGUUGGUGCAGAAAAUGGAAAGAUGUAUAAACAAGAUUGAUAAAUCUGAAUUCUAUCAUACUUUCAGGGAUCAAAUUCAAAAAUCAGUUGCUGAUUACUUCAAUAGGGUUUUGGGCUCAGAGAUAAAGAUGCAAAUGGUCAUUUAUGGUAUAGGCAGCAUUGACUUGUAUGAGCCCCCUCGAUUGCAGCUUAGCCUUGCAAUAUUGUUGAGAAGAGAUUUCAGUUGGAUUGGAAACGUAGAGGUAUUUGAUCCUAUUCUUUCUGCAACCGAGUCUCGGGUUUUGGAAACUCUUGGUUGUUCUGUCAUGUCCAUAAACGAGCAUGGGAGGCGGGAGGCACUAAAGCCAACAAUGUUCUUCAUGCCUCACUGUGAGGCAGAGUUAUAUAACAACCUGUUGCAAGCAAAUUGGAAAUUGAGCCUCUUGAAAAACAUGGUAUUAUUUGGGAACAGCUUUGAAACAUAUGAGCAGCAUGUGUCAUUGUGUAAGAACUCACCUAUUCUUAGUUCAGUGGGGCAUAUUUUGGCUGCUCGUGGAUUUACAAAUGAAUUUAGAAUCCAAACAGUUUCAGAUGAUUAUUAUAAUGCAUUCCAUGAUUCUAGUUGGCAUAUUUUCAGCCCUAUCCUUGAGUCAGAGUUGCAAUUUAUCAAUUCUUAACGGAGGGUUUCUGAUAAACAUCAAUAUUUGGCUGUGCGUCCUUUAAGCAUACUGUAAGAACUCUUACCCUCCUAUGGCUGUCUCUUGUAUCGAAAUAUGCUAACCAAUCGUUUCUUUUGAUAUUUGGCCAUUUGUUUCUUAGGGUAUCCUAGAAGCAUAAAUUCAUGUAAAGUUGUUGGUAAAUGCUUUUAUAUUUUUAAUUUAAAAUUUAAAGCAAAAGUAUAUUGUUACUAAGUCAGUUUUUUUUUUAAAAUAAAAUCUUACCAUUAUUACAAUCGAAAUGUCAAAUGUAUUUAUAUAUAUAUAUAUAUAUAUAUAUAUAUAUAUAUAUAUAAAGAUUUCUCAAAAACUUUAAAAUAAUAUUAUGGAUUUUUUUUUCUUUAUAUAUAACUCAUCUUAUUUAUCGUCUCAAUGUCAGAUUUAUUACUUUGACACUUAAAAUUUUGUAUACAUGUGUUUAGAAUAACUUUUAUUUCUACUUUCAUUCAUUAUUCACUAUCUUUCUUAAUCUCUUUAUAAGGACACUUUGUUUUUCGUAUUUUUCGUAUUCAUUUUUUGUGGUAUAUAUCACCUAUUUUUUUCGCUCCAUUGUCGCAAUUUUGUCUGCAGAAGCAAACAAACAGUUAAUUCUUUAUGCAUGUGUUUAGAAUAACUUUAUUUUUACUUCCAUUAAUUAUUCUAUUUUUUAAAUAAUACCUUUAUUAUUAGAGGAAUUAAAACUAGGUUUUAAGAUACUUUAAAAGUUAAAAGCAUAUUUUAUCACUGUUCACAUGUUAAUUUGUCAUUACAACUGCCAACUUCUUUAAAGAUAAUCAUUAAAUAUAAUUAAUUUUAAUUUUAAUUUAAUGUAAAUUUUAAGUUUUUAAUGACCAAGAUAAGUUUUUACUAUAUGUACAACGGAAGCACAAAUGUUUAUUUAUUUAUUUUAUAAAAAAUAUUAAUUGAAAAUAAAUAUUUAAGUUUUUGAAUAAAUUUUCUCAUACUCAUUCAUGAGAGUAAUUAUGAAGUUAAUGGUGCAUUUCUUAUGCUAAUCUAUCUUGUUUUUGUUUGAUUGUGAUGAAAAGUUAUUAGAAAUAAUUAUAAUGCAUUUACCAUAAGGUUUAGUCGUGUAAAGUAGGCCUGACUUUCACAAUCAACACGCAUACGACAGAACAGUUGGUACUAAGUUGCCAUGACACCAAAAAAGAAGAAAAGUAUUCUUCAUAUUUUGUAAAAAAAACUAUUAAUUAGUGUUCUCAAAAUAUUUAGAACCGUCAGCCAAUCCAACCUAUCAUGGGUUUGGACUGAGUUCCAUUGAAAAAAAAUUAAAAUUUUGAUGAUUAAUUUUGAAUUCGAAUUAUUAAGAAUUCGACUUAUUUAAGUUGAAUCUGUGUUAGUUUGGUCACCAAUUCAAUUAAUUUUUCUUACAUGUUGUAAUUUUUUUACAUGCUUGUUUUUAAAUUAUAUUUAGAAUUUAAAAUAAUUUUGGAUUGUAUUAUAUAAAUAUGUAUUUUUAUUUUGAAUUGUUUUUAUAAUUUAACAUCAUUUAAAAUUGGAAUUUAUUUAAAUUUAAAUUAGAAAAAAAUUAUUAUAUUUUUAAUUAAAAAAAUAAAAUAAUAAUCAAGUAAGUUAAUCUAUUUAAUUAAUUAAUUGGAUUAGGUUGAUUAAAAAAAUAUUAUAUUUUUAAUUCAGAAUGCAUACUUUUAUUUCCUAAUUUGUAAUAGAAAAAGAUGAAACAGAAGCUGCACCUUCUUUCCAUUUAUAUUUUAUAAUUAAUUGUUUAUUAUUAUUUGAAAGGUUGUACUAUAAAUUGUUGGUGUUGUGGAUAAUAAACACAUUCAACCCUUACCUCACCUUUUUCUCUUCAUCUCUCAAGCAUUCUCCAAAACUAAAGCAAACAAAACCCAAUUCUUGUUUCAACUACAAACUGAAACACCACACACAGACACAUAAAACCCCAAAACUCAAAACAAACACGAAACUUCAAACAACAAAAUAUACAAAGAAAGAAAACAUCAUCGCCUUAACCAAAGUAACACAACUUACCUUGUGGACUUUGUCUUUCCGUCAUUCAUUGCCGCCGCGUCGGAGCAUUUUCGCUGCUGCCGGACGUCAAACGCAGUAAACUCUCAAUUUCAUCGCUUCCUUUCUUUUCUUUUUUCUUUCUUUCGUUUUCUUUUAAACUUUCAUCCCUGAAAUUCGAGCUCGGUUGUGAUUUCUGAUUGAAUAUGAAAAAUCCUCAAAAAGAAACCCUGAAAUAUUCUAAUUCCUGUUAAAAUGAAGCUGCUUUGAAAUAUCAGCUGCCGGAAAACGUAAUUUUGAGAAAAUUUCGCUUCAGGAAAUGCAAAUGAUUUUGAAUUGAAUCAAUUUCGAAUCAGAUGAUGAAAAUUAUAGCAUUUCAAAGUCAAUUUCCGAAAACUAACGCUAAAUUCUUUCGAUUCUUUGCGCUCAGGAGCUCGGAGAGUGUCGAAUUUGUCCAAGAUGUCGCGGUUUCCGUUCUUCAGCCGGUCGAACACGAUUCAUUCUGAGCAGUCGCAGAAACCUUACCUUCCUCAGAGCCAGCAGAGUCUGGACCGGUCCGGUUCGCUGAAUCGGUUCUACGGAUCCGCUGAGUCGGCGAAAACCUCAAUCCGCGGGAAAAUGGUGAGGAAGCUCUGUACCUUGUUCGAGUCCUCCUCGAAGAAGACUCCAGAAUCGGAGUUCCAAUCGGAAUCAAAAGCGCAUUGGGAAUCGUGCACGACGACGACGCCGUUUCGGUUGUCCGGGACGGAGGAGCGGAUCGUGGUGUAUUUAACGAGCCUGCGCGGGGUUCGGCGAACGUUCGAGGACUGCAACGCGGUGCGCAUGAUCCUGAAGGGGUUUAGGGUUUGGGUGGACGAGAGGGACGUGUCGAUGGACAUAGCUUACAGGGAGGAGCUGCAGCGCGCGCUGGGCGAGAGCCAUGUGGCGCUGCCUCAGGUUUUCGUGCGAGGAAAGUACGUGGGUGGCGCCGAGGUGAUCAAGCACUUGUUCGAGACUGGGGAACUGGCGAAGAUCAUUCUGGAAGGCUUCCCCAAUCUGAAACCCGGCUUCGUAUGUGAGCAUUGUGGGGAUGCGAGGUUUUUGCCGUGCGAAAAUUGCAGUGGCAGUCGGAAGGUGUUUGAUGAGGUCGAAGGGUGUUUGAAAAGGUGUUUGGAGUGCAACGAGAAUGGACUCCUAAGGUGCCCUUAUUGCUGUUCUUGAUCAUGCCUUUUUCAAUUCCUCCUUGAACGUGCUUUUGUUUUGUUCAAAGAUUUGGUCUUUUUCUUUAUUCAAAACGGGAAUGUGGAUUGUGUAUAUUGGAUGCCAUUCAUUCCUUUGAAGGCUGUAAAUAUUUAGUGGUGUAUAAAGAUUUGCUAAAUAUUGGUGGUUCUAAUGGAAGAAAUCUUUCUGAUCUUUUAAUAUUAUCCCGUCUUUUUUAGGCUAAUCUUGGAUCAAUCUUCUCUGUACCCUUUUACACACACGUGUGUGUUUGUGUGUUUAUUGAACACUCUCACAGUUAAACAUCGAAUACCAUCUUAGAUCUUGAAAUACUAGUGUGGUUGUGACAUCGGUUAAUAAAUGCUGAUGCAAGAAAUGUGAGUUAAUCUUUAGAAUGUCUGUCAUCUUCCCUGGGCUUUGUGUAUGCUGCUUGUAUGGUUUGUUCAUGGCAUUUUUAUUGACCCUGGGAUUAAGAUUAUCUGAAGUUAUGAAAAGAAAUGCAUUGAUAAGUUCUUUUAAUUUGUUUGAUUGAAUGUUGAGUUUUCUUUUCAAGUUAAAGUUAAUGGUGAUUUAGACUACACAUAUUAUCUGAUUGACACUGUAUUAAAGUUUAUAUUCAAAAAGAAUAUAAAGAAAAUAGCAUUGUUUUCCUAAAAUGAGUUAACCUAAGUGUAAACAUAUACUUUGUAAUUUACAUACCUCGUUAAAGAGUGGUAAGUUGUCAUUAUUUAGUGAAUAAUAGUAAUGACAAUAAAAUUCAAGUUUUUGAGAGGAUAUGUCAUUCCAUAAUUUAUUGGGACAUAAAUGUACAUGUUUCUUUCUUGAUGUUCAAAGCACUAUUCUAUGUUUUCUGUUUGUAGAAAUGUGGUAUGGAACUGUAGCCAUUAUUAGUCAUUAUUUCACAAUUUAACAUUUAAAUAUAAAGAUUUAAAAAAAGGUUAAAUUAAAAUUUCAUGGAAUGCUUAUAUCUUUUAAUUAUUUUAUUUCAGUCAAGAAAACAUCACAUACAUAAUAAUUUAUUUUAGAAAAUUAUACUAGUAAGUAACAUUAAAAAUAAUAUUAGAAAAUGAUAAUUGUUUUCAACAAAUCAUACUUUUAAUGAAUUUUUUUACUUUCAUGGUGUAAGAGACAUAGCUUAAGAUGUCCCUCUAUUGAAUAUUUAUAUUAUUUUAACAUACUGUAUAAAUUACAUUGAUGAAAGGUUGACAUUAUUAAUUACAUAUACAAAUGCAACAGAUGCAGUUUUAAAGAACAAGAUAUUUCAGACAGAGAUUGACAAUACAAUAUAGGUUGUCAUUAAUGUUAUCAGACCUAAGAAAAUGUUUUUCUUCAUGUUGAAACAUCAUUGUUACUACUUGCCAUUUAGGUUAACAAUUUCUUUAACAAUAUAUUACGGGUCAUUACUUUCGUAUGUUUAUUUAAAAUGAAUUAAUUACAAAUUAUUAUAUAUACGUUGUAAAAAAGUUAUUAAAAAAAUAUUUUUUUAUAUAUUUUCUAUCUAAAUAAAUGUGAAUUGAAAUUGUUGACAUUUUAUUUGUUUCUUCACAUUAAAUAGUGCAGGUGUGCACCUAUAAUGCUAUAUAUCAUAUCACGAGAUUUGAGACAGUGAUUUCAAAAAAUUGAAAGGGAAAGAAAGAAGAGAAGGAAAAGAACAUUGAUGAUUAUUCUUAUUCUUUUCCAUACCUAAAUUAACUUCAAAUAGUUCUCUCUAAUAUUCUGCCUUCUGUUAUAAUCUACAAUAUUCCAUUAAUGCUUUGUUUAAUCUUUUAUAAACAUCUUAUCUUAAAUGUUUUCGUGUUGGUAUACUGAUGAUUAGUUUUACUAAAAUCUUUAAUUCAUUAUAAAUAAGAGUAAACUUAAUAGCAGUUUUUUAACAAUUAAAUGUUUUUCUUUUCUAUUUAGUUAUAACUUAAUGUGAUUCCUAAUUUUUAAGAAGAUUUAAUGUAAUUUCUCAAUUAUAGAAUUAGAGAAUGAUUAGUCGAAUGUGUUUAUUUUUUCAAUUAAGAUGAGACUGAUAGAAUGAAAUGAACUAGAUUGAGUUAUUUUUAACAAAUAUAGAAACUAGUAAAGUUAAAUAAGUAAAUAAAUAAAAACAUUAAAUUAUUCUUAUAAAUAUAAGAACACAAUAUUAUUAAUGCUAAAAAAGAAUAUAUUAAGUAAUUUUUUUAUUUUAAAAAGUUAUAUUUUUGUUGAAAGUCCCACAUUAAUUAGAGAUAAGACUAAAUUAUAAUACAUAAGAUGCAUACCUCGUACUAUAAACCGAUUUUAUGGAAUUAAGUUAAAUUUAAACUCCACUUCUUAAUAAUUCUCACACAUUUUUUUUUAUUUUCUUGGAAACCAUAUUUUUUGAAAAUGUCAUUUUGUAAAAUCCAACUUCAGAUCUUUUGAAAAAAAAAAUUAUAGUUUUCAUAUGUUAGAAGAGUAAGACAAAUAAUGAAAAACAAAAGUAUUUUGAUUUUUUUUAUCUGAAUUUUCAAUUUCUUGGAUUUUUUUUGUACCUUCCAAACACAACACUGAAAUGAUUUUGGGUGGUCUGUGAGAAAAUAGAUAUUUGUAAUGUGAAUGUGUUUAUGGAUGGUCCAUGAAAGAGAUUGGGAAUGGUGAGAGAACCAAGUAUUUUUCUUUUUAUAAAGCACUCUUUAUUGUUUAGGUAAAUUAACAUGAAAUGCUACCUUAUUUCCUAAAUAUUUUUUAAAUAAUAUUUUCUUAUAAUUUAUAAAGAUAUAUCCAUUGCCAAAGUAAAAAUUUUACUUUUUUUAAUAAAGUUUUCUUUAUUAAAAUUUUCUUAUAAUUUAUCAUUUAAGUUACUUUUCUAGUGUUGUGUGUUAAAGAUCAAGCUCAAAUAAUAAAAUAGUUAUAAAAUUAAUUUUUGAAUUUUUUUUUUUUUUUUAUAAACUAUGAUUGAUUGUUAUGUUGUGGACUGUAUAGACUUGAGAGCUCUGAAGUCUUUUUCAGAUUUAAUUGAUGACAACGAAGUCCUCUUCAGUUACCAUUGGUGGCAUUAGCUAAAGGUGUCUUGAGAUUAUGGCAAGCCACCAAAAGUUUUUUUUUUUUUUUGAAUAAUCAUUUAACCCUUAACAUAUUUCAUAAAAUAAAAAAAUUUUACUUUUUUUUAGUUCAUUUAUUUUAAACUAUUUUAUAUCUCAAAAUAAAAUUGUUAUAUUAUCAAAAGAAUACCAUAUUAGCAAUAAAAAUUUAUUAGAUGAAAUUCUUUUAUUAUCAAUAAAAUACUUUUUAUUGACAGAUUUUACUAAUAAAAAACAUUGAUAAAAUAAUAAUUAUCAAUAAAUUUUAAGAUUUUAAUUACUAACAAAAAUAUCUGUUAAUAAUUAAUUCGUUAAUAAAAUAUAUAAAUAUUUUAUAAUUUAAAAUAUAUUUAUGGAUAUAAUGGACAUUAAAGUUUUUAUUUUAACUUUUAUCAUAUCGUGAAAAAAUUUAUUAGUAAUAAUUUUUAAAAAAAAUUUAUAGACAAUCGAUUUUUUUUAAAAUCCUUUAAUAAAUUUGUAAACAAAUAUAUCAGUAACUAUUUUAUGAAAAUCUAUCUUGUUAUUGUUAUUGUGCUUUUUAGAAUCUAUUAGUAAUUUCAUUGUUAAAUUUGUCAGUAAAGUAGAUCAUAAUUGUUUUACCAAAUAUAAUAAAAUAUUUGUUAUAAAUUAAAUGGAGAUGAGAGAAAAAAAGUAUUGUUAGAGUUCAUCUGAGUGAAAUUUGUUGUUUUUUGGACAUAUAUUUUAUCUACUAUCAAACUGCUAUCUUAUUUUCCAUUAAUGUCUACUUCGAUCUAUUGUAUAUAUAUAUAUUUCGAUGUGAGAUGUGUGUGUUGGAAAUCUCACAUUGACUAGUAAUAAAACUAAUUUAGAAUAUAUAAAUGGAUGUAAACCUUAUCUUUUUAGACCGAUUUUGUAGGAUUAAAUAGACUUAAAAUUCAUCUCUAAUAUAAUGUGAUAUCUUCAAUCCAGAAUAUUUGUAUUUAGUUAAUAAUAAAAUAAAAAAUUGGAUCUAAAUCACUCUUAUUCUUACACUAAAAAUUUAAAUUCUAGACAACCUUUGACAUAAACUUACAUCAACCCCCAAUAAAAAAAAUAUGUAUGCAGUGAAAAUAAUUUAUAACAUGCAAAUACGUUGCUCAUUUUACUUCUGAAGGCCGAAAGCCUAACGUGAACUUCGCAUUUUUUGGAUCAAUCAGACUUAACUUUGAUUUAACAGUGCUCAACUAUAAUUAGUUUACAAUACACAAAUCACUCUUAGGCACGUAAAAUGAAGCAUAAGAAUUGAUUAAUUAUUAUGAGAUUAAGUUAAUUAAGAAUGACUUGAUAUAUCCGUAUAAGUGAAAAAUGUCAAUAAGAAUAUUUGUUACAAUUAAUUGAUUAUAAUUUAUAAUGGAACACUUAAAAGAGUCACUUGAAGGGAGAGUAAACAUAACAUAAUUCGCGUGACAAAAUUUUCAGAACAUAUAAAAUGUCUUAUGGAAUAAAUUAACAAGAUUAGUUCUUACUAAUUGAUAAAGAGUGUUUAUGUCUUUUCCUAGUAUUGUGGGGGUGUAAUUAGUAAUUACGGGAAUACAAAAAGUAAUACCCUACUUGGGAAUGUUUUCUUGAGCCCCAUAAUUUUUUUGUUAAGUUAUACAUUUUCCCUUUCUUUAUUUUUGUCAUCAAUAAUGAAAAAAGGGAAAAUAAAUUUAACAAACUAUGAUAUCCUCUAUUUUCCAUAGCCUUUCUAGUCUAUAAAAAAUCACUUUAUUACUAUUGAAUAGUAUACUUCAAUACAAACUCUUUUAUCGUUACACAAUAUUUUUUUAAUAUAUAAAAUCAAUUUUCAAUAUAUAAAUAAAGACAAACCUUAAACCUUAUCUAAUUGAAUUAGUUAGGUUUAACUCUAACAUCUAUACGUAUUUAAAGUAGUUGUGUAACAUCAAAUAACUUUUAAUGUUAACCACUCACUUUAUCAUUAUAAAAGAAUUUUCUUGCUACAUGUAUAUAUAUAAUCAGACAAUGUCAAAUGAAAUUUCCCAUAAUAUAAUGUAGUACGAUGAACUUGAAAAUUUGUUUCUUAAUUUGCAUGAAACUUUAUAAACUUGAUAUUUACUUCAUUAAAACUUUCAAUUUUGAUGGUUGGAUUACUAAUUACAUAUAUUCACCUAGAUUAAUUACUCGAUCCCGAUCAAUUAAAUUUUUUUUUAAGAUAAUAAUUAAUGAAUUGGUAAUGUUACAUGAAUAUUUUUCUAAAUCAUUUUUAAUUAUUGAGGAAUUAAUUUUUACACACACAUAUAUUACAUCAAUUAUGAGGUAAAAAAAAUAUUAAAAUUAAUUGAUAAGUUAGUCUCUUAUUGAUAGUUUUGUAUGUUGUGUUGAUUAGUGAAGAAUGAUGAUAUGCAAAAAAUAAUGGUUGAAGGAGAAUUGACUAAGUUUUUUUUUUAAUAUUUAUCUGAAUUACUGAGUUAAAGGAACACAUUCAAGUUCAAUCUCUAACACACCUCUCUCAACAUGUUGCAGUCUCACUGAGACCUCUUGUUUGAUUUUGCCAUCUUCAAGGGAGAUUAUGCCAUCUUUAAUAAGAGUGUUGUCACCACUUGCUACCAUUUUUUCAAUCUGGACCAUAUUAUCGACUGAACAUUUUUCAUAUUCUGUUGCAGCUGAGACCAAAGGCUGAAUGUCUAUUUCAGCCUCACCCAUAAAAUCAUCAGUGGAGAAAGUAUCUUUAUCAUACACAAUCUGCAUAUUUCCAAAAUUUAUUACAACAUCACAUCAUAACAAAUGAUUAAUUUUAAGAAAAAAUGAUAUUUUAACACAAUUUUGACACUGCACACGUGUCAAGAUGUGGUUGGACGAUUUCAAAUUAAAAAAAAAACUUUAGUUUUUCUCUUCCAAAUAUACCCUUAUCUAAGCUUUUUUAAUUUGAAAUCGUCCAAUCAUAUUUUGACACGUGUGCAGUGUCAAAAUAGUGUCAAAAAAUGGUGUUAAAAUAUCAUUUUCCCACCAAUUUUUGACACUACACACGUGUCAAAACGUGGCUGGACGAUUUCAAAUUAAAAAAGCUAAAACAAGGGCAUAUUUGGAAAAAAAAGCCAAAGUUUUUUUUUUAAUUUGAAAUCGUCCAACCAUAUUUUGACACGUGUGCAGUGUCAAAAUUGUGUCAAAAAAUUGGUGUCAAAAUAUCAUUUUCCAUUUGGGAUUUAUGAGUUACAAGGAAAUGAUAUUCAACUUACAAUUUUAAGAGGAGGAAUAUUAUCAGGAAUUGACAACAUUAGGCUUUCAUUCCAAAUUGGGUUUAAAUUGUUCUUUAUCACACGAGUCUUCACUGACUGCAAUAUAUAAUACAACAUAUAUAGAAUGUGUAAAAUGUUAAGUUGAAUUUGUAUAUGAAUGCUGUGAAGUAAUAAUUUAUGGAUAAUGAUACUUUGACAACAUUUGAACAUUAUCUAUGUGUUAUUAUCUGAUUGAUGUUUAUGAUUAUUAUUAUUGAUUAUAGAAUAAUUUUAAACCAAUAAAAAAAUAACACGUAGAUGAUGUUAAAAUGUUAUAAAAAAAUGUUCUUAAAGUAUCUAUAAUCUAUAAUUUAUAGAUGAAGAAUCUCACUUGGUGACCAAGGGAUAUGAUCACAUAAGGAUCACUACUCAUUACAUCACGAACAGCAAGAUUAAUUCCUUUAACCACAUUCACCUUUAUCAACCCAACAAAUUCAGUCAUACCUGCCUAUAACAAGGACAAACAACCUUAGAAUAAUACAUAUUUUGACAUAUUGAAAUAGGUAACAGUAGUAAAAUGAAACAUUACCAAUGAAGUGCUAUUCUUUGAAGUCCUAAAGUCAUGAGUUUCUUUUCUUCCUCGACUAUUUCGAAAUGUUCUGCAAAUACGAUGUUUAGUCGGUUGUUUAUUAUCAGAAUACUGUUUUUUUUCUCGUAUGGACUGAAGUCUUGAGGAACCAAUUUGAGAAUCUGAUGAACUUCCUGAAUUGGAUGGUAUGAAGGGGCAAGACAUGUUCUCCUCAGAAUCCAAAAACUGCAGAAACUCAUAUUUUCUCCUGCAUAAUAUAUCAAAUUACAGUUUUCAACUAAAUUAUGAAUUUUGCAUGCAUGCAUAUGCAUGCACAAGUACGUGUAUUGUGUUGUUCUCCAAUUACCUAAUGAAAUCAGAGCGUUCUUCAAUGGAAGAAUUAGGUUUUGGUUUUCUUAUGUUACUUGGCAGGUAAGCUUCAUACUUCUUGUUCACUACUGUAUUUCCACCCAAUUUCACCAAUUCAUCAACUUGCUCAUCUGUCCAUUCAUCUAGCUUUAGGGACAGAACCUGUGUUCAUGUCAAAUCAUUGUUACAAUUUUUCUACUUACAACAAUAGAUACUCGUAAGAGGAAUGCUAACACGACACACAUCGACCUUCAUUUAAUACACCAAAUGAUCUUAAAAUAAUGAAUUUUUGUAGUUUUUCGAAAGAGUAAAAAAUAAAAAAAAAUAGUAUUAAAAUGUCAAAAUUAUUUAUGUCAAGAAAAAAUAAUUAAUCUUCAUAAAUUACCUUGGAUAUAUGGACACCGAGGCUUCUAUGUACUCCAGAGCAUUUGAUGCAAAUAAAAACUCCAAGGCUUGUAGACCUGAUAUUCAACCAAUGGUGUGAAUAGAAUUAAAUGCAAACACUAUUACUUUUUGGUUUUACACAUUUAACUUAAUUUUUAAUAAUUUUUUUAUCAUGUUUUAUCUACCUAAAUGUUAUUUUUUCAUUUCUCUAGUAAUUUCGAAAGAUAAAACAUAUGGAUUUUAAAUUUAAUUCAAUCUUAUAAAAUUUAUAAAAUUAAUUUAUAAAAUAAAAUUUAACUUACUAAUAUAUUAUAAAUAAGUUUUAUUUAUAAUUAAUAUAAGUAUAAAUAGGUUUAUAUAUAUAUAUAUAUAUAUAUAUAUAUAUAUAUAUAUAUAUAUAUAUANUCUUCUAUUAAAUCUGUUUAUAAAUAGAUAUAUAUAUAUAUAUAUAUAUAUAUAUAUAUAUAUAUAUAUAUAUAUAUAUAAAGAACGUGAAACUAUAUAUUAACAAAGUCUGAAAAUAAUUUAAUAAUGAAUGGAAUAAUAUAUUUUAUAAAUAAUAAAUUUGGUUAAGAUAGACUAACAUAUACUUCUUCCAUGUUAAAGAGUAAAAUUUAAACAUAAUUCAAUUUUAUAAAAUUGAAAUAAGAUUUAACUAAUUCAUAUAUUAUAAAUUAAUUUUAUAUUUGGGUUAAAUAUGUUUUUAGUCCCUAUAUUUUGGGGCGAUUUUGGUUUUAGUCCCUCUUUCAAACUAAGGUACAAUUUAGUCUUUCAACUUUAAAAAACUCUGGUUUUAAUCCUUUUUACCAAAUUUUUUUAACUUUAUUUGCUGUUUCAACAUGAAAUUUUCAACGUAAAGAAAAAUGUGCUAAAAUAAUAUGUAAAGAUUCUUGUAAUGGUAAUUCAGACUCAUUAUAAAUUGAAUAAAAGAACAAGCUUCCUUAGAGCGAAAAAAAAAAUCAAUAAUUUACAUAAUAAAAUAUAAAACUUAAAGGAGAAAUAGGAGUUUUUUAUAUUAAUUUGGGAUAUAAAAAUUUAUAAGGAUAUAUGAAAUAAAAUUGAAUGAAAAAAUCAAUAAAAUAAAGUCGUUUAAAAAUGAAUGUAAUAAAUACUUACACCCAUUUUGGCUCUAAUGAUCCACAAUCAGCACAAUACCUGUUCCCAGCUUGACGCAUCAAAUUGUCUAAUCUUUUCUGCGGUCCUUCUUAUACAUACAUGCAAAUCAAAAUAUAUAUUUAUAUAUAACAAAUUAGAUAAAGAUUAUAAUCUCAUACCAAUACUAUUUUAAUUAUUUUUAAACUUUUUAAAUGUAACAAAAUCACAAUUAAUGUACCACUAACUUUACAAACAACAUAUAAAAUAAAAUAAAAAUUUGAAUAAAAGGAUUAUAGGUAGAAUCACCCUAACCUCUUUUUAAUUUUAUUAUAUUGUUAAUAAUUAUUAUACUCAUUCACUAGUUAUUACUUCAUUAAUUAUAUUAAUUACUUCCAACUUAGCAUAAUGAAUAAAUUAUUUAUUUCCUUAUCAAUUAUUCUAGAAUUCUUUAUGAAGUUAAAACUUUUAAAACUCCUUUCUACUAUUUUGUUAUUUGUAUGUUGGAUUUUUCUCUAUAUUUUUUUUUCUAUAAGUAAUGCACAUUUUGUAACUCUUAAGUUGACACUUAUCAUUUUUCCUCAUUGAAAGGAGGGUAUUUAUCCUCUUUCUAAUCUUUUUCGAUUUUUUAAUUUUAAUAUUUUGUUUGUUUUCUCAUCCUUGAGUGAGAACUUCAUUGCUAGUUUUAUGGAUUUAUUUGAGUUAUAUGAUUGAAGAAAUUUAUAUAGGAGAUCAUUUUUCUUCUCUUAUCAUACUAUGAUCUCUAGCUAGGAUAUAAAAUUAUAAUUUCUUAUUAUGAAAAUCAUAGGUUUAUCUUUAAUAAAGAAAGAUUUACCUCUAUUUAUAUAAAUAUGUUUCUUUUUAAUCAAUAUAACAACUCUAAAUUUCAUAAAAUAUAUUUAUAUUAUAGAUAAAUUUGUCUUAUUUUUAAUUGAUACUAAAUCUUUAACGUUUUCUUGAAACAACGUUCAUCAAUAGUGAAAAUUAUCUACAACAAUAUUAUUUUUCUAUUAUAUUUAAAAUCGUUAAAAUAAGAAGGAAUUAUUAGAUUUCAAAGUAAAAGCAUUGACAACAAAAACUAAUUAUGUUGAAAUUUUAUUCAUAGAUUAACAACAUAACUUAAUUAUGUUUCAAAUUCAAAAAAAAUAUAUCCAAAACUAACUAUUAUAUUUCAAAGUGAAAUUAUUAUUAAUUAGAAAAAAAAAAUAUCCACAUGCAAAUGAUAAUUCAGUAGAAGUAAUAAUUCAUACAAUACCUAUAUAAUGUUAAAUAUGUAUACUUUUGAUUGGCAAAUUUUUAUUGACUAAAAACAUGGUAAAUUAGGAAAGUAUUGUCAAUUAACAUUGGAUAUUUCACAAUCAUCUAAAACACUUAAACGUGAUAUAUUUCUAUAAGAUAUUUAUAUAAGAAAUCAAAAUAUCACCAUUAAUAAAAAAAAUAAUAUGUUUGUGAAUUAUUCUAUUUAUAUGCUGUUUAUCUUACUUAUUUUUAAUUAAUGCAUACUUUCAUUUUACCAUGAAAUUCUAACAAAUCCUUGUGUAUGUUUACACUUAAUAAUUUCACGCAUCUUAAUUGAUUACUAAAACCAUAUUAUUUCCAAAUUUGUACUUAUCAUUCAUAGAAACUUACGUUGGAAAUAAUUUUUCCAUGUAGUUUAUGAAAUUUCAAUGAUAAAAUAUGAAUUAAAUUUGUAUAAUUUAUUUGAAAACUACAAUAUAUAAUAAUAAGGUUAUCAUAUAUUUUUUCCCAUAAUAAAAUAAAUAGUUAUUUUCUAUUAAAAAAAAUUAAAAUAAUUAUUUAUUUUAUUAUGAGAAUUUGAUAAUUUAAUAAAGUAGUUUAUUUAUUUCGUGAAUUUAAAAUUCUUUGAAAUAAAAUAAGUUGCUUGGAUGAGAAAAUUAAAAAAGAAAGAAAUUUAUAAAUUUUGAGAAGGUAUUUCAAAUAAUUAAAAAAAAUAUGAAAUUCACUUAAAAAAAAUAAAAAGAAAUUAAAAUUUCACAACUAGUCACUCUUUUCUUAUUAGAGGUGUCAAUUUGACUUAUGAUUUAUGAGUUACUUAACCCACUCAAAAUAAGCUCCCAUUAUAUAGUUCAUUGGGUCAACUUUUGACCGGAUUGACUCGGUUAAAUCUCUUAUGUUAAUCAGUUUGACUCAACAUUCAAUUUGAGUUGCUUGGCAUGGAUAAACUUGGUUUGAUCUUUUACUUAGCCGAUUUAACUUAAUUCUUCAACUUGACCAACUUGAGUCAAUCUUUAGCCUAGGUCAACUCAAGUUAACCUUCUUCCAAGCCAGUUCUUGUUGAUCUUGGUCCUAAUAAGCUCACUCAACUUUUGAGGCAGGUCAACUUGACUCUUCAAACAAAUCAACUUAAGUCAACCAUUGUCCCGAGUCAACGUGGCUUGACCUUUGAUUCAGUUAAAAUCAUUGAUUUUUUGACCCGAUCGACUUUGCUCGACCUUUAGUUAAGCCAACUUGGUUCCACUUUUAACUUAAUAUGGCUCGACUCAACCUAUAGUCCAAACCAUUUCAACUUGAUCUUUGACUCAAGUCAACUCAGUUCAACCUUCAACCUAGUGUGACUAUUUUGACUUUUAUUACUCUUUUGAUCAUGUGAAAUUUAUGAACUUUUUUGUCUUAUGAAUUUUUUAACUUUGAGCCAUGCAUACUAAAGCAAACUCAAGUGAUAACUCUACUUUCUAUAUACAUUAUACAUAUAUACUAUUGGAAAAAAAAUUAUUAAAUAUAAUUUUAACAUUUAAAUUUAAAAUACAUAUUUUAAUAUAAAAUUUUAUCUUAGAGGAAUUUAAUUACUUUAUUCAAAAAGAGAAAAUUAACAUAUAAAAUAUUUUAAUUACUGUAUCUAAACAAAAUAUUUAAAAAAUAUUACAAAUAAUGAUAUUUAAAUAUUAUAUAUUUCAACUUGUUGUGUAUUUUAAUUUCUUAAAUUAUUGAAAAGGUGUCUAUACAUCAUAAACUAACAAAAUAGUAUUGAACAUAAAAAAAAGUAAAAAUAAAAAAACAAAGAUGAAGUGUAUUACCAGAAGACAUCCAUCGUUCUCUUAGAUUGUGAGCAUUGAUAUUAGGUGUUUCUGAACAAAACAGAUCAUAAAGACAAGAUCCUGAUCCUGAACCUACAAUUAAUUAACCAUUUCAUUUCAUCAUCAAUUACAACAUUCUUAUUCGUAACAUCUAAUAAUACUAAUAAUAAAUUGAUACAUUAAUAGAAUCAAAUACCUGAUAUGUCAUUGGUACUAUGAUGUUCUCGUUGAACAGACAUUGGAAUAGCUAUGUCUGCCAACUGCUCCUCUGCAAAUUGCGUCAAGAAACAUAAAAACAUGACCAAUAUAACAAUAAAAUAAUUUAUUUUUUUUCGAAUAUAUAGAAAAUCUUACAAAUUAAAUAAUCUACUUUCUCAUGGCAUUCGUCAAUGGCAGCUUAUUCUCUACAGGAAAUGGAAAUGUUGUUAAAGAAAAGAUAAUUAGUGAAUUGAAUUGGAUUUCCCAAUAAGUUAUUGUUGAAUUUACGUUAUGGGAAAAAGUAGAAUAAUGAAUGUUUUACCGACCAUAGAACUUUGAUGUUCAUAGAGAAAUAGUUGAACGCGCUUCAUGGGGGCGAGUUGAAUCUUGUUCAUCACAAAGCAACGUAUAUUUAUCCAACACACAUUGCUACAUCAAUUCCUCAACUACUAUACCAUAAAUAGACAUUUUCAAAUCUAUUUUUGUUUAUCAAUAUUUUAUGUAUAAAAUUCUAUAAUUAAAAAACUAAUAUGCAUCAAUAAUUUUAAUAUUUUUUCAAGAUUACAAAGGAACACGUUAGUUUUUAUGCAUGUUGGUAUCAUAUACUUGACAACAAUUUCUCAAAAUAAACUAAAUAAAACUAUUUAAAAAUUAUUCCCAUAAACUCAAAUAAAAAAAAUUGGUUUUGAAGUAAUAUUUGAAUAAAAUUACAUAAUAAAAUAUCAGAACAAAUAAAAUUAAUCUUUCCAAAAGAAUUAAAUAAGUUAUAUUAUACAAAAUAUAAUAUCCGAUUAAAAUUAAUCUAUUUAAAUUUUUUUUUAAUUUUAUAAGUUAAAAUAAAAAUCACUAUUCUUUUUUUUAAUGUUAUUUCACUAAUUUAUGAUAGUGAUUACCAACUGUCAUUACAAUAUGUAUACUUAUUAUCACAUAUGAUUUGCAUUAGAAAUCAAAAUAUUUUUCAUUUCAUCUCUCCAAACUGGAGCUGUUAAAAUGUCACAAUCGGCGACCAACCCAACCCGACCCAUCAGAAGUUCAGGCUGGAUUGAAUUUGAAAAAAUUAUAUUAUUUUAUGUGGGUCAGAUUUUAAUCCAGAUCAUCAAACCUGGCUCAUCCAGAUUGUGGUGGGUUAGGUUGGCUCACAAACUUACCUACCUAAUUUUAUUUUGUUAAAAUUUAAUUUUAAUUUUAUAAAAAAAUAUUUAUUUUUUUUGCUUGAAAAAAUUAUUGAAGUUUUCUAUUUUCAAAAUUAAUUAAAUACCUAUGUUAGGAGUGCAAUUUGUUUAAAUUUGAAUUAUAGAAAGUUUGUAAAUUUUUUUAUUAAAAAAAUUAUAAUUAAGUGAACAUAUGAUGAGUCCGGCCGUAUUCAAAUUUUCUUAUUUACUAAUAAAUAAAACGAAUUAAAUUGACUAACUAAGUGAUUAACGUCUCAUGGAACAGGUGAGAUAGUUCGUUUUCAUUGCACAGCAAACACAUCCUAAUAAAAUAGGCAUAAAAAGAGUAAAGGAAGAUUUGAAGUUUUACGAACUUACCUUAACAAAAUGUUCCACUUCCCUUGUUGCUGUUAUUUCAGUCUUCCUCAAAUCUUUUCUGCUUUAAUGCUUCCCAUUCUUCACAGGCCAUGUUUUGUCUGAAACAGAAGGUAUAUAUAUGUAUACACACAUGCAUAUAUAUAUAUAUAUAUAUAUAUAUAUAUAUAUAUAUAUAUAUUAACAUUAUCUGAUAUGCAUUAUUGAAAUAUUUGAGGUUGUGGUGUGCAUGUUUUCAUGUUUGGGUCAACGGAUCCUCUUGCAAGCUGUCAAAUGGUAUUCGUCUUCACAUUUUUUGUUUAUUCAGUAUUUUGCUCAUGACAUAAGAACUAUUCAUUAAAAUAAUCAGGAAGUAAUUCUGAAAAGACUAAAUUACAAUAGUGAUGAAAAUGUAAUAUUUAAAAAUGACUGUAAUAUUUAAAAAUGAAUUAGUGAUUUAAAAAAAAAUAAUAUAGGGACUUCGAUCGAUUCUGAUUUCAGAAUAGAAUACAUUAUGAGUUUUUAAAAAAGCAUUAUAACAUUCAAAAUAAAUUUGCAAUUGAUAAAUAUUUCUAUCAUAUAUUAUUAUAUCUUAAUAAAUAUAAAUAUGUAUUUCUAAUAUUUAAUUGAUGUUUUAAAAUAUUUAAAGAAACAAAUAAUUAAAAUUUAAAUAAAUUUGUAAUAGAUAACAAUAUAAUUUAUAAUAUCUUAUCAUCAUAAAUAUGUUUUUUUAUAUUUGAUUGAUAGAUUUGAAGAUUAUUUUAGAUUAUGCAAUGCAUAAUUUUAUUAUGCAUAUAAAUAUUUUCAUAUUUUUUUAAGGUUUAAAAGGUAAAAAGAAUAUGAAGCCAAAUAACAAUGAAUUCCAAAAUUUUGAAGGAUCGUCAAAUAAUUGUUUUUCGUCUUAAGAAUAUUUGAUUCAUGAGAAUGAUCAUAAAGCAUCUUACUCACCACUUCUUACAAAUUAUAGAAACUAUACUUAUAUCAUAGUGAAUAGCGGCUUGAAAAAAAAAAAACUCACAAAGCUGUGAAUGUUAAUUUAAAUAGACUUUUUUCAAUAAAAAAUAGAAGUUGAAAAAUAUUUCUUACCAAUAUUAAAAGAUGACAAUGACAUAGAAGAAGAAGAAGUAGAUGUUUGUGCCUAUGAUGAUUAUGAGAAUAUUUAUUCUCUGACUUUCAAGAAGUGAACAAACAAAUACUAUAGAUUGAAUGGUAAAUGAAAAAUUGUCUUCAAAAAUCAUAAAUUUGCAAAGCAAUGAUAUCAUUACAAAGUGAAUGUUUCAUUGUUCAGAACAUACAAAGUUCUGUCUUGUACUCAAAUUUAAAAAUAUUGAAAGAUAACCAUAGUUGACUCAAUAAAAUAUUUUAGAAUUAUAUUAGUGUUUUAUUUUCUAACAAUAAUACAAUCUAGAUGAGUUGUUCAAUAAUAUUUCUUAAAAUUUAUAUAUUAAAAAUUAUAUAUUUGUUUUUCAUAAUAGUUUAUAUCAAAUUGUUUGAUAUCACCUAAUAAUUUAAUAAGUUAUAUAUAUAUAUAUAUAUAUAUAUAUAUAUAUAUAUAUAUAAUAGAAUAGGUUGUGAUUAUUAUUUCAGUAUAAAUUUUUAUAAUUCAUUUAUAAUAUGGAUUUUUUUUUCAUUUGGAAAGGCUAUGAAUAUUAAUUAAUUACUUGAAGAAGAUUUUUAUGCAUUUUAAAAAUAGGGUUUCAAUAUUUUAUGAUUUUAAAAGUGAAUGAAACAUUUAUGGAAUGUUUUAAAAGAAAAAAUGCAAUUUCGAAUAUAUUAUGGUGUUUCCAAAAGCCAACUACAAUCCCAAUCAAAAAAAUGGUAGUUGCUACUAGAUGACGAAAUGGAUUUUGAAAUUUAUUAACAUUCUCCAAAAAAAGAUACUGUUAAUAAUCAUGUUAAUAAUCACCUAGGUACCGAAACCAUUAAAAAAAUGCCCUGAUAAUUAUAAAUUAGUAUAGGCUACAUUCUUUGCAUAAGACUUGAUCCAAACUCAUAAAAUAUUGAAAAUUAGAUAAAUGAAAUUUUCUAUAAAGUCUAAUUAUACUUAAUAAAGAAAUCAUAGUUAUCCUUCGAUCAGCAUUUUAAACCAUUUAUUAAAGAUUUAAAUUUAUUGUAAAUGUUUGAAAAAUCAAAUGUGUCAAAUGUACUGUACAAUCCGAAUAAACUUAUCAAAAUAUAAAGAAUGUUUGUAUUUCUAAUGUCAACGUUUAUUCUAAGUUCUAAAGUUCUUGAAAACGACAUUGAUAGGUGUAUUUACAAUAUAUGAUUGAUGGAUUAAAACAAUUGUGGGAAAAUGGUGUACAUAAAUUUGAUACUUCAAUAAAAGAAUAAUUUCAAUUAUACAUGCAUUAAUUUUUUAAACUAUUAAUGAUUUUCUUAUAUAUGAAAAUCUAUCGGUUUUCGAAAACCGAUUAAAAAAUAAAAAGAAUGCAAUGAAUAAAAAGAAAUAAAAAAAAAAAUUGAAGAUUAUAUUUAUAAUUUUGAAGGUGGAUACAAAAUAAAUCACCCUUUAGUAUCAAUGGUUGUCAUAUUAUAUAUUUAGCAUUUAUGAUUAUACUUUUGAACAACUUAUGAUGACGGUGUUCUUGGUCAACCAUCAUUAUGAGACUGUAAAUUUUUAAAUUUUAUUUUUCUUAAUUCAAUUUAUAAUGACGAUUUUUAAAAACCAUCAUGAUUUGAAAAUAUAACGAUGAUUUAGAUCAUAUUCGUUGUUUUUAUAAGACUUUUAAAAAUAAUAAAUCAGCACUUCAUAAACCAUAAAAUUAUGGUUUUAAUCGUCAUAAAAAAAAUCUUUUUUGCGAUAGUGGUGAUAAACAUAAUUUUCCAUUCCUAGUGUUUUUUAAAAUAGAAAAUUUGUUUUCUACCAAACCAUUCAUUAUAGUUAUUUUUUUUAUAUAAAAACAAAUUUAUGAAAUUUAAGAGUUUCCUCUAACUUGAUAGAUAUUUUCCUUUCAAAAAAGAAAAUGAAUAAAAAAAAGUUAAAGAACAUUUAUAAGAUUACUUAGUAAUAAACAUUGGAAGGAUAAAUGCAACUUUUUAAAUAUAAUUUAAACACAUGAAAACUGCUACGAUGAUUUUCGUUACGUAUGACAAAUUUUAAAAUAUAUUUAUAAAUAAAAACAAAUCUAAUACUGCAAAUUCCAUCAAAGAUAGCUGAUCUCUUAAAUUUUUAGAGAUGAAAUAUAAUAAGCGCAAACAAAAUUAAAAUUGCAAAUACAUUUUAAGUAAAUUUCUUUUCCACCCACUGAGAUUAAAAGUACAUUUUUAAAUAAGUGAAAACCACAUUAAUUCAAUACAGAUAUAAUCAUUUUUAAAUAUAACUUAAUUUUACAAGUAAUUUUGAAUCAUCAAACUUUACUUUUAAUUAUAAAAUUUAUAUAUUUUCUGAUUAAAUAUAUUUUUUAUCCUUAAACUAAUAUUCUGAAGUAAUACAUAGUUUAUUUUAUGGAACUUCGUUAUUCGAAAGAGGUUUUAUACUAUUUAAGAUGAGAUUAAAUAUUUUAUAGUAUGAUUUAAAGAUAAAAUACAUUUUUUUUUAUAAUAAUCUAUAAACAAAAAAUAUAUUUAACUUUUUAAUCAAUAUAAAAUCUUCAAUAAAGCAAAUUAAAAUAGAAUUUUUCUUAACAUGGUAUUAAGAUAAUUCAUUGUAUAUCCAAAAUAAAACCAUAAAUAACAAAAAAAAAUAUAAGAUGAAUCACUUUAGAUAAUAAGUAUCCAAAUUGAAAUUAUAAAUCAAAACAUAGUAAAAAAAAUUAAAAAAAUAAAAAAUACUUACACAAUAAACUUUAGCUAUCCAUAUGAUAUACAUAACGAGCAAUGCCUUGUGCCAUUAAAUAACAGGAAAUAACCCAUUUUUUGAGUGCCUUCCAACAUUUGAAUGCAAAUUUAAGAGCCAAAGUUGAUCUCAUCUUCAUUGUCAUCACUCUCAAGAAAACGAAGAAAGUGAGAUAGAAAAAUGAAGAAAGUGAGAGAGAAAAAUUAGAGGAUUGUGUUUAAUUAGUGUUUGCAUUUACUUAUAUACUACUAUUUACUAUCAUUUUAUCUUUUUUUAAUACUAUUAAUCAUGGUUGUUUUUAUUUUCAAUAUGCAUAAUCUCAUAAUCUUUUAUUCAAUGCAAUAUCUUUAUUCUCCAAAAUUAAAAAAAAAUUAUUAAGUUUCUUUAGUUUUAAAUAAACGAAUACUUAUAUUGAUCCUAUUUCAUUAAAAAAUAUAAACAACAAUUAAAUAAAUUGUUGGCUUUAAAUUUUGUCAACGAAAACAAUAUAGAUAGAUCUUUUGAGAAAAAAUUAUUCUUAUAUUUCAAACUUGAAUUUUCAUUUUGGAGUAUAAUGUAUAACAAAUACGGUUUUUAAUCAGUUUGAUUUAUAUUUUAAAUAUCGAUAUAUUCUAUCAACUUUUUCAAAGAAAUUGAAUUUUUAAAUUAUUUUUAUGGAAUAUAAAAUCAUACACCAUAUUUCACACUACCAUAAUCAAUAAUAACAAAUUAUAUAUAUAUAUAUAUAUAUAUAUAUAUAUAUAUAUAUAUAUAUAUAUAUAUAUAUAUAUAUAAAAUAUUGUAUUAAGAUAUAAUAACUGAUAUAUUAGAUUUUAUUUCAACAAUUAUAUAACUGGUUUGUUAGAAACAAUAGUUACUUUAUUUGAUAUAACCAUAUGAAAUUAGUUUGAAGGUGGUAGGAAAUAUUUUUAAUUUGAAUUUGAACUUAAUUAUUUUUCAUAUUUUAAAUUCCGAUUCACUAUAUUAGUCAAAAGAUACAUCCUAAUUCUAGUAAUUGAUUUUUUAAAAUUUUAGGGUGGGAAAAGAUAAUCAUAUAGAAAUAUAAGGUCUUAACGACUGAUAUGAUUUUAACAUUAUAAAUAUUUAUUUUAGAUUGUAGAAAAUUUUAAACACUUAUUCUAUCCUAAUAACUUUUUGAAAAUGAUUGAAUUGUUAAAUCUCGAAAUACUAUCAACUUGACGCAACUAUGAUGAAAACUAUUUAAUAAGUCAUGUCAGGUAAAAUUAACCACUACAAACAUUCGGUAUUAAAAUCUUCAAGCAAUUCUUAUGUCUUACCUGUGAAAAAGCACACUUUAUGUGUUUCUGAACAACUAAAAAAAUAAGGAUAAUGAUAUUUAGGCAACAUUUUUUUAUAACAUUUAAAUAUAGAUUAUAUGUCAAUCUGUGAUUGGACAAAAAUUACUUCAUAAUAAUGUUUAUGAUUAUUAUUAUUAUUGAUUCUUGAGUAAUUUUUUGACCAAUCACAAAUUGACACGUAAUCAAUGUUCAAAUAUUGUCAAAAAAAUAUUGUCUAAAUAUCAUUAUGAAAAAAGAUAUUGAUCUUGUGUCCAUCUUAAAACACUCUUUUUUAGUUGACAUUGUGAGCUAUAAAUCAUAAACUACUUUCUAAAGUCUUACUUAAAAAUACUCACCGAUGAUAUAAAAAAGAAGCUAUGAUGAUUAUGGGAAUGGACAAAGAAAUACUAUAAGUUGAAUGGUGAAUAAAAAAUUGUCUUCCAAAAUCAUAAAUUGCAAAAAUGUUUCGUCGUUCAAAACAUACAAAAUUAUGUUUCCUACUCGAAUUUAAAAAGAUUGAAAAAUAAUAACAGUUGACUCAAUAAAAUAUUUUAAAAUUAUAUUAAUGUUUUAUUUUUUUAAUAAUUGUACAAUAUAGAUUAGUUGUUACUCAAUAUUUCUUAUUUUCGAUGUUGUAAAAAUUAUAUAUUUGUUUUUCAUAAUAGUUUAUAUCAAAUUGUUUGAUAUCACCCAUAAUUUAAUAAGUUAUAUAAAUUUUAGUUUUAUAUAUAUAUAUAUAUAUAUAUAUAUAUAUAUAUAUAUAUAUAUAUAAUUUUUUAUAAUUUAUUUAUAUUAUGGAUUUUUUUUUCAUUUGGAAAGGCUAUGAAUAUUAAUUAAUUACUAGAAGAAGAUUUUUAUGCAUUUUAAAAAUAGGGUUUCAAUAUUUUAUGAUUAUAAUGGUGGAUGAAACAUUUGUGGAAUGUUUUAAAAGAAAAUUUGGAAUUUCGAUGCAUGUAAUUUUAGAAUACACUAUGGUGUCUAACUUGCUCUUAUAAUAAUUAUAAAUUAGUAUAAUUUACAUUCUUUGGACAAGACUGGAUACAAACUCAUAAAAUAUUAAAAAUUAGAUAAAUAAAAUUUUCUAUAAAUCUAAUUAUACUUAAUAAAGAAAUCAUAAUUAUCUUUGGAUAAACAUUUUAAGCCAUUUAUUAAAAAUUUAAAUUUAUUGUAAAUGUUUGAAAAAUCAAAUGGGUUAAAUGUAAUGUCCAAUCCGAAUUAACUUAUUAAGAUAUAAGGAACGAUUUGUAUUUCUAAUUUCAGAAGUUUAUGGUAAGUUUUAAGGAUCUUGAAAAUAGGUGCAUUUACAAUAUAGGAUUGAUGAAUUAAAAGAUUUGUUAGAAAAUGAUGUAGAUAAUUUGAUAUUUCAUAAAAGAAUAAUUUCAAUUAUACAUGCAUUAAUUUUUUAAACUAUUAAUGAUUUUCUUAUAUAAGAAAAUUUUCUAUGAGAAGUCGUCCAUUUUUGCCACUUGGUCAUUCUUGAAGAAAUAAUUCCAAAGCUUCCAAUGGUAUAAAAGAAAUAAUAUAUUUGACAACCUUUCUUUCACAACAUUUUAACAUUAUUUAAACAAAUAAUUGGAGAGAUAUAGUUCAACAAUUUGAUUAGGUUAAUACUAAACAAGAGAGUUAAUUGGUUUUAAACAAAAAUAAUUUUUCAAUAUUUCAAAAAUAGAUUAUAAAGAUUUUUUUGAAUCUUGUCUUGUUUAGAAUCUCAUUUUCAAAAGACACUAAAAUAAAAGUUACAAAUAAUUUUUAUCUAAAGAAAAUAUAAAAAAAUAAUUGUUAAUUUGUAAUGAAUAUCCGUCAUUCCAUUAAAAAAAAUAAUUAAAACUGAGAAAAUAAAAGUUACCACGGAACAAGAAAUCCUCUUGCCAAACCGGAGGCAUGCAAAACUGAGAAAAAUAAUAGAUAGAUCAUGCAAAUUAGAGCUUAUAUAUUAAAAAAGUAAUGAGAUAUGAUGAUGUAAAGAAGAAAAUUUGUGUACCAACAUCUCUUGGAAGAAAGAAAACUUAAUAAAAAUAUUAAAACAAAAUAAACAAACGUUUUUAUUUAAUUAUUCUUUUGAUAUUCUUUUUUAUUUGUUUAAAAAAAAAUUAAAACAUUAUGAACACACGAUAUAAAAUUAAAAAAGGAACAGAAGAAAAAAAGGAAAAUUGGUAGACCAGACCAUCUAUGACCCAAGAAGUUAAGCAGGAGAAAUCAGGACAAACUAAAUUCCACCCACUCACCCUCUUUCCCACCCUUAAGGAAUAUUAUAUGAAAUAACUUAUUACCAUUCUAAUUUUAUUUUAUUUAUUAAACUUUCUUCAGAAAAUUAAAAAAAAAAUUCCCUUUAAUAUUGCAAUUGAAAAAUAAAAUUAAUAAAAAAAGAUCCCCUCUAAUAUUGCAGUUGAAAAAUGUCAUCAAUGUUAUAUUGUACCCAAAACAAUCUUCCUCCGGGUGAGAUUAGAUGUCCAUUAAAACAUAAUUUUGACUCAUCCUUUUCUUAUUCUGUAGGGUUCAGGCAUCAAGAACACUUGGCCAAAUAUGCUUUCCACCCUUCAAGUCGGUAUUCACGAGCUGCCUCAGCAGGAUUUGCUGCUUUGAUUAUGCCACGUCCCACAAUGAUUAUGUCACUGCCCCUAUCAUGAACCACCUGAAAAAGAAAGUGAAAAAGGAAAACUAGAAUCAACUUUUUCAUAACCUAAAAUUGGUGUAGAAGUUAUUUCAUAUUUUUCUAUAUUCUGAUUCAGUUUUUUUCUAUUUCACUUGUAGAAAUUCAAACAAGUGAGCUUCUCUUUUUAAUGCUCCUUUUCCUUUUACCUCCAAUUUUUUUGUUUUCAAUCCAAGAAAGAACAACAAAUAAUGGGGGCAAAAUACUUCUGCAAAUCAUUGUCAAAAACAGUAACUUACAGAGUAUGGAGUGUUGUAUUGCUGGCCUAAAGCAUCACCACCAGUUACCAUUUGAACUCCAGGGGUUGCCUGAAUGAAAGAGGGAUUUAUAGGUGCUCCUGGCCAUGAUGCAGGAUUGACUGAGAUGAAGCCAAUUACAAAAUCAGAAUGAUCCUCAGCAAUUUUUACUGCAGCUGCAGUAUAAUCUCCCUUGGCAAAGUUACCUGCUGAACUCAUUUCAGCAAGCAGUAACAGACCCCUGCCACGAGGUAAACCCUGAGUAUAGUUCAAGAAACUAGUUAGGCCAUGAGUUGAGGUGUUGCUAUGGUGUAAAAUAAUUAUAUUUACUACUGGUGCAGACCUUCAAUUUUAAUCCAUCAACAAUUCCAGGACCUGAGAUUAUGUGAGCAUUCACUAUAUGAGCCCAAUCCAAUAUUUGAAAGAUACCUCUGAGACAGUGGAAUAGAAAUAUAAGUCAUGUUGAAUGCAGAAAUGGAUGAGAGGAAUGCCAAAAAGGAUUCCAUGAAAAUUGAGCAGGCUUACCCUGCAUACUGCAUGGUCACUGUGUUACCAAUAUCAGCAAAUUUACGAUCCUCAAAGAUCAAGAAGUUAUGCUUUUCUGCAAUCUUCAAUAGAAUAAACCAUAUAUUAAACUCAAGUAGACCAGAAAUUUAAAAGAUUGCUUGAAACAUAUCACAGACAAUGCUCAAAAUACAUAACAUAAGGCCCUUAUUAUCAUAGGUUAAAAGCAGGAAUCACCAUCCUGUUUGAAUAAAUCCAAGCAAAUAGUCUAGGUGUGAUUAUGUCAAUGAUAUCAGGAACCAAAAGGUUUCUUGAGCUAUCCGGAAAAGAGAAGAAUAUGAAAAAAAAAAAAAAAACUUCUUUUAGCACUAUACCGAGAGAAGCUUUGAGCCAAAUUCAGGAGUAAAAUCUGGAAAAAUAUCCACAUGAGUCUUCAGCAGGCAAAUCUCAGGUCCAACCUGAGAAAGAAAACCAACCAAAUAGUUAAAAGAAAAUAUAUGAUUACUGUCAAUCUUCUUCUAAUCAGAAUCCAAUUGAUGUUAAUAAGUCAGAAAACACCGAAUUCUUUAAAGUACAAAAGCAAGAAAGAAUUCUGCAAGCUGAUGAUCCGAGUGAGAAAAAUAGUAGUGUCCAAGAAAGCAACAUCAGAACUACCUUCUCAGCAAUUUCAAGCAAUUCAGCUGCAGUUCCAACAUCGGCAGCUAGACAUAAAUUACUGGUCUUCGCAGCCAUGAUCUCAAACAACCUCUUUCCCAUUGGAUUCUUUGAGAGCCUAGCCCUCUCCUCAAAUGGCAAAGCCUUGACCUUUGUUGCAGGCUUCUCCACCUUUGCCACAGCCGCAACCUUCCGAUUCUCCUCUAAGAACUUUGUAACAACCCCUACCAUCUCCUCAUCAAGUUUCCCAUGAUCACCCAAAAUUUUCACCAUAUCCGUCAAUUUAAUAAUUGCAUGCAGCUUGAUGCCAUUCUCCUCCAAAUUUUCUCUCCCUCCUUGCUCUCUAUCAAUCAAGACAACAGCAUCACUGAUCUUCAACCCAGAAGCACGUAGUGGUGCCGCUGUUUCCAAAACCGAUGUGCCGCUUGUAACCAAAUCCUCAACGAUCAAGCAACUUUGGCCAGCCUUGAAAUCACCUUCAAUAGCUUUAGCAGUGCCAUAAUCUUUGAUUUCCUUGCGGCGCAUGACCAUGGGAAUGUUUUGGGCAAGGGAGACACAUGUAGCAAUUGGUAAGGCAGUGUAAGGGACACCACAUACAAGAUCAUAGGAAGUGGAAGAGACAGAGGAAAUAAGGGUUUCAGAGAUUUUCUGGAGGAGAGAAGGGUAAGAUAUGAUGAGGCGUAGGUCUAUGUAGAUUGGUGAGAAGAUGCCAGAUUUGAGCUUGAAGUUGCCAAAUUUGACAGCUGAAAUCUCAUGGAGUUGAAGAACUAGAGACUCUACCAAUGAUGAUGCUGACAUUUCCUUCCUUUUUUUCAAUGUGUCUCAGAAAGAGGAUUUAUGAUCUUAGAGAUAACCUGUCUCACCCAGUAUGCAUAAUAAAACUGCUAAAUCAAAAAGUUCGAACAAUUGGUGUGCAGAAGUAAAAAUUGCAUAGAUAUUUUUGUUCUACAUUUAUAAGCAACAGAAUGGAAUCCAAAACAUAGACUCAUAGUUACAACAUUCUCACCUUACCUCUUAGAUCAAAUCAUAGACUGACCAAUUCGUACAACUUAAUCACUAUCAUAAUAAUGAAUAAUGCGCAAUGGCUAGAAGAAAAUGAAAACUGGGUUCAGUAGCAGGUCACACAGACAUAGAUCAAUCCGACAACCUCAACACAAAUUCUUAAAAAAGGAGCCAAACCACAAUCCGACCAAAAUAAUUAUAAGACUUCUAAGCAUAUUUGUGGAAUGCAUUUCAAAAACAUGGUUUUGGCCAAAACUUAUUAGAUCUUAGAAACCAAAAAAAAAAAUGCAAUCUACCUUCGAAACAUAUUAACAGGUAUGAAACCUGGGAGAAAUCGAUGACUGAACAGACCGAGGAGAAUGGCUUUCCUUUUCUUAAAAAAAAAAAAUCAAACAUCAUCGGUGCUUAAUCAAAAUGAAAAGGAAAAAAAAAACACACAAAGCACAGUUUUAAACCAAAACUCAGAAAAAAAAAUGCAACAACCCAUAUAAAGCUGCAACAAUUUCAAUAACAUUUUAAACACACAAAAUAAUUAAAAGAAGAAAAAAAACUGUGCAGAAAUAAUACAUGGCAUGCAAAGUUCAUUUUCAUAAUCUUCACUUUAGUUCGUCAUUGAACUAAAAGAACACACACACCUGAGAGAAAGAGAGAGCUGUUAUGGAUAGAGAUAGAUAGACGGCGCUGCUUAAGUGGCUGCGUACAAUCUAUGCAAUGCUCUUUAUUCGUUAAGAAAUGCCAUGUCUGGAACUGCGUCUUUAUAUAUUUAUUAUAUAUCAUCUAACCCUUCUAUUUUCAUUUAUUGCCACUUGGUCCUCACUAAUAAUAAUUACCAACUCGGUCCGUUAAAAUCUGUUCAGAGGGAUCUCUUCCUUUCGCAGGCAAUCGAAGCGCCUCCUCUGCUAGCGGCGACCUCCGAGCACGCCGGCGACGACGCAUCCUUGUGACUGCCACUUGUCAAUAUAUGAUUGGAGCUAAUUUUGAAGGGUGUAUGAAAUGUGAGUGAUUUUGAGUGGGGUGUAAAAAGAAAUGGAAGAGAGUGUAAUCAAAAUCAUUGGGUUUAUAACUUAUUUUUGAAAGAGAUCUAUAAAAAACAAAAAUAUAUGAGUGAUGAAAGGAAACAUAUUGGACCACAAACAUUGGAAAAGGAUGAAAAAAAAGGUAAAAGAAAAACCAAGUGAUUUCAACAUUAUUAUAUAUUUUUUGUAAAAUGGGCUUUCUAACUAGAAAUAAAACAUACUGAUUUAUUUUUUAUUAAAUGAUUUUAAUAAAUUUUCUUUUUAUAGUUUUCUUUUCCUUUUCUAUUAUUAUUUUCUUUAUUCUUUCUUUUUAAAUUUUUCCCUUUCUCUUUUCCUAUUUCUUGUUUUUUUUAUUAUUUUACUUUAAAUUUUGAAUUCUCGAAUUUCUUGAUUUUGUAAAUUUUUCAGUUUCCUAACUUUCUAAAAAACAUUUGUUCAUUAUUUUCCUUUUUAUAUAUAUUAUUAUUAUUUAUAAGAAAAACUACUUAAAUAAUUAUAUUUAAAAAAAUUAUUUGUUCAGACGAAAUUAGGUGUUGAAAAUAAUGAUAAUUACUUUCAAUGCAAUUGUCACUAAAAUUUCUUGUCAUUUUCCUAAUUGAUCACACUAUUGCAUGGUUUUUCUUAUUGCACAAGAAAACCCUCCAUGCAUAUGAAACAUAUAGUUGAUUAGUAAGAACACCAAUUUAUGUAAACUUAUCAAUAAUGAAUAACGAUAUAUGUGUGUGUAUAAACAUAUCUAAUACAAAAAAAUUAUUAAGAGGGAAAUUCAUUAAAUAUCUUAAGGAUAAAAAAAAAUUAUUAGAAGUUAAUAAUGUUUUAAAUAAUAUUGCUUCUAGUAUCGUCUCAAAACACAUUACAAGCUAAUGAAAAAGUUUGCUUAUCGAACACUCUUAUUAAGAUCAAACAAGUUUUUCAUUUAGGAAAAAACUAAAAGCUAGCUCAAAAUCCUUCUCAAACAAAAAUUACAUGGUUGUCAAAACAUAAGUAAACAAUUGCAUAAACAAGCUUCAAUGUGGUCAUUCUAUUGUAAAACAUAAAUUUCAUUUUUUUUUUAUUUCUAAUUAAAAACAACUUUUUGUAUACAUAAGAAACACAGUUUUAUGAUUUGUUUCUCUAUUUCCUCUUUAUCUUUAGGAUAAAUUACCAUAUUUCUUAAUCCUAUGAUUUGUUUCCUAACUAAUCAGAAUUAUGGUAAGUAUAAAUAAGAAUCAAUCCUAUAAGAAUUAUGAAUAUAUCAAUACAUUAUAAUAAAUCUCAGUUACUAUAUCAACUCAGAUUUUAACAUUAACCAAUUUAUGAUGACUUCUGACAAUACGGACUUAAAAUGUUAAGAUACAUCAUGCUUGCAGCCAAUAAGAACCAAAGGAAUGGAAAGUUGAUAAACAACAUUUCUUGUUUAUUCAAGAAGGUUCGAUAUGGGAACAUGAUCUUCCCAACAAAGCUAAUGGGUGACCAAACAUUUUCUGGAAAAUUCCUAGGCUCAGCCUUCCACUCAAAUACUGUACAAUGCUCAAUUGCUUGAAGAGCAGUAAUGAAGCCUUUGCUUCUCUUCAUGCUUAGACUGGCCACAUAGCUGCAUAAUUAUUUUAACAGAUAUUCAAGCUCAUGAAGGUUUCAGAAUACCUAUUUGACCAGGAAGUUCCACACAAUGGAGUGGCACUUUUCAGUUCUCCUGGCUUUUGCUCGUGUCUAUUAUCUUCUCCAUCUGUAAAUUAAGCAGUUCAUGCACUCUCUGCUUCAACUACACAACAUAAGCAACACAACGCUUAUUGAUCAAUAAGCUCAUUCUCUGUUACCUAUAAAUAGGGAACUCUUAACUGACAGUAACUGCCUUUACCAGAAUCCAUAGUGCAGUUAGAUUUUAGUUAAAUAAUUUCAUUGAAAUCCAUCAACACACAUUAUUUCAUAUAUAUAUAAUGUGAUUGAGCAUAUUUCAAACCCAGGCGAGGGAAAUGGCUUUACAUCAUGCCAAAGAGAUUAGCAGUUGCCUCAAAAGGAUGCAUUAUGAACUAAAAAAUGGGAUGGAGCACAAAGAAUCCCACUAUGGCUAUCAUUAGAAGUUUUCUGUUCAUAAAAGAGUGAUUUAUUAGGGGAAAAAGUGGUUAUGAUUUACUAGGCUGAGAUUCUGCAAGACUUUCAGCACAUCUAGAAUAAUAUCAUAAGUUUUUAUUGUUUCACAAGUAAAGAAUUCCAUAAACUAGCUUCAAUGUGGUCAUUGUUUAGCUAAUUCUAUGGCGUUAUUCUAACAUACACGCAUCAUAUAAGAGAUUCUAGUCAAAAUGUUAAAAUGAGAACAGAUUCUCGUCACCUCAAGUAGCCCUUCUUGUGUUUUCACAGAUACAUUAAUAGCUCCAUCAGGACCUGAUUUCCGGUAGUUCUCAAGCUCAGAUUGUAAGGGAUGCGGCUCAUCUGUUGCAUAGACCACAGGAGAAGUCUUCAACAGAUCACAUUUUGACACGACAUCAAGCCAUAAAUGUCCAGUGAACCUUUCUCUGAGUUCUUUGUAUAUUGAAAACUGCAUAACCAACCGUCAUCAAUUGAAUGUAAUAAACAAAAGUUAUAACCAAAAAGCUUGUCUUUCUUUGUGUAAAAAUUUUCAGAUUAAUUAUACAAAUAAAUUCCCAUUUGCCAAAAAUUACCCAAUGGGACGGCAAGGUUUUUCCACUAAACUGAAGUACACAAUUACACAUAAACAACCAUAAGCCAGCAAUGUGUCACACAAUUUGAGAAUAAUAACAUUGUGUUGGGACCAACCUUUUGAACUGUUUAAUUUUCUACCCUAAUCUAGAGUAAGCAAAGUGCUACACAAGCAAGAAUUGAAGGAAGUAGCGCUUAAUACACAAGGAACAGACCAAGAACAGAUGUCCAUCAACCCCAUACAGUGGCCUCUUUUAGCUUAUAAUGGCUAGUUUUUUCAUUUCCCAACUACCUCAAAUGGCUAUCUUUUUGUCUAUACUGCAUGUAAAACCGUCCAAGAAAACAAACACAUGUUGAGCUGUGAAAAAUAAAAUUGCACCAAUAGUUACCUGGGUAGAAGUAGCUGAACUGAAAUAAAUCUCCAGCUCCCAUUCUAUACCCCUAUCUUAUCCCUUUUCCAGUAUAUACUUCACAUUGCAAUCUUAAAUACUGUCAGCAUGGAUGUGUUGGUACUCUUCAUCAUUUAUCGAGUCCUUUAAGUUUAAAGACAUUAAAUAGCUUUAACAAAAUUCUUCAAAGAUAAGAAUUGUAAAUUUUUUUUCCUCUCUUGAAUUUGGAACCACUUUUAACUAGUAUGACAGGCUAAACAUUUUCCCGUAAAGAUCUUAAUAGGUUGGUGACAUUUUGCUGCCACUCCAAUUUGAAUGGAUUGUUGUAGCGAUCAAUUAGUUUUAUAUGAUUGAACCGAGAGCAAUAGAAUCUCAUGUGAUGCAUCCACGUUAAGGUUAAUGAACCCAUUUUUUGUAAUGCACAAGAAUCCAAUAACUUAGACCGUAGGUCAUUAACAAGGGAACUUUCUCCAAGAAGGCAUAGCACUUAAUUUUUCCCCUUUACAGUAAUAUGCAUAAAUCAAAAAAGGAUAGAAGCAGAUGACCAUAAAAAGCAGCACAGAAUAUCAAGCAUCCUCACUUGAGUCCAUCCCAAUUGCUUCAUCAUCUCUAAUUUCGUUAUUGUUUUAUUUCUGACUGCUAUCAGAUAUACCUUUCAUAGCUUUCCAUGGAAGUAAUUACAUAAUAAAUAACCAAAAAUUGAUAGCCCCACAAUACAUUAGAAUGAAGAAUCACUGAAAUUGAACACAAACACAAGUCUUUCAUUGGCAACUAAAUAUUAUGGAGCCAUAAGUCCAACUUAAGCCUAUGUAGACUAGAUAACUACAUAAUUCAACCCUUGAAUGAAAAUUGUCUUUUUUGCAUUUUAAGUUUGAACGCAAUGAACCAGAUAACUAUCUAUAUAGCCACUUGAAGAAGAUUUAUAUUUCACACCUAUUUUUAGUUUUAACAAUUCAGUUGCCAAAGAAGCACACCUGAUCGGAAGGUGAGGUCCCACACUCCCCCGAAAGGUCAUGGACAUACAAAACUGCUGUUGGCAGGUGUGAAAGGACAGCCAGAGUCAACUUUUCCAAAUUAUUCCUGUCCUCUAAAUAUCCAAACAAGAGAAACAAAUUAAAAGGUGGGAACGAUUGUGCUUAACUAAAUAAAAGGGAAAACAAAAUCAACAGUAAAAUUCAUUCAUAAUCACAAACGGUGAUUUAUUGGAGCUAACUUAGAGGAUACAGGAGGUCUAAGAUCCUCCAACAACCCGUAGUAUUAUAAUAUAUACCAUACCCCUCCUCUUAGGAAAACUGAUCCUAAAACCAAUGGACUAAAAAAAUUCCCCAAGAAAAACUUUGGAAAUAUAACAUUCACCAAAUAAGAAAAAUCAGUACCACUAGAAAACUGAUAAAAACAAAUGAAAUGUUGAUUACCAUCAUUCCUUCUCAGCAGGCCCGGAGUAUCUGUAACCUACAGACGUGCAAGGUAUAAAAUUACAAUUGCAUGAUAUGGAGUUCACAAUGAGAAAAGAAUUCUAAAAACAAAAUAAAAAUUCACAAAUUUGCUAACCUGAAAUUUCUUAAUGUUCAAAAUAAUAUGACCCAUAAGAAUUCCUCUUGUUGUGAAGGGAUAGUUACAAACCUGAAAUUUUAGGUAGAAAGCAAAGGAGAAAGGAUGAGAAAUAGUGUGGGUGAUGGAAUCUAUAAAUACUCAGCAACUAAGAAGUUUUGCUUAAGCUUGAAGCAACAUAUGUCAAGAUUUAAUUUAGUAUCAUUCACUGUACAUAUGAUUAGUUAGGGAAAUUAUAUAUACAAAGUGCUACCUCACAGUCUAGUAAAAACCAUUCCUUCGAGAACAAGAGAAAGAAAAAGCACAAGUAUAACAUAAGGCAGUCGAACAUUUCUGGACCACAAACACAUAACCAUUGGGAAUGGUCACAGAUCAACCAAGUAACAACAUAGAAAUAUUUAUCCUUUAGUUACAAUUAUAACCAAGGUGGUUGUAUCCUGAUUGAUACCGCAUGCAUUUUUAAUCUUUUAGGCACACCAAAAAGGAGGAAAUUUAAAGAGAUGUACAUUUAUUGGAAACAUGGAUAGGAUACAUAGUAGGAUAAACAAUUCCAUUCAAGCCCAGAUUUUUAAAGAGGCUAAUACAGUUUUAACAAAGAAUUAUUAUAGCAUUUAGUUGCAUACCUCAGGCUUGCCGGUAGAGAGUACAUGGACCAAAGAAGAUUUGCCUACAUUAGGAGCUCCAACAAGACACAGAGUUGGCAUUUCCAAAUUGAUUACUGGCAUUGCUCUGAGAGUCUGUAACAUUUAUCAUUAUCAGCUGGAUGAUAUAAAUUAUGUCGAUGGAUUAUUAUUUGAGAAAACAAAAUUAAAUUUCACAGGUCACCCAAAUUGUGAAACCUGAUAUGUAUGUUUGUAGAAAACACAGUCAAAACCUAAGUAUGUCAUUUGCUGAAAAUGCAGAAUACCUUAGCUAUGUCUAACAAAUCAUCAACAACUUUUCUUUCUUGAGCAAAAACCUCUUCAAUUUUUUUAAGACCCUGCAUAAAAUCACGGCACAUACUGAAAUCUUCAGAAAAAUUGGGAAGCAGAUGAUUCCUCAAAAGAUUUACACCUCACCUCACUCAACCUUUCCUCUGCUUCUCGCUUUGAUGAAGACUGUUCCAAGAUGAAAUAAAUCAAUUAUGUUAGCAAAGCAAAGGAUAAAAAGAGAAAUCACCAAUUUAAAAGAUAACAUAAAGAGACAUUGGAACAGUCCAUCUGAAAGAAUUCAAUUCAUAAAAGUAACAGGCUGAGGCUGACACGAUGGUACAGAUAGUGACAUAAGCAAACCUCAUACUUUAAGGAUGAAGCAGUGAAGACUGUAAAAAUUAUAUAAAAAUCUCUUUUCCUGAAAGAGUUAAAUAGCAUAAAAUCUUGCCAUUGGGGAAGACAAGAUUUCAUACCUUCAACAAGAACAAAUUAGUAUUGACAUCAAGACCUGGCAUAAAAUAUUCCAAAUUUUGCUACUAAGGCUUCAUGAAUAUCAUAUAAAAUAAUACUUUCAAGCAGCAUGAUGAAAACUACAUAAUUACCCAGCAAAGAAAUAGAUCAAAAUCAAAUGCAAAUUAUUAAAUAAACCUUAGCACAAAGUGAAGCAUGUUCCUUUCCAACAGAUACUACUCUCUUCCUUAAACCAUCUACCUUCUGUAGCACCUGUAAAAAAUAUUCAAAAACAAAUUAGACAAAGUCUAAAAUAACAAUUUAUAUGAAUGCAGCCAUUAUCCAAGAAUAUGUAUCCAUGCGGCCUUGGGAAUGAUAAAUAAUGAUAAAACUAUUAUAUGUCAUGUAAUAACAAAGGGAAUGCACUAGUGAAAGUUAUAGAACAUGUCUAGUACUGCAAGGCUGCUUUACUACAUACCAUUUCAUAGUAUCCAUCUCCAAGAGUAAGCUCAAUCAGAGAUCUUUCAUAAGGAUGAAGAUAUGUUUUGUUAGGAAAACGCUCCACAUAAGUCCUCAAGGGGACAGCAAUUUCCUAACAACAGCUGCGCUAUUAACUUAUGAUACAUUCUUUUUCCUAUAAUAUGGACAGUAGAAACUGGCAUACAAAUUAUAGCUCAAAGCAUGACACAUUCAGAAGUAAAAAAGCAUACUUUCAUCAAUGCAUCAAGUUGCUUUGCACCCUUGUUUUUCUCCCUUUUCGCAAUGUUGGCAAUUCCUAAAGUUUAAGCAAACUAAAAGUCAAUGUCAACCAUAGGGUUUAAGAUGUAAACACAAAUAUCAACCAGGAACCGAAGAACAUAAUGGCAGCCAAGUACCUUUCGUUGAAGAAACCUUCCUCGCCUUUCUCAAUGCAGACCCUAGAAUGUCAAUUGAUGGCCACACUAUGGGCAACUUUUGAAAUGCCCCAAUAGAUUCAGUUUUCCUAAAUGGUUUCUCCUACAAUUAAAAGUUCCUUCAAACAGUAAAACUAGCAAAUCUUUCUUCCAAAUUACCACAAAGACUAUUAAGUGCCAUACACACAUACAUACAUAAAUAUACAUAAUACUUAAGCAAUAUGCUCAUACUACAUAAUCACAUACCAUUGUAUUUAUUUCUGUUGGGUGUUGAACAGUAGGAUGAUAGCUUCCAUUGGAAAUUUCAUAUGAAUUAGUUUGGAUGGCUUUACAUAAGUACAAAACGGGGUGCACUUUUACAUUAGGUGUCCCUGCAUUAUGUACCCAAUAGCAAACAACACUCUUUAAAGUGUAUUAACUCAAACUAACCCAACAAAAUAACAUAUUCAAGUUCAUUGCAGCAAUAGUUAGAGCAUGAAAUGGUUCAAUUAAGAUGAGGGCUGAAACAAAUCCAAACAAAAUUGAAGGAGUGAAGCGUUACUUACGUUUGGUGUUUGUGAGGAGAAAAAAAGAGGAAGGGAAGACGUGGCCUUUGAGGAAAAGAGAAGAAGGGGCUUUCAUGUCUCUGCUUCUUCUCUUGCUGUGGGUUCGAACAGAGGAAGCAACGGCUAAGGUUACAGAGAAGCUAGCGACCACUUUUAUAAAACUCUGAAUGGUGUUUUUGUUCACCGAUGAUAUUGUACUCUGCAUAACAUGAAAUGUUUUUUCUUUUCUUUUAUUUUAAAAUUUGUUUGGUCGAAUUUUAACACGAUUUUUUUUAUUCAAUGCCAAAUGAAGAAAACCAUUUAUCCAGGACAAUGCCCUUAAAUGGAGAUAGUUAAAAUGAUUAGUUAGAGGGUAGUCCAAAAAAUAAAAGGGAUGUAUAUUUCGUAAGUUUUAAUAUGAUUAAUUACGUAAUAAAAAAUAUAAUAUAAAUAAAAUUCCAAAAUUAUUAUUAUUUUAAUCUUUUACACCAUAAAUUGCAAAUGUUUAUUUCUUUUCACAUAUAGUAUACUAUCGUGAGUAUCCUAUUUAGUUUAUAUAUAUACAUACAUAUAUAUAUAUAUAUAUAUAUAUAUUUAUUUAUUUAUUGGAGUUCUUUUUAGUUGAUCAUUUUCGAGUAUUUUUGGUUUAAAUGUUUUUGGACUGAGUUCUUAUGGACUAAUUAUUACAGACUGAAUUUUCUAGGUUGGAUUGACUAAAUAGGUCGUAUUUCUCAAAAUCGAGCUCCUUUAAAUUGAGCUCUUUUAAACCGAAUUUCAAGAUCGAUCACUUUCAAACAGAACUCUUUUGACCAACUCGUCUAAAUUUCUUACUAUGGACCGACUAGUUAUAGAACGAUCAUUAAUAAUAAAAAUGAUUAGUGACCAACCAUUCUAACCAAACAACAUGGUCAACUAGUUAUAACAAUAUCAUAUUAACAAAGAUAAUGACAAACCAACCUCUUAAUUCAGAUUAAGGCAUGAUUUUGUCAUGAUUAGAUCGGCAAAAAGAUAAAAACCCAUAAUAAUUACUAUAUAAUAUAAAGGUCUAAGUUAUAACUUUAAAAUAGCUUGCACAUAAUAUGCAUUAUAGCAUUAAUUGCAACCAAAUGGUCAUUGUUAACUUUAAUAUCGAAAUACAUUUUAUAGAUACCAUUCAAGUAAACUUUAAACGAUGUGGAAAUCGAGUAACAGAACAAAAGCAACUUAGAGAGUGGCUUAACCCGUCGAGUCUACAACACAACUUGUCCGAUCUAAUCAUCCUCUUUUUCUAAAACAUGAUGGUCAUCUUAUUACCACUCUUCUCAUCUAUAUUGAUGAUAUUGUUGUUACGUGUAACAACACUGAGAAAAUUCAAUGCAUCACUGCUCUUUUACAUUGCACCUUUCACAUAAAAUCUUGGCGAUAACUCGGUAGCAUAGCCCAACACAGCCUGAUAACACAACUCGACAGUAUAGCCUAGCAGCACACCGUUUUCCCGUUUUUGUUUUUCCUUCUUCUUAUAUAGAAGUUCACAUAGUAUCAAAUAAAUAUACACAUUAACCUUUUUAGUUCUUUUCAAUAAUAUUUAAGUUUAUACCUUUUUUGUUUUUUUCAAUAAUAUUAAGUUUCUGAUUUCUCUCUUCCCUCUGAUUGUUUCUUUUCCUUUCUAGCAGCCUGGUACCCCAUGACAUUUAGAUAAAAUCAGGAACUUAAGGAUCAAAUGCACGGAAGAGCCUGCAAUAUGAGUAGAAAGCAUGUGCCUUUUGCAGCAUAGAGUGGGAAGAAUGCAGAAGAUUGGAGCAAACUAAGAUUGUACAUCUAUAUUAAAAUAUAUCAUAAUGAGUCUUCUUGUUCAUGUAUUUGAUCUAGAGCUAAGCAAAGAGAUGUUGCCACCUAAAUUACAAAAUGCAAUACAUGAACAGAAGAUUCAUACCACUACAAAAGAAUUAAGAAAUAGGUACACUACAAACUAAUGUAGCUAAUACAAAUAGGUCAUCACUGUUCACUGCUCUUUCCAAAUUCUCCCAGUGACUCGUAGUUUCAGUUCCUUCUUGUCACCCCCAGAAAAGAAUAGAGCCAUGCUCCUCUGAAUGAUGAGACCAUCAAAACUGUCACGAACCUUGCGGUGGCUAUCCCUAAUGCUUCUGGGCACCCCUUGCCAAAUCAUCUUCCUCCCAUUUCCACCCACCUCCAGACUAUACGUGUAGUUCUUCGCCUCAUUGUCGUCCCCCAUGAACCGCAAAAAAGCGAUGUAGACAGGAGCCAUUCCUAGCUGAAAAGCUUCAAAGUGUAGACAGAAAUACUGACCAAAGCAGCUGAAAACCUACAAACAAAAGUCACCUCCAAAAUCAACUAAGUGUUCACAUGUUUUGCACAAAUCUACACUAUAUGAAGGCAAAUUGUGUUGUGUUGUGAUGUGUUUUGUUAUGUUGUGUUAAGUUGUAUCGUGUUAUUGUGUUAUGUUGUGUUGUGGUGCUAUACAAAAUGUUAAACACAAGUUUGAUAUGUUGCAAGAUUGAAAAACAUUAAUCUAAUGACUUUUCUUGUUGAAGCAUAAGAAAUUUACAAAUGGUGAUUUAGUUUAGUUUACUUCAAUUCUGUGUUCCCAUCAAGGUAUCUGCUAACGAAGAGAAACGUAUGUGGUUUAUUUACAUACUAACACAGCUGAAAAUAACACAAUUUCAUCACUGGAUUCUUCAGGAUUGCUAACAAGUAACAACACACUAUUAUUAUUGGUUAAAGUUUAAUUGAAAUCAUGAGACUGUGAGAAAGACUCAUCAUACCGAAAGAACCACAUCAUUUUAUGAGUCAGUCACAACAAACAUCAACCAAUAAUAACAAGACAAAGGAAUAGAGAAGGGAGUUCGGCAAAACAUUACCGUUAACAUCCAUGUGGCAUUUUCGACUUCUUGUGGAUUUGUUUUGACAUAACGGUGAUUGAAAGUACAACCAUUGUGCAUGUCCACUUUAUGAUCAUCUUUCAGAUGGGUCACAAGGUAAGGUAUAUCACCCAUAACUGAACAUUCUGAACCAGCAUAUGGGCAAUUAUAAGGUCUAAAUGCACAUUGAGAUUCAUGCUUUAGCUUGCUGUAAUAUGGGUAUAUGCCCAUGCACCCAAAACCUUGAUAUUUACAGGGAAGUUCUAAUGAUGCAGCCACCUUUUCCAGUGCCAGACAUCUGAUAUUGCCAAGCUCGUGCCUACAUGUAGGGCACCGAUCAUGGACUCUGGGUUUGCAACCAGAGCAUAAAGUGUGACCAUUUGAACACUGCAAAAAUGAUCAACAAAGCAAAUGCUGUUAUGCAAAUUUCAAAAAGGUUCUUUGCUAUAAAAUUGUUAAAGGAUGAUUAUUUUGAGUUGAAAGAAACAUAAAUAAAUUCCAAAAGUUACAUAUGACAAACAUCAUUGAGUCCUUGUUAAGUUAAAAAAUGUGUUUUCAUCCUUGUUCCGUGCAUGAGAGUAUCACAUCCUCUAAAUGAAGUUCAAUGGAUUUAUUUGAAAUGACAUGAAACUUAUGAAUCAGAUUUAGUUAUUUGACAUUUCAAAUGAGACAUCGCCCCUAAUCAUGAAGAGGGGAUUACUUUUGAAUCACAAUUAGUUCAAUCACAUGUUUUUGGAAAACUACUGCAGAAGUCCUCUGAUUUUAUAGUUUUUCACAAUCAGUGGUUAACUCUAAAAAGUUAGACAAGCAAAAACACCAUAUACAGUGUUUUUCACAACAAUUACAUAGGAAAAAAAAUGCAUGGAAAACAGUUAAAUAGGUGAUCCAAUCAUAGAAAAUGGCAAAACAUUGCAAAUCAUGAAACAAAAUCAAGGGCAAAGUACCUAGUUUUCAAAAGUCAAUAGGACAUCACAAUCAGUUUCAUAAAUCAAAGCAUCAAAGCACAACUGACCCCAAUACUACAAAAUUACAACCACAUGCUAUGUUAGGAACCAAACAUAUCAGAGCAAUUAACAGCAACAAAAACAAACCUGGUGGAUUGGAGGGUACAUAGCAUUUAAACACACAGGGCACUCUAACAGCUCACGAACACUGCUUGUAACAGUCCCAUGAGGUUUAAGGGCAGUCUGCAGAGGCUCAUUCACAAGUUCACCAACUUCAGUUGGCUCUUCCGUUUGAGGAGGAUCGACACUGCAUCUGCUCCGGAUAUCAUCAAAGAAUGGAUGACUAGAUGCCAUGCUUGUCCGACCAACCCCCAGCAGCCCUUUCCAGAAUGAAAAAAGAAAAACAUUUCAUUAAUCACAAUCAAUCACAUCAAAUCUGAUAUGUAGAAUUCAUAUUUCUUACUAUACAAUAUACAUUAUCACAGUUCACAUAAUUAGUAAGUUUUACAUACAUAUUACGAACUUAUUUUAACUUAGGAAACUAACAUUUAUAUCCCUUCUCUAUCAUUCUCUUGAACUAGAGUAGCUUUCCUGUGUGGGAAGGAUCAAGGUACAACAAUUACUGACGACAGUAAUAUUGAUUUUGAAAUAUAAUUUAGCAACUUUGUAUGGCUGAAUAAAGCAUAAAACUGAUGAAUAUAAUUCACAAAAGCAAACAAAAGAAAUCUAACUUCUAAAAGCUGCAAUCAUCAUUCAAAAAUAUUCAAAGUUCAGUCCACUUUUCUAGCUUAGAAAUUAUUUUCAAAAGCAAUGAUCUACUGGGUAUGUUUAUCAAGUACACAUCAAAAUAGCUUAGGUUUUCCAUUUGCCUUAGAAUUCAAGAAAAACAUGAACGGUAAAGUGAAAUGAAAUUACACAAAAUUGAGACUAAAGUCACCAACACCAUUCAACUACCAACAUUAGCAUCAAAUUGUGGCCUAAAGAAACUAACACUUACGAGUUAAAACUAACAAAAUAAAAAGGGAAACAUAUUAUACAACAAUUAAUUAACAUAAAAUUAAGUGAUGAAAUGGCAAAUAACUAAAAGAUAAUACAAAACAAAGAAACCAGUAACCCAACUGUUAAUUGAUGUAUGGCUGUCCACAAAAACCCACAAAAAUCAUUCCAAUGCACUUGAUUAUCGAAUCAAAGUCAAUACACAACAAACACAUGAAAAAGGUCAACGGACACAGUGCCAUCAAAACCUAACCCCCAAAGCCAAAACAAGCCACAUACAUGCAUGAUAAUCCAAGGCACCCAUUUUGAAGAUUUACAUUUUUUCCAUGACCCCGAACAAUCCAAGACACCCCAAUGGACCAAGCAGAAACUGAAUCACGCGGAUCAAUCACAAGGGGUAGCAACAAACUGUUCCAUCAAUUCCAAACGCUCAAUAACCAAAAUCCCAACCUUAGAAACAUCAAACAAAUUCUUCGGGUUUCAGACCAAACCUACCACAAAUCUACUUACGGCAUACAAAGACAACACUCUUACCAAAUUUUUGUUUUUAAAAAAAAUAACAAUAAUGAGGUGGGUCACACGAAAAUUUAGUUCAAAACUGAAACUUUAAACACCCCGUGUAUGAAAUGUUUCGAAAAAUCAAAACCCAGAAACGAAAACAUACAAACUUCUUUAAAAAANAAAAAAAAAAAAAAAAACUCAGAGAGAGAGUGGUAGAAAG
rnacentral:lncRNA from 1 species